UUUUUUUUUUUUUUUUUUUUUGUCAAAUUUUUAAAUUUUAAGUUGGUUAUUUUCAAAAUGGAGGACAAAGUUUUAAUUUCAUAUCAUAUUUUAGAUUAUUGAUUUUCUAUCCAUUUGUGUUUUUGGUCUGAUUAAUUAUGAAAAAUAAUUUAUGAAAGGGAGCUACACUUGCAAUAACAUUGACAAAAAAAAAAAAACUCAUCAAUUUAAUAAAUAAUUUGAAAUUCAUAAAGACAGAAGGUGUAAAUUAGUACAACUUUAAAAUAUUAAAGUGCAAUGUGAGAAAAUUACAACUUCAUAAUUCAUUUUGAGAAUCGCCACAAAAAUUAAAAGUGUACUAAAUAUAAUUAACUCUAAAUUUUAAGUACUUUUGAAAGAAGAAAAAAAGUUUUUUAUACUUACUUUUGGAUGGAGAUAGAAGAGUUCUAACAUUUUUUUAUUAAUCGUGAGAAAAAAAAAAUUAGAUGAGAAAAUAUAUUAAACCAAUUGUUAGUAAGUAGGUUUGUCUAAUGAAUGCUAAGUUUUGUUAUUUGUACCCACAACAUUAAUCCACCUUCUCUAAUUCUACCAAAUACUUUAAUGAUAUAUUUUCUUUCAACUAUACGCCUCAUUUGAAUACACAACUAUUUUUAAAUUAGAAUGCACUUUUUUUUUUGUGAAUUCUCCACUACCGUAUUGUUCACAUCAUUUUCCUUUAAUUCCCUCCUCAUCCCUUGUCCGCUUCGAGUUCAACUCAGCCUCGUCAUUAGUACUUUGACGCUAGGCCGACCUAAUGUUUUUUUAUAGUCAUGGUGACUUUGGAAGUUUCUAUGUCCAUGUCUUCGAUUAUUCCAGAUAAUUCUUUUGAGUUAUUUCACGUAUAUUUGUAUCGUCCAAGAUUAUAUUUUAAUUUUCUCCAACAUCGUAAUAAUUCCAGAUUAUUGAAAAUUGACAGAUGUAUAACUAAAUUCUACAAUUGUGAAAAAUAGUAAUUACUAUCUAAAAUGGUAUAAUUUUCUUGUGUAUAUAUAGUUGGCUAUCACGCCAAUUGAAGUGAAAUUCCAGCUAAAGCUAGAAGAAACAAAAAUUGCGCCCACAAGGUUACACACUUCCGACGUGAAAAAUAAAGAGGAGAGUUUGAGUAAACCUUGUCAACGGCAUCUCUCGGAUCCAGAUGGUCUGUGCCUUCCCUUCCUUGAGGAGCUGGGACUGCAACUGGCCACCAAGGCAUGGGAGGGCCUUGCCCUUGUGAGGAGUUGUGCUUUUACCUGAAACAAAGUUAGACAUUUAAAAUCUUAUUAAAACAUGAUUAAUUUAGAAAUCGUUUGAUAAAUGUUUCGUUUUUUAGUUUUCACUUUUUUUUAAUUAAAAAAAAAUGAAACAUUGUUUUCUAACUAUCUUCAGUUUUCAAAAAAGUGUCAAAUUUUGAAAACUCAAGGAUGCUUUUCGGUUGUUGGUUUUUAGUUUUCAUUUUGUGUUUUUUUUUUAAACUGAAAGUAGUUAUCAGACAAGAUUUCAGUUUUCAAUUUUCAAAAAAAUGAAAAUAAAGACUAAAAGCGAAAUGGUUAUCGAAUAGGCUAUUGGAAAAGAAGGUAUCGACGAAUUGUAGGUUAGAUAAGUUCUUAUGAUAUUGUAUCUGUCUCUUUGCACCUAAUUUUGAAUUCUCUUUCUUGGUUAUUGAGAAGCCUAGAAUAUUACAUUGUAAAAAAUAUAUGAAAGUACCCAAUUUGAUUAAUUAUUUGGCAAUUAGCAAAGAAUGAUCACUUUUUACAUUUGGUUGUAGAAUUGAUUAUUUUUUAGUAACAAUGAAAUAUUAAUCAUGCAACAUCCACAUAACGGUGACAUAAAGAUAGUUGAUCAUUUAUACAACCAAAUGUUAAAAAAUGAUCAUUCUUGCAAAUUCUUCUUAAUUCUUUUCCAACACAAAUUUAAACAAUGACUAUAAUAUGUUAUUUAAACAAAAAAAAAUAUUGUUUUACAAUUGCAGCCAAUUUUUUUUAAGAAAAUAAUAAAUUUUUUAUAUGAAAUAAUUGAAUGCUUAGGUCACACGAAACUGAUGAUAUUGAUAUAUUUGACCUAUUGUUUGGUGUUAUCCAUUUAAAGAAUGAGAAAAUGAAUUGGGAGGAGUGACAUAUGAAACUGAACCAAAUAAUUUGAACAUGAAUAUUACGUUAAAUGUCUGUGUGAUGUCAAUUCCCAAAUGCAAGCAUGGUCUGAUAAUAUACUCUCAAUUAAUCGAUGAAAACGUCAUUGACUUCUGGUCACAUAUGAAUAUAUUUAUAGCUUCAAUUUUAAAUAUAAAAAAAUAGAUCAGUUGGUAAUUUUGUCACAGCAAUUUAUCCUUCUGGAGUCUGAGAAGACGCAUAUAGGCAUAUAUAUAUAUAUAUAUAUUUGUAGCUUCGAUUUUUUUAAUAAGACGAUACUUUAAGCUAUUUCAAUUUACAAGAAGGGAGAUUCGAACUUAAAAGUAUGAUGCCCUUUGAUAUACUCUUUUUUAUGCAUAGCUAUUUUACUUUAUCGAGGGUGGAGGUUUGAUCUAAAUUGCACAAUAAUUAAUCAUAAUAAUUAGAUAUCAAACGUAUUAUUUUAUAAAUCAAGUCAAAACUUCUUAGCCUAUAAAUAUACGACUAAAUCGUAAUACUACAAAUCAUCGACUUUAAAAAUCAUAAAAACUAGCACUCUUGCAUUUGUCAGGCUGAAGCCGGUGGGAGGGUUGACUUGAAUGGAAUGCCACUGCGAAACCAACUUGGAAGCCAACAUGUUUAUCCCUCUUGGCCCUUCUCGCUCUACUUUGACUCUCCAAAAUUUUUUUCUGCAUAUUAUAAUUGCAAUUAUUUUGUAUUUUUCAAAGAUCCUUGACGCCGGUGGAGGUUUUUUGUCUGUUUUAAACACGGUAAAGCUGCAUGUUUCCCUCUUUCUUCCUUUGACUUGAGAGCUCUCACCUCCCUAAGGAUCCCAUGCCGGCCAGCCUGCAUCACCCUUUCAUUUCUUAAUUUUGGCGGUGUACUUGCAUGUUUGUAGAGCUGGUCUGCCAUGAAUAAUUAUACUGAUGAUUGAAUUUUAUAUUCUAAAAAUAAGAUAAUAAUAUAAUAGUACUUAUAAUUAGAUAACGUUACGAGACUGAAUAAGGGACUUGUAACUUAAUUGGACAAGAACAUUAUCGAUAAGUAGUGAUGACGACAAGGUCGGGUUAAUGGGUUCAAAUGACUUGAAUCAAUAUGUUUUCUGUUUUCCUAAUCUUCAUCUCAAUAAAAUAAUAAUCGUAAACUUUUGAUUAAUUAGAUUUUACUUUUAACCAUACUAGAGACUUGUACAUUAAUUGAUUAAGAACAGUUAUCACGAGUCGACAACAAUACAUGGUUAAUGGGUUCCAAUAACUUGAAUAAAUAUGUUUUCUUUUUCUUUCACUAGUCUUCAUCUUAAUAUUCAAUUUUGACUUCACUCUUUAAUAUUGAUCUUAUAGAUAUUUGAUGAAAAUGCCUCUUCGACAUUUCAAAAGCACAAAACUAAACUAAAGUUAUGAUUUAUGAGAGAGCUUUUUAAAUAAUCGCAACGGGACCCCAUUGUAUAUAAGAGUUCAUGACCUCUGCCAACUAAAAAAAUUAACUUUAACCUAAUACUUCAUAUAUCCUCCACAUUCAUGUACCUACUGAAAAGCUCCUUGAUCUUGAUUCAAAGUGUAAACUACACAAUUUUCAAUAAAUUAUAUGCCUAAUUAAUUAAGUAAAUGCAUGAACUAAUUCUUAAUUUUUGAAAAGCUACGUAAUGCUAGGAAGACUAAAUUUGCAAACUAAAUGAUAUGUUGUUAAUAUAAAGGAGCAUGUUUAUCAACGUUUAAAUAAUAAAUCAAUCAUCAAUUUUCAUGUCCUUUAAUUUUUAAAUUUUUUUUUUUUUUUUGAAAUGAGUCCCCCCAAGUUUCCAUAAUCAUCGCUGUGAUUUUCUUGAUCAUCCAAUUGAUUGAACCCACAUGAUUUCACAGUGACAGUACUCCUUUUUCUAAUUUUUAAUUAACUCGCAUCCAUUGGCAUCUGAUCCAAAACCAAAGGCCCAGAUCCUUGGAUUCCCCAUUGAUCUUGGAUUGACAUUACACUUGAAUAUUAAAUCAUAGUGGCACACUCGCAUGUAGUGUAAUUACUUAACAUUUUCCCCUUUUUAAAUCUUAUGAUCAUAAAUUAAACAAAAAAGUUUAGUUUAACUGGUUUUACUAAUAUAGGUCUUACUCUUCCGAAUAUGUUUAUAUGGUAUUAAAAGGUUAGUUUGGUGCGGACCUGGUUGUUCGCAAGGUUUCUUGUUUUACCUCAUUUCUUUAAAAAAAACAAAAAAACGGGUUUUUUAAUUAAUUCACACAAAUGAGAUGAUGAAGAAAGGCCAGCUCAGUGACUGCAAUUUUUCUCUGCAUUAUUUUUGCACCAAACAUUAGUAGUGCACAUGCAUUGCUUCAUCAGCAAACCAACUCUUCAAUGCUCUCUAUAAAUUAAAACGUCACUUAAUUAUAACCCAUCUGAGCUCACAUAAGCAUAACUGAUAUUACAACACCUCUCUCUCUCUCUCUCUCUCUCGCUCUCGCUCUCUCUCACUCCCUCUUUCUCAUCUCUCAAUCAGAGUGAGUGAGCAGAUAUUUUUUUCCUUUGAAGCAAAUGGAUGUGAUGAUCAGAAAGUCGUACGGCGGCUACUCGAAGUUGGACAAGGAAGAUCCUGAAGAUGUAAAUCAUCGACGGGCGCAGUUCCUGAUCUACAAAGUGUUGCUGCAAGCAGAAAUGCGGCGAAGGCCUUCGAAUUUGAGGAUUCGGAUACGUAAACUGAAGGUGAAGAUUGGGAGGAGAUUAAAGAAGUUGAGGAAGAGCAUGCUUCUAGGUAUAUCUGCCGCCAGGGUUUGUGUUUAUAAGCGAGUUUUUAAUCAACUAAAAACUUGCAUGACCUUGUUUGGCCGCGGAGAUCAGGGAACUGUCAAUGCAACUCUUCCAGUUUUGCUUACCUGAUUUAAAUAGUUUUAAUCAUGUCUCUUUAUUUUCUUCUCAUCCAUCUUUUUUCAUAUAAAUACCAACUUGGAAUUUCGAUCGGCGUUUGAUUUUUUGUUCCCAUAUAUAAUAUAAAACCAUAGAGUUUGCUUAUUUUCUUAUAUAGAACAACUUGAGAAUGUCAUAUGAGACGACUCUCAGUUUGGUUUGACUUAAAGCGAUCUCAUGGGUUAAUUUCAUUCAAUCAUCUGUGUUCGAGCGAUCACCAAAAAAACGUACAUUAAUUAAACGGGCAUGUAAAUUUUUUUAUUUUUUAUUUUUUUGAAAGAAGCGGCACAUUCUAAUUAACAAAAGCCAAACGGCAAAGUUAGAAAUGAGGAAGACUCUCCUCCAGAAUCAGGCCUGAUAUAACUAGAGGAGGAUCCCUAGUCCAACACAACUCUCAUCAAUCUGAAUCCUGUCGAGACGAUGGGCCACUCCAUUAGCUUGGCGGCGAACGUGGGAAGGUGUGACUCCAGUGAUUGAUCUAAGCAAGGAGAAAUUUUUAGUUGUAACGGAAACAUAAGUGAUACAUCAUGUGUUUUAAUAGGAGGGGUGAAAAAUUUUAAUUUUUCAGUUAUUAACUUUUUUUGCACACACAUAUCCCACAAUUUGUAUAAUAACACGUGGUGUACCAUCCCGUGUACCGGUCACACUGAAAAAUCUCUCCUAAGCAAGGCCUUAGCAUCUUCUACAAUUGUACCAACCAUUCUCGAAUUGAGAGAAGGCUCCAGCAACGGCGAAGUGAUCUGAAGAGAAUCAUUCUCAAAGAUAAAAUUUUGGAAACCGCUUUCCGCCGUCCAAGCUAACCCCGCAUGAACCGCUAUAGCUUCACCCUGCAAAGGGGAGAAAACAUUGGCCAACUUUCUGACGAACGCAGCCAAGAAAACACCGUCUGAGUCUCUGACUACUAAUCCUGCACCCCCAAAUGCAAUACAGUUUAAAAGAGUGACAAAGUUAAAGUUUUACCUAUACAAAAUGAUGGAGUUAUACUAAUCAACAAUACAAUUCAGGAGGUCCUUUAUCCUUCGUUUUGUACGUUUCGAAAUGAUAUGCAAAGCACAAAGUAAUUAGUUAAGCACCAAAUUAAGCCAUAUAUAACUUAUUAAUGUCCACUAACCCAUCGACAAGAAAGAUAUUCAUAAUUUGUGCAAAGAAGUCAACUUCCCCUCAAGACACUCCUCGCAUUUACACAUUAUACAUCCAAUUCCAAGUUCCCAUGAUGCUUUGCAGUAGUAGUACUGCUGUCCUAAUUAACUGUCAUUUUUAGUACCAUUAUUUCAUAUAAUCUUGGAGAAGUGGCCACUAAAUCCAAUUAGCCUAAUUAAUUAGUGUCUGAAAAAAUGUCCACAAAUAAGUCAACUAAAUUUACAAGUUGGAUUGUCCAGGUAGGUUAGGUAUUUUCGCUUCAAAUCAUUGUGUUUCAUGUUCAAAACACUUCUCUUUCUUUACUGUAAUUUAGUGUAUAAUAUCGUUUGUAAUAAGAAAAGAAAUGUAUUUGUUUGGAUUUUUAAUUAUUUACUAAUUACACGAAUCCUAGCCCCGCGGGGGGGGGGGGGUGGGGUGGGGGCGCCCCUGUUAUAAUUAACAUGACAUAUAGGUUUGGUAGGUAACAAUUCUUAAUGAAACUUGUGUUUGUGCUCCAGAAAAUGCUUGGAGACCAUGUUUUUAGAUUAUUUUUUUAAAGACCACAUUAUGUGAAGAUUGAUGGUUGAAUUAUUCCUUUAAUGAAAUAGAGGAGUCCAACUAUCCAAAUAUGGUUCAAGUAGAUGGUCUCUUUUAGCAUCAUGGAUCACCCGAGGUGCUCCUAAUUUUGUUCAGACCCACGAGAAUCCCAAGUCUCUGCAUUUAUCAUCCAUGCAUUUAGACAAGCAUUAACGUGAUUAAUCCAAUGAAGAGCUAUUGGAUGACCCGAAUAACUAUUCAUCUAUUGUAUUUUCAUGUAAAUAGGGGCGACUGGCUAGAGGGAAUUAUUCAGAGUUUUCAAUUUAAAGGGAAUAACAGCUCUAUUAUGAAAAAACAGGUAGACUACGCCAAUUCCUUUAUGAGUGACUUUAAGAGAUUAGGGUCCCCAAUAAAGUAACUAUUGAUUAGGGAAAGCGGACUCUAGAGGAUGGGUGAAGUAACUAUUGAUACCCCCACCCCCCCCCCCCCAAAAAAAAAAAAAAAACCUCUAGCGGAUGGGUGAAGUACAAAAAUGUGCCAAGGGUUCGCUCGGUGUGGUUUUUGUGCAAUAUGCUAUCUAUUUGUCUUUUAUAUAGCAUAUUAAAAUAUAACAAGCUCCACUCCAUGAUAUGUAUUCUAUGUGCGAAUGGGUCAAGCCCUAAUUUCUUAGUGACUAAAAUUAGUGAAUCCCGAAAGUUAUGUAUUCUUCUGAGAUUCGAUCGAAGAACAAGACACCCAUUUUCUUCUUCUCUAUUUGUAUCUGUUUAUGAAGAUUACCCAUUUCUGUAACUCUACAUCUUUCUCCAAGAAAGGGGAAAAAUGAAUAUUAUCAGAAGUUGAAAAGCAUGCAUUAAAACAAUUUGAAUCCGCCCAAUGAUAUUGGGUGUGCCGAGCCAGCAAUUGUGACCUGUUGAAUACUCGUGGCUUUUAUGGUAUGUUGAAAACUCGUGGCCUGUUGAAAACUUGUGACGCCAUCAACUUUUUAGUAGAGGCUGCUCCUUGUCAUCCCAUUUCUCCACGCGACUUUUGGCAUUGUCCACCUGAAUAACUCAGUGCCCCAAAAAUACAUCUUAAUUAAGAUUUGUAAAUGAACUAUUGAGGAGGCUAGCUUAGGGGCUUAUUAAAUAAUCUGCACAAAUAUAUUAUAAAAAAUUUCUCCAAGCCCAUUUGUUUAGCAUACAGGACACCAAUCACGGAUUUUUACAUAUCAAUAUCUUGCGUCUCAUUCAACUUACUUUCUUCAUCCAUAUUGUUUUUUAUUGAAAAAUUAAUAUCUCUUUAAAUCCAAAUUUAUUACCUAAACUAUCAUCUCAAACCCAAUUCAAAAGAUUAAGUUAUCUUUACACUAAUUCCCUUUAUAAAAUAACAUAUGUAAUUGAUUUUUUUUUUAAAAAGGCGUCCUUGCCCCACCCCCUCUUCCCACUAGCAUGGCCACUUUUUUUUUUUUUUCUGCUACCAAACCUAGAUAUUUGCCUUUUUCCUUUCUAUUGAUAUGCAUAAGCAACAAAUCAAACAAUUCAUCCCCUUAUAUUUAUCAACAAGCAAGGAAGUUUAUAAUCUAAGAACAUUGGUAAGAAGUUUUUCCCUAGAAUUUUCCAAUUGCAGAAAGUUUAACAAACCAUUCAGGAUUGAUGAAAAAAUUGAAACCCAAAUACUCAUAUUCUAAACUUUAAAUAUUGAAAUCAAACGAACAAAAUAUUCAUAAAUUGAGCCAUACCUUAUUUGGAGGAUUCAAAACUUAAAAUCAUCAUUCAUCAAUAAAAAAGCUUGUUUUUUCUCUACAAAACCUAUUAGGAUUUUAGCCAGAAUGAAUAUAGGAUAAACAAGAAGUCAUGGUAGGGUUUAAUGGGUUUAUUGAUAAAUUUGAGUUUUAUUAUUAAUUUCAUUUUGUACUUAAUAGUAAUUAAGCAAUAGGGUAAAAUAGACAAUUAACCAUUUAAAUUUAAGUUGGGUGUAGAAAGAGGUUAAAUGGGUUCAAAUAAAAUUUCCUGAUAUAUAAUAAAAAUUUUCUCCGAGCCCAUUUGUUUUGUAUACAGGACACCAAUCACAGGUUUUGACAUAUCAAUAUCUUGCGUUUCAUUCACAAUUUCAAGAUGUACACAGUACAAGUAUAGUAAUUUUACAUGGUAGUCACGAUUUUAAGGUAAGUUUAUAGUACUAACACAAAACAGAAAUGUUAUAUUUAAUAUUUAAUCUUAAAUCUGCCUACACAAAAUGAAGUGAGCAUAGUGAUUACUGAAAUUACCUCUUUAUCCCAGUCUGUACGAAAUGUUACCCACAGUAAAAUUAAGGUCUGCAUCAGAGUUCCUCCUAUCAUCCCCGACCAUAUUCCCUGUAUAAUACAUAUGUAUAUCGAAAUCUAAUUAAUUCCUUUUUCAUUUUUAGAGAAGAUGUUCACUUGCCCCUGUUUCCUUGUCGAGCAAGAUUAUAUUUUGCUUCAUUUAGCUUCUUAUUUUGUAAAAUAUUAUGUAUUCCGCAAUAAUUGAGUUGGUAAAUUGUACCUCAGCACCAAGGUCGAACACAAAUCCAAGAACACAGCCGCAUGGAAUUCCAACUACGUAAUAACAUCCCACAUUCACAUAUGCCACAAAUGCUUGCCACCCACACCCAACCGCCACCCCUACAAUGAUCACCAUAUAUGUUAUAUCCAUAAUUAUGUAAAUACAAGUUCAAUUAUCAUGAAAAAUGAUUUAAAUACAGGUUUAAUGAUUACAUACAGACAAGAACUAGUGUUAAAUAAUAAUCACACGACAUAUUUUCAAACGCCCCGUGGUUGCUCCUUGUGUGUAUUUCAGCGUUGAAUAGUUUCUGGCUCAUCAUGAGUGCUAUAAAAUGGUCUCAUUCUACGUUCAAGAUAGGUGACUUUCUUUUAAGAAUAUCCAGCAACAACCCACUUGGACUUCUAAGUAUUCCAAGCUAUAAGAAUCAUUAAAAGCAAAGUUCAACCUACUCUCAAUGCCAGACAACACUGUUAUCAACACGGGACAUGGGUAGGAGAGUAUAUCUCCUUUGUGCUACUCCGAGUUGUCAUAAUUUAGUUGUCGUCCCUUUUGAACCUAGAUCUUGAGAUCUCCAGUUAACUAGUUGGGUUUUCACUAUGACUACUCUAAUCACAGGCUUUUAUGAUUUUAUCUCAUUCUCCUUGAUGAUACAACAUACGUAAUCUCUAGUUGAACCUUUACAAUUGGUACCACUAGGUUGACUAUUUACAAUCUAGAGCCAUUACAAACUUCAUAUCCAUGCAUGAAAAUUGAUUUCACCGAGAGCAGUUUAUCUCUAACAUAAAGACCUCCAAACACAUAUUGAGACUUAAUAAGUAAUUUGCCUAUAUGCUUGGGUAAACUUCCCCACAUUUAAGGUAUUUUUCAAAGUUCGCUAACCUUUCAAUACCUUAAACUAACUCACUCUAAGAGAUAUUUGAAACCCGUCUUGUAAACUAAUUCACAACAUUAUCUUUUUCUAAAAGCAAUUUUUUUCUUCUUUUGAAGUGAUCGUUUCUCAAAUAUAACUAAUCUACUCCCACAAUUCCCUCAUUGUGAUUGCUUUGAAGCCUAAUGACUAGUCCUUUCUAUGAGAAGCACUUCUAGCACUUGUUGCCUUUAGACUCUGAACUUACCGAGAUUUCAUAGUUAGGACAUUAAAGGCAACCACAACUUUCUUUGUAUCAUAUAUGUGCACUAUUAAUAUGAUUAUUUUGUAGAGCGAUAGCAAUGACAGCAUGGUAGAAUUAUCAUGUCUCAUCCCAAAUAUAAUUAAAGACAUAUAUAUAUAUAUAUAUGUACAUAUCUCACAUUACAUACUAUUGUAAUGCAAUCAUAUGUGUUCAGUAGGACUUGCCUACUUAUAGAAACAGAGAUGCCUCUUUUGAUGUGAUUAUUCAUGAAGUUUUAUAAUUGCAACUCCUUAUUUGGAGAGACACGUUUUUUCCACCCAAAGACACUGCUUCGAAUUUUUAUUCAACUAAUAAGUUUAAUAUAAUAACAAAUAUUAAAUUCCAACAAUAUGUGUGUGUGUGUGUGUGUGUGUGUGUGUGUGUGAUAGCACAUACCGGAUAGGACUGGUUGAAUCCCAUUGAGGACUAGAGUGACGGCCAAAUAUGGAGUGAGGUGCGAGACUGCCUUGGCCACAGUUUCACCGCUGGUGAAGGCAUAACUGAUUACGUCGCGGAGGGAGAGCACAACCACAGCUUCCACAACAGCAAAAGCCAAGGACACCAAAGUUACUACUAUAACCGAGAAUGCUGCUGACUUUGGAUUCCCAGAACCUAGCUCAUUGCUCACCCUCACACUGCAUACGUGCAUGCAUGUAUUUUAUUGAUUAAUUCCCCAUCAAUUAAUUUGUAAUUAUAGAUCUACUUAUCCAUCAAUUAAACUUUUUAAUUAAUUAUGGCUCAACAUAUUAGCUAGAUUAAUUAAUCCAACCAAUAUUUUACAAAACAAAUAAAUGUACGUACCUUGCAGCUGCAUUGAACCCGACUGAAACCAUGAAGAACACUCCAUUUAACGACAUGCUGCACAAGGGGAAACCAUGCACCGUUGAGUAAAACCACGAACAAGCUAAUCAUGCAUUUAUACCUAUCGAAGAAAUGGGGUUCGCUUUCAUUCUUUUGCAACAAACCGAACUGUUAAUUCUCAAAAGCAUUGAGCAUAUAUGUUUCUAUGUGUGAUAUAAAGUUUUGGUGAUGACUAAUCUCAAAUGAGAGAAGAACUAAUAUGUUUUUUAAGUCUCAAAUGAGAGAAGAACUUUCAUUCUUUUGCAACAAUACGAACUAUUUAUUUUUAAAUCUCCAAUAAUAGAUUGUUCGUUCUUACAAAGGAAUUUAAUCCAAAGUCUUUCGCCAAUAUGAUUAUCACAAUGUAAUUUCAAUGUUUCAUAUUUAGAACACUAUGUUUAUCAAUUUAUAAAGUGAAACUUAAAAAAUAAACCGAUUGAAAAUAAACGGUUUGAAAUCGAUAAAAUUUAACGAGGUAAAGGGACGUGUAUACUAUAUGACAUAUGUACGGAUUUGAUUUGGCCACAUGGUUUUCUUAUUACAUGCACUAUAUAAUGUAUGAUGACAAAAUAAUUUGUCUGCUUGUAUACAUCACGAAACUAUAGCUGCAGAUUUUACCAAAAAAAUAAAAGAAACUAUAGCUGCAGAUUUUACCAAAAACAAAAAACUUUAGCUGCAGAUUUUUUAAGCACGAAGUUCUUUCCGACAGACAAUUAUAUAAUGGAAAGAAGUUCUGAAAAAAUAAGCAGCAACCUGCUGAUGACCAAUGAUAACUGAAUACGUUUUUAAGUUGAAUUGAAAAAUUAACAAUUUAAACACAUGUCUAACUGUGAUUGAUCAUCAGUAGGGGCUAUCGCUGAUUUUUUAGCAGCCAAGUCAUGUUCUUGUUUGUCAGCUGUCUUGUUUAAAUCAUGAAACCAUAGUUGCAUAUUUACAGUAAAACCCUUUUACUAUUUCUUUUAUACAAAUUAAGUAAUAAGUUUAGGGGUGUGAUAUCCACACACACCCCUUUUUACUUCUCACACACCCUUCUAAUUUUCGGCCAUCAGAUUAGAUAAAAUGAAGAAGAUCAACGAACAUAAAUUAACAAGGGGUCUGUGAGAAGUAAAAAUGGGUGUGUGGAUAGCACACUCCUAAGUUUAUAAUGUGCAGCAUCAUGUGGACACAAGAGCUUCAAACAUCACUUCAAAAUGGAGUUAGGCAAGGAACUAAUAUAUAUCCAACAGUCAAGGUUAGUCGGAAAUGAAAUGUAACAAAGGAAGUUUAGGAUCAACUGUUUCUUUUUAGUUUAUGCAUAGUAAAAUUAUUGCCGUUGAUCAUAAUUAGGUUCAUGUAGACGUUGUAUUAAAUGAUUGGCAAGUAAUUAAAUAUACUCCAUUUGUGGGAUGGAAUGGAAUAGUUGCAUGUAACGGGGUCUCAGUUCAUAGCAUAUAUUUCUUCCGCUUCUCUUUUAUACGAGAUGUGUAUAUUCUCACUUUAUAUCACUCGUCACAUAAUUAUUUAAUAAAAUGAAAAAAAGACAAUAACGACACAACAUGUAAGUUCCUCCUUCAUUAAUAUUAGGAUACGAUGGGUGGAAGAUAUCUCUAUGUCGAUUGGAGCUAUAUAUGGCAGUUUUUUUUUUUCUUUUUGGUAAAAGCUAAAUAUGGCAGUUUCGAAAAGGCUUAAGCAUAUAUGUUUGAUUAAUGUUUCUAUUUGAUAAAAAUUUGGUAGUGACUAAUGAGAUGUGCUUUUGAGAUAGGGACAAUGUAUAUAUUCCUUCACUUUUGGACUCGCUCUCCUCAGGUUUGCAAACCCAAUUUCGCUUCGUCCACUUACUUUUAUUUUUAGGAAAACUAAUGAAAAUGGUUUGAAAACUUUGAGUUUUAAUGAUAAGGACAAAAUAAAGGGUAAAGUGAAUAGUACCAGGAUUGACUUUUUAGUGUAAAAAUGUGGUUUUUUGUUAAAGUGAACAGUACCGGUGCUUUUCGUUAAAGUUCCAUUUAUUUUUUAUAUUCCCUUAGUCAAACCCAAUUUUGACUCGUCCGCUUGCUUUUUUUAUUUGAAUAAAUUAUACAAAGCUUUUUUUAUUUGAAUAAAUUAUACAAAAUUAUUUUAAUUAUCGAAUCAAAAUUUUAUAUUUUAUAUUUUAAAUAUUACAAUAUCUUAGCUUAAUUUAUAAAUUCAUUGUAACGUCAGAUUUUUAUUAAAUUUUUUAUCAAUUUAAUUGUUAAAUGAUAACUUAGCAGAAACAGAGCCCACUCGUUCUCCAACUGAAAUAUUUUAUUUAACAAUUAACGUUAAUUUUAAAAAACUCUCUCCUCUCACUUGUCUCCCUCACUCACUCUCUGCUCCUCAUUUGCAGAGAAGCAAUGGCAGCCAUGGCUGCCGUGGCCAUAGAUCGAACCGGAAAAACGGUUCGCCUCGAACUGAAGAUGUGAAGAGAUGGGUCAAAUGGUUCGCCGUUGCGGGAAUCUCGCCGGAUAAGUUGAAUCCAUGCACCCGAAUACCAAAUCCGGAAUUCCGGUUCGUGGCGCCGGCGUAGGAGAGCGUGGCGUGGAGAGCUUCGGCGUAGGAGAGCGUGGCAUGGCAGAGCUUGUUGGAGUCGCAGGAAGCGGGUAUGGUGAGGUCUCGGGUCCGGUUCGUGCAGGUGGAUGAGGAGCAUGGAACGGGGGGUAGGAGGUGGACCGGAUCGGAUCGAAUGUGUUAUAGUUCCGGGUUUUGUUGCAGUGAAGACAGGAGAGCAAGCUUCCUGUGUCGAUAACCAUCGAAUUCCGACUGGGACGGUGACUAUGCGGGUGACAAUGUGGUGGAAAGGAAGCUUGUUCGGGGACUUUUGGGAGGGACCCAGAUGGAAUUUGUUGGGUUUUGAAGGGUAGAAUGAGUGAUGAAGUUUGGAGUUCGGAUUCAGUGAAGCAAAUGAGGAGAGUGGCAAAGAAGAAUAAGAGAAAAGAUUGGAAAUUUAGAGAGGUUUUGGAUGGAGUCGCAGAAUGUGCAGGGUUUCAUGGUGGAAUUCAUAUGGUUGAUGGGGGUAGAACUGGAAUAGUAUAAGGGAGGCAGAUUGUGGAAGAUGGUGUUUUGGGUGGAAGGAGUGGGAGUGAAGGGUGUCUAUGGCCACGGCAGCCAUGGCUGCCAUUGUUUCUCUACAAGUGGAGAUUUUUCAGUGUUCCGGUUACACAAAGUGAUAUACCAUGUGUCCUUAUAUAAAUGACGGGUUAAGUGUGUUAAAAGAUUAAUAAAUUAAAAAUUAAAAAUUUCCAUCACUUGUAUAAAAAUAAAUGAUAUCAUCUAUAUUUCCGUCACAAUUAAAUAUUUUCCCUGCAAAUGAGAGCAGAGAGUGGGCGAGAAAGAGAGUUAUUAUUUUUUAAUUAAUUUUAAUUGUUAAAUAAAAAAUCAAUAAAUUAUUAUUAAUUAAUUAAUUUAAUAUUGCAGUUGGAGAAGUAAUGGGCCUGCAACGUUAUUAUUUAAUAAUUAAAUAGAAAAUUUAAAGAAUAUAUGGCAUUGUACUGUUUAAAAAAUAUGGUAUGAAAUUAUAAUUUAAUCCAUAAUUAAAAUCAUUUUGUGUAAUUUAAGGAUUUUAUUUGCACUAGGUAGCGUGAAACCUAAAGCUAAGACACAAUGCAAAAUCAAUUUGACAUCGAACUCACAAUUUAUAAGAAUUAAAUUUAAUAUUUUUCUACUUAUGACUGAAAAAUAGCAAUAAACUAUAAUACUUGCUAACUGACCUCUUGAGAUCAACUUCUUAGAUCAAAUUUUGUAAAUUAUAUAGCAUAAUUUGUUGAUGAUUGUAUUAUCACUUAAGUGCUGAUUUACGUGUUUAUUUUUUGUUGAUGACACAUCAUAUAAUUUACAAAUUUAAUUAAAAAAAUUAGUCUAUCUAGUAUUCCACUAAAUUAAAAUGGAUAACAUUAGAUAAUAAUUAAUUAAAAGACAGAGUGGUGUUAGCCCUUACCAUACGGCCAAAGAAUUUAGUGCAAGCUCAGGAUUUUUUAGCAACCCAGCAAUCAAAACUAGCACCUGAGUGUACCAAACCUCCAAGCACAACAUCACCGCCGAUGCAGCCGAUAGCUUGAAAAAAUCCCACAACCCAGAAAAGGCUUGCACACUGAAACCCUGCCAAGUCAGUUUACACUGACUGCUCGCCAAGAUGUAAACAAUCUGGGCUCCAACUAUUAUCCACCACGACAAACUCAAUACAAGAGACGCACCUAGCAACCCUAAACCCAGCUUGUACACAGCAACCCAGCUCAGCAAUAAAUGCACCCCAAAAGUAGCUGCUGAUAUGUAAGCACUUGGGGCCACAAUUCGUUGUGCUUGGAGAAACUUUUGAAUGGGGAAGUUUAUGGCGUAGGCAAAUAUUUGAGGGAUGAGACCGUAGACAAAGACGGCGGCGGCUGAGGCCACGGCGGUUGGUUCGCCGAGUAAAAGCAACAAGGGUUUUGCGAGGAGAAAGACUGCCAGAAGUGGGAGGCCAGUGAGAGAGAGGACUAUGAUUGCUCUUUGAAGGUAUAUGCUUAACAUGUCAUACUUUUGGGCACCGUAGGCUUGCCCACAUAGAGUCUCCACUGCACUUCCCAUGCCUAGCUGCAAGAAACAAGAGCCAAACCAAAAAAAUCAUUAAAGAGAUAAGAAUGACAACACACGACCGCAUGUUAUGUUGUUAUACUGUCAAUCUAAAAUGUUUUUGCAUGUGAUCGUUCGAGGAGAUUGAAAACGUUCAUCAUCUGAAUUCUAAUCUUAAUAAUUGACAUUCUAAUUUAUAACACAAGCCGUAGGGCACAUAAAGUUAUAUUGAUAAUUGUACCAUGAGGCCAUAGGCCAAGAGUUGGAUGCCGCUGUUGCCGAGAGUGGCGGCGGCCAGCUCAAGAUUGCCGAGGUGGCCGGCGAAGAUACGAGUGGAAAGUGACAUGGAGUUGUUAAUGACAUAAACCGAGACGGCGGGGGCAGCAAGGCGAAAGAGGAGCUUGAGUUCGAUCCAUGUGGCCAUGCGGAGUCGCUUGAAUGGGGGCAAUUGGGUGUCGGACAGCACCGUCUCGAGUAGAAAGUCCACACGGUCUCCAUUGCUGGAGGCUUCUGCUGCCGGUUCCUGUUCGGAGGCUAAGAUGGGUUGGUGGAGUUGGCCUUGAGACAUCUCUGGACGGGAAACGUUGUGGUGUAUGUGGGUAGCAGUGUGCCACAGUUGGAUGCAUAGAGAGAAAUGGUGCUUGGAAUUUCGGAAGUAUAUGUUUUGAGGGCAUUAAUAAUCCACUUUAGACAACAAUUUCAUGUUCUCACACUUUUUUCCGUGGACACAAGUGUUUAGGCUUCAAUUAAUUUAUUAGUAUUCUUUUUUUAUUUUGUAAGCAAAUUAUGAUAGAAUUAGAGUUCUAGUUUUUCCAAUUCGACAAAAAAAAAAGGGAGUGUAAUUGAUUAGGUUUUUUAGGUCAAAGGAAGACUUUAUAAUCAAUCGUGCAGAUAUUUCUUUUUUCAUUAUUGUGAGAGAAAAUGCGCUAAAUAUGAAUCUCGUGUCUCCUAAAAAACAAAGGUGUAAAUACAAAAUUGAAAUUUACAAAGCAAAUGUGGAGAGAACGUUGGCUAUGAAAGAUUUAAAGUUAAUAUGUCGGAGCGGACAAAUUUCUUAAGGUCAUGGUACUUGAACCGACACGAUGAGAAAUGUUAAUUAGCAUCAGAAAAGUAGGUGUACACUGUACUUCACUUACUAUGUGAACAGGUGAAAGAAGAAUCACCCAUGAAGGGCGACCACUGUAAGGCCCCGACUCUGUCAUUCUCCCAAUAAAAUUCGAUUUCUAUCAAAAUUAUUGAUAUGAUAAUCACUUUUGAACUAAAUUUGGUACCAGAUUACGUUACGAAAUGUUAAAUUUUAAUUUUAUUCCCACAUAAACAGUCUUUUGAUUAAAUUAUUAACACGAUUAGGCCUAUAUAAUAUAUGCAUGAUCAUAUCUCCAUGCAUGCAUGGCGUAACUACACACAUUUGUGAACUCCAAUAUAUAUAGGAAGCCCUUUAGGAGCAGGAAUCCGUUCUGCUCAUAAAUGCACCAUAUAUAUGCUAUGGUUUAAUAGUUUAAUUGACAAUUAAACUCAAGAUGGUUAAUUAUUUUUAGUUAAGCUAACCUCUGUGCUCCAGUCAAUUCGAAAUGUGACCCAAAAUAAGAUAAGGUCAUCUCCAACCGAAGGGUCUAGAGGGUCAGAGGGUCGAAAAUUGUUUUCAAUUGAGGGUCAGGUCAAAGGGCUCGUGGGCCCCACUUGACAAAAAAGGAUCAAAGGACCAACCUACCGGCCCAAACUAGCCAACUAGUCGACCUCAGGCCGGCCAAAAUUUGAAUUCCAACGGUAACUAGUUGACGUCAGCUAACAGUUAUUUUAUUUUAUUUUUUACAGUUUUUUUUUUACAAAUUUUUUUUUCUAUAACUUCCUCAGCCAUUAAAUAAUAUUAAACGUUAGUUACCGUUGGAUUUGAAUUUUUUUUUUGGCCAAAAUUAAAAAUAAAAUCUCAUUUUUCCUAUAAAUUUAAGUUGUUGUAGUUUUUAAAUUUAAAUAAUAAAUUAUAUUUGCCCCUAUGACCCUUUGGCCCUCUGUUGGAGAUGGUUCUUUGUGACAAGGCUAAAACGAGCCCUAUGACCCUUUGGCUCUUGGUUGGAGAUUAUAAGAAAUAUGGUCUUACACUGUUGUUGACCCUAAAAACUACAAAACCUACAUGGCACGCAUGCAGAGUAACUAAUGAGCUAACUACGUCAUUCGGUAAUAUGCGGGGCGUGCCAACUCGUCGGGCGAGGGGUAAAAUGUGUUGAUGUUGCGUUGAGCGCGCGGCUGACUUCUCGAUCUUGUGACUGCAGUCGAGGAAGGAACACUCUCGGUCUUCGGGUUUUAGAGCCUGAAGACAAGGCUCCUAGUUCUGCGAAGUUCACAAAUCGUCGACGUCGGAUUCGAUCACCGUGAUUAUAUUCGUUAAAGUAUAAGCAUGCCGAAUCGACACCAGACUAUAUGGGCACAAGUACGCAAAACAAAUGUACGUCUUGAUUGUGAAAGUGGUUCAGCCGUCAGAAUGCUGAACUCUAAAACCUACUUGUGAAUACCCAAUCAUAAACAACUGGGCGUUCAAUGUGCCGAGCUCAGUAAUUCGUAACACCUCACUUCGCCGAGAAGGCUAAUGAGAUGACAUCUGCCAAUAGGGAUUCAAAAAUCAUUCUCGACCGAGACUUGGAUAGAUAACCAAUCGGUCUUGACGCAGUACUGUUUAUCCAAACUGAAGGUGCUUCGCGGUCACCUGAUUCUAAGGAACAGUGCUGUUUAUCCAAACUGAAGAUGUUCACCGGUUGCCUUCACAAUGUUGUUUAUCCAAACUGAAGAUAUGUCUGCAAAAGAAGAAAAUAAAAAAUCUUAAGAUCGUUGAGAGGUUUCGCGAAAGCGAGGGUUUGCGCAGGGUAGUUUUUGUGUUGAAUUGGAGGGCGCUUCUUUGAUGUCAUCCCUCCCCUAUUUAUAGUAGCCAACCUGCAUUGAAUCACAAUCAUUCUCGGAUUAGAACUCAUUUCCCCGAUCCAACUUUAUCUUGGCCAGUCCUACUCCUACUAGGACUUUGAACUUAACUCAUUAUCAGGCCGCAUACAAUCUCAAACUCCAACAUCCUUAUCAUGUCGAAACUCCUUCUCGUAAUAGGAUUCACCCACAUCCCUCAUAUUCCCGAUGGGACACGGCCAGCUUUGACUGCAUGUCCCAUGAGUUGGAUAACCCCCAACGACCCCUAAGCACGGCCUCUGGGCCGAGAACAAUUCUAAACUCGCCCAAACCAGUAUUUUUUUGCCCAAACAACUGUUCAUUAAAAAAUUAAUUUUUUUGAGGGCCCUCUGGCCCUCCUUCAGUUGGAGAUGGCCUAACAAUCUAUAUAGAAGUACCUCCUAUCAUCCCACUCCAUAUUUCCUGAGAAAAGAAAUAUAUAAACUGUAACUAAAAACAGAUACAAGAGGAGAAAUGGUAAAGAAAAAAUGACAUUAAAAGUUGAAACAAACAUGUAUACCUGAGCUCUAAAGGCAAACCCAUGUUAAAGUUUCAAAGAGAUGGGUAGCUAUGCAACAUUAAUAGUAUUGAUACUAUCUUCCACUUAAUUAUUUGUGCAAUCAGUGAGUAUCGAGUUUUUAUAUAAAAGGCAAUGAUGCAAUUACAAGUGAAAUAAUUUAAUAUAAGUUAUUAUUUAUUUUGUAAGAUAACCAAUGUGGGAUAUUUUAAAUUUUUAUACAAAAGUAUUGAUACUAUUAAAAGUAAAAUUAUUUAAUAUAAGUUAUAAAUUAUUUUAAGAAAUGACCGAUGUGACCCAUUUUGCUUUAUUCAACCCCGGAAAGCCAGUGAUGUAGUAGGCAUCCCGCGUUAACUAUGCCAAAAAUGCUUUGCCGUCGAUGAUCCACACCCAACAGCCACUCCUUUAUUUGCACCCCAAAAAUGAAUUAAAAAUCAAAGCAAAACUAAUAAAAAUGAUUUGAAAAUUUGAAGUUUUAACGAUAAGAACAAAAUAAAGGGUAAAUCAAAUAGUAUCAGUAUUGAUUUUUUAAUGUAAAAAUAUGAUUUUUCAUUAAAAUAAACAGUACUAUAAGUUUUUUGUUGAAAUUCUCUUAAAUCAAAUCAAAAAGCACCAAAAGGAAAAGACGGAUAUUCGUCACAACUGAACAAUAUAAGAGACAAAAAAUAAUUUAAUUUGGACCACGUACGAUUUUAAUGUUCAACUACCAGUACCACCAACAUGUGAUGCUGAGUAGUAGGAGAAGAUCGGUACCAUCUAAUUAAGUAAUUAAGCAGCCACAGGACAAGAUUUUGCAUCAUCAGGUACCACCUUCUUUCAGAGGGAGAAAUAGCUAAGAAUUAAGAGGGAGAUUCCAAGCGAACAAAGUUCUCUAUUUUGUGAGGAUGGAGGAAAGGACGUAUAUUAUACCCAUUUUUAUUCUUUUUUAAUUUGUAAAGAAGAUUUCACGAUUCGAAACUGUGACUUUUCAAUUACAAAGAAAAAACAUUUCCGUACGUAAUAAGUGUCAAUUAUCGACCAAAAAAAGAUAAGUACUCAAUUAAUAAGUCUUGCUUUAGUGAUAAACAUAAACUGACAGAAUAUUUGUCAAUUGUUGUGGUGUAGAUUCUCCCAAUCAAGUUAAUCAACCAUGCAAGCAAGGAUCAGCUGCAUAUUACUUAAGUUAAAAGAGUAAUGCUAAAGAGAUUAAAUUUAUAGGAAGUUUUUUUUUUGUAAAUUAAAUGACAUAGAAGUAAUUAUUGGAUUAUUACUUAAAUAUUGAUAAACGAGAGUAUGAUUCUUUCCCUUCCUAGUAUCCUUCCCCUUCCCUCCCCUCAUAUUUGAAAGGUUACGUUACAGUUAAGUCACGUCAACGUUUUGUAUUAAUUUUUUAAUAGUCAGAAGAAGAUAAAAAGCAACAUGUGAGAGGAGGAGGGAGAAGGGGAUGUGAAUAGGAGAUGAGAGAAUCAUACUUCUGAUAAACAUGCUCAUUUCCUAUCGGUGACACAUUAUUUAGUUUGCAAAUUUUGUCUAUAAUUUAGUCUUCCUAAGAUUACUCUAAGUUAAAUAAUAAUUAAGGUACGUAAACAAAAGAAAAAGUACAGAAUAAGAAAAUGGACAUGCAAACGGAUACUCUCCAUAAGGAUCCUGAUGAUCCUCUAAUUGUGUCCAUUCAUUGUAUAUCGUACGGUCAGUUUUCAUCAGAUACUAUUUAUAUUUAAUUUAAAAUAAAAAUAUUUAAAAUAAUUUUUAAUCACACGAUGUACGAUGAACGGACACGAUUUGAAGAUUCUAAUAAUCCUCAUAAAGAGCAUCCUCAUUCCAAAAAUUUGUUCCCAUGUGUUUAACGUGAAAUUCUACUUACCUGACAAAACAGGUUCAAUGUCGUUGAGAAUGGUAGGUGUAUGAACCUGUUGAGAAUGGUAGAUAUUGUCGGACCAGGCAUCUACUUUUUUUUCUUUUUUUCUUUGUUCUUGUUUUAUAUGGCAUACAUCCAUCUUAUUCUUAAUUUAUACUAAUUAUUUUCUUUAUUUUUGCUUUUCAUUCUCUAUUAAUCUGCUAAUUUAGGUCGAACACAGAAAAUAAUUAGUAUUAAACAUCAACGAUGUAGAGAUAAAAAAUUGACGACAUAAGUGUCAUAUAUUGAAGACAUUAAAAAGCUGAAGUUUUCAGAAAUUACGAAUUUAAAAUUUGAAUAGUAUGGCCAAUUUUCUGUAGUGGAAUUAUUCUAAGUAUUUCUAUUGGAAUUGCUAUGUAUGUUUUCGAUUUUCUAUUUAUUAUAUUUGACUCUUAAUUUGGCCUGAUUGACCCAAUCAUGAUAUUGAAGAUGGGACAUAUUCUCGAAAAAACUCCAGAUCCAAAGGAUCUGAAGAUGGUGCAACAUCAAAUCCUGUCGCAUUACUUCGAAUGGACCUUAGCCCGCCUGACUUGCUUUCUGUACUGCGUAAGGGGCAUAAGGGCAUCGGGAGCAUUUUUGCUCACAGUAUGGUGUAUGUUCAUCAUCCUAUUUGUUACAGUUAGAUGAGUAUGAAUUUCGAAAUUCAUGUAAUGGAUGGACACAAAUCUCAAAAUUCAACUCAUCUAAUGAUAAUAAAUAAAAUGAUAAACAUACACCACACUAAAUGAUGAUAAGCAAAAAUGCACUCGAAGGGCAUCUGCGAAGUACUUUUAGUGGUGCCACCACUAUAAGUUUAAUCCACCAUGAAAAACUACGACAUGAGGAAAUACACGCAAAUUUGGUAAGAUUAAAUUUGGUAAAGGAGUACAAUAUAUGGCGGAGUAGGUUCAUCACUUGCAAAACAAGAUUAUAUUUUGGCUGCAAUCUAAAUUUACAUGCAAUCUUUAUAAUGGUGACGGUUACAACUUACAAUAUGAUCAACCACGAGCGAUUUCCUAAACUUUUUUACAAAAAACUUAUUACAGAAGCAAGCAAGAAUCAUGAAUCUGUAGGAUUGGAAGCACAAACUUGAAGUCAGAUCGCCGCAGGUAUAGUUUCACGACAGUCUUGUGUCGAUUAGCUUGGGGGUGAUCUGCAUAAACAACGAACCAUUUCACGAAUUCUCCUUCAAGGACUGACAUGUUUGCCUCGAGGGAAAAGUUAAUUACAGAAGCGUCAUAAGAACCAUGGCGGAAGCGAGGAGUAGAGAAAGCAUCACACCAUCAUGGUAUAGACCUGGAGAACAUCAGAGCAUAUGCUUUAGCCUUUAAUGUGCGUGGUAUAAGUGUCGGCAUACACUGUGGUUUUGUAUGUACAUAAUGCUCAAACUGUUCUGCGACUAGUUCCUAAGUUUUGUUCAUAAGGAUAACCACAACUUUGAAUGCCUUACAUACUCCAAUUGGGGACCGCUCAAAUAAGUUAAAUCAUCAUCGACGAAGAUUAAUUAAUGAAUGAAUUUACUCACCACUUUCAGCAGAUGCUGCUGCAGGAAGUGCAGGAAUCUUGACAUCUGAAAGUCCAACAAAGUCAGGCAGAAAUCAUGAGCGCACUACUAAAUGAAAAAGGGGUUUUUGAACUUUAAUCCCUAAAGAAGAUUAAAAUUUAAAAAAAACCUGGUGUUAGAUUAAAUAUUGAUUUUAGUCCCUAAUGUGCCCUGAAUUCAAAAUAAUUAAUGUCCAUUUUAUUUAAUGUCUCCCAUUAAAUAUUUAAAUUUAUUAAUACACAAAUUUUAAUUUAUGUUUGACCAAAAAAGAGUUUUUUAAUUUAUUAAUUUUAUUUAACAUUCUUCAAACUUGAAAGACUCAAUUAAUGUACCUAAAUGUUAGUACCGAAAUAUAUUAUAUUGAACUAAUAUAUUUAAAUUUUAGUACCGAAAUAUAUGUACCUAAAUAUAUGCACCGAAAUGUAUUAAUAUUAAAUUAAUGUACCUAAAUGUAUGUACUGAAAUGUAUGCACUGAAAUGUUAGUACCGAAAAUGUAUUAUAUUGAAUUAAUGUACCUAAAUGUUUGUACCUAAAUGUAUGCACCAAAAUGUAUUAUAAUGAAUUUAAUAUACCUAAAUGAAGAAGAUAAAGUACAUCAAAAUAUAUUGUAUAACAAAAAUUAGUUUAUCUAAAUGUUCACAACAAAAUAUAUUACGAUGAAUGAAAUGAAAAUAAAAAUUAUAAUGAAAUAAAAUUAAUACAUUAAAAAAUAGAAAGAAAAAGAUAAAUAAUUAAAAAAUCAAAAUAUAAUUAAUAACUGAGGUUAUUAAUGUAUCAAGGGACGAAAAUUAGAUUUUGAUCUUACUCAUGGUUUUAAUCAAAAAUUCAUCUUUCCCAAGGAUUAAAAUGAAGUUUUCUAAAUGAAAAAUACAGCCGCAUAAGAAAGUACUGCAAAAUGCAGGGUACUCCAUGGAAAUGAAUAAACAGAAACAGCUUGCUUGCACAUACGUUUACUGCAAGAUGAAGCUGCCCCUUGAGAGGUGGGCCAGGGAGCUGGAAUGUUAUCAUUCAGAUCACAAAGGAAGCUGACACCUGAACUGUCAAAUGUGGCAUCGGAAGGCAGGCUUGGCAAAAGACAUCCAGACACUAUCACGCAAAAGUAAAAAGAAUGACCAGUUUACAAGAUUAGAACAAGAAAAGAGCAAAAGCACUGGUAUGAAAUUAUUGACAACUCUACCACCAUUGGCAGAGUCAAAGUAGUUAUUUUGAAAAUAAAUUCAAAAAAUGUACCCUUUUCUUUCGAUACAGUAAAACAUUUUGAUAAUGCUAAGAAUUUCUUCGAUUAUACUAAUAAUUGGAUAAUACAAACGAAAUAAGUUUAUUACCUUGAUUUCCAACUGAGUUGUACGAAUCCAUCCCAAUAAUUUUGACAUGCAUAAAGCACACAAUACAUAUUAGUACCAUUAUAGGUUACUUAUAGUUAGCUAACAAAAAAACAGGACAAGAGGAAAGCACUAACCUUGAAGCGAGAAAUCCUUCAGGCUUAUAUGACAUAGGCUAUACACAUUUUCGGUAAUAUUUGAUUUUCGUAACUUCAUUCCCAGUGAUGCAGCACAAUCCAAAGCUUGCAAGUUGGUUAUUAAACUCUGCUUUUGCAAGUGGGCCACAUAGCUCUCCAUGGCAGUACAACAUGCAGUCCGGUUACUUAUCCCAUUCCCACAACCCGUUGCAACAUGCUUCAUGUCAGGGAAAACCAGGGGACAAGCUGAAGUCAACACCAGACGCAAUACACGAUCAGAUACUCCAAUCGAAGAGUGGCAUCUUCAAGUAAAAUCAAACAAGUAUAACACACAGAGAAAAACAUUUACUAGUAUUCUUAAUCUUUCUCAUUCUUUUUCUGUCUCUCACACAAAAAAAUCAUUUAAUAAUCAACUUUCACAAUACGGGAGUAAGCCCCGAAUACGAGGAAGGUAUACAGCUAGAAUUCCAAUGAUAUCUCUUAUAUGACUAUAAUCCAUAUUCAUAAAAAUGGCAAUCCACCUGUAGAAUUUCCAAGAAAAUCCCUUCCAAUACAGAAAGAAUGAGACUGAUAACAUCAUAAAAAUUUUGAGAGACGGUUUAUAAGAAGAUAUAUGAAAUAAUAUAUUUAUGAAUAUCCCAUGCUUUGACCUGUUAAUAUAGUAAGUAUAAUUUUUCAUUUUCUAUGUAGCACCAUGUUUUACUAUAAACUCACCCUUGUUAAUCUUGCAAUUAGACAGUCCCCUUAGAACUUCCUUGGCACGAGAAGGACUGAGUUUCCUUGCCAGCCAUCGGAGGACAAUACUUUUGCAGCCAUUGACUUUACUUGAUCUAUCAGGUAAGAGAUCAUGAGCACCAUCUGUGCUCAAAACAUCAGAAGCUUUUGAUGCAAUCCUUGUAGCAGCUUCUAAUAUAGCAUUCUCACACGUUUGAGCACAGCAUUCCUUCACAGGGUCAAUCUUCUCACAAGCAGCAAGCAACUUGGAAGUAUCAACUGUAUCCUCAAACUCAUUAACACCAAUGACUGGGCAAGAUGCACCAGUCAGAUUUGAUGAAUGAACUGAGCAUAAUCGUGCAAGACUAUCAUUUGCACCCUGGGCCACCAAAAUCUGCUCGAUAUCCGAUAGGCAGUGUUUAGCAGUUGUCCCAUUUAAAGCCAGAACAUUGGUCUCUUUACUGGAUUGACCAAUGAGAAUUGUGAGAGUGGCUUUCAACUGUGGACAACACAUAACAUUAGCUAGCAAUGGUGCAAAAACGGACCAGCAAUCAAUUGAGGUCACAGUCAUCAAACUCUCAGCAACACUGAAGUUUAGCCUACAGAGUCCUGCACACACAGAUCAAUGAGAAAAGUAUGGAACUUGUGAACUAAGCCACAGAAUGCUUAGGCGAAUUUAGUUUAACUUGAGCAAAUAAGGAGGGAGGGAGGAACCUGAUAAUUUUGGGACGGUGGUAUUAGUAUAUGGUGCCAAUGGUGAAGGAGCAAGAAGGGGAAGAAAGGGUUGAGGAGUCACAGUAGGAGAGAUCAUUGGUAACAUAGAAUCUUUUUGUUUAAACGACAAGACUGGAUCUUUAGGAUAAUCUAUGGUGCUGCAACAACAUACAUGGAGACCUAUAAAAUGAAAAACAAAGGACAUUGGUAAGUAAUAACACAAAUCACAAUCGGAAAAGUUUUAGAUGCAUAAUUUCCUAAUAAAUUUUAGGGAGCAGUUCUAAAGCCAUAGACAAACUAGUCCGGCACCAAUGGCAACUAACGAAUUUUAGUUAUAAAUCCUAGAACUAUUUAGCAAUGUGCAUUAUAAACCCUAAGCCAAAGGUAAGUAUGUUCCUCCAUAAACACAAGUAGCAUCAAUGAAUCAAUAAUGUAGCAAAAUGGCAAUUACGGUGAAAUCUUCAAUCCACAAUUUUGCGCUAAUGUAUGUCCUACAAAGUUGUAUAAGGGCAAGCCUAUACUACUCAAACAGCAAUCAAGACCCUAACACAACCUGGGAUAUCUUAAUUCACUCUAAACAGUUACUCGAAACGGCGCUAUGCCUUACAUUAAGCAUUAGAUUCAAAGAUUGAGAACAACAAUAGGACUUCAAUAUUCUGAUACCAAAUGCACCAUAUAUUAUUUGAAAGCUGAAAUCAACAUCAAGAAUGUUUCACAAAAUCUGAGGUGCACACCAUACCAAAGAUGACAUUUUUAGGAACACGAAUUCCCUGGCCAGCUAAAAAAGCACAAAUCUUUCAUAAAACCCAAUUGGACUAAUACAACUAAAGCAAUUAUAACCAUGACCAAGAAGGCAAAACUCAAACUAUUUGCAAAAUUAAACAAAACCCAGUAAAGAAAUCAACAAAAAAAUAAGCUAGAAACUCACUCAGGAACAGGAUAAAGACAUGGGCAGUGAGCUUCAGAGACGCCAUUUCCUUCCUGCCUUCAAUUUCCUUACCCUCCAAACAGUGAAACCAUCACACAGAGAGAGAGAGAGAGAGAGAGAGAUAAACGCAGCGUUUUCAAGCUUCAGGCUUGGAGUUCAGAGAAGGGUUUUGCAGGUGUGAGGAAAUGGAGGAGGAAACAUUGUGGGAAGGGAAAAGGAAGAAAAGGUGAGAAAUAGGGAGAGGGGGAGCAGAGUAGGAGAAGCCAUGAAUGAGCUUGGAAGUGGGGUGGGGCCCUCAGAGGCAUUAAUAGCUGUCGUGAGUAGGUCCCACAUUGAGCAGAAGACUCGGUUAGAAGCAUAGUCUAAAAUAUUCAUAAUAUUCUGAUAUUUCUAUCGAAAUUUCCGUGUUUUUGGACUACCGAUAUUUCCAAUAUCAUUGAUAUUUUAGACCUUGCUAAGUCACUCAUGUAUCUUACCAUGCAAUAUAUAAAGUAUAAAAUAUUGUACUAAUUCAUUAUAUAUAAAUGAUUAUGAUGUGUUUAAACUUCUUUCAUUAAUUACUACAUAUUUUCUACACUCACAAUGUUUGCCAGAUCGCUAUAUAAUCAACCUAAAUCAAUUAUAUCUAUCAUGCAAUGCAUUUCCUUUCAAUUUUUUGUGAUAAACUAAUAGAUAAUUGACUAAAUAAACAUCUUGCAAAGUUUCAAUAAAAAUUUCCAAGUUUUUCUUACAAUUUCCGUGGUUUUUAUUCAAUUUUUAUCGAUAUCAAUAAUAUUUUGAUAUUUCUAUCUAAAUUUUCGUAUUUUUAAACUAACGAUAUUUUCGAUAUUUUAUACCUGGUUAGAAGAGGACUGGCGCAUUUAACGCCAUCCAUCGCCUUUUUCUCCCUCCCCACUCCACAACAAUCACAACUGGCCAUCACCUGCUUUCUACACCAGCCAUUUGGCACAUGUGACACGUGUGAAAGUUCCGUGCAUGAUGGCAGUCGUUCGGGAUAAUUAAUGCGGCCGUUGGUCUAAAAUUUCUGGUGCUCAUUUGUGUAGGCAAUCAAAUUGAGAAGUUGUAAAAUAUCAAUAUUUUUUAUUAAAGAUAUUAUGAUGGUGUCAAAUUUUUUACAUGUUCAUCAUUGUUUCGAUUUUUUUAUUUUACAUUGUUUAAUAAACGGUUAGGUUGUAUUCUAAUUCACUUAUACGUGAGAGUAUCUGCAUUUAUAAGUAAGAAAUCUUAGUUUUGAAUCUCGUAAAUAACGAGUUUGAAAUCAAUUUAUAUCUCACACUCCUUUAGCGUAAAUAUAUCAUUGUAUUAAAAAGAAAACUUUGUGUGCAUGGUAUUAUUACAUACAAACUUUGAUAUUGCAUAACUACUAAUUUGAUUUAAAAUGUUGAUUUGGGUUUCUAGAGUAAAGUUCAAGCAUGGUAUUGGGUCAUUUUUAACUUUUAUUAUGAUAUAUGAUCCGUUAUGGUUUGUUUGGAAAAGCAAAGAAAAAUGAUUAGUAUAAUAGAUGUGAAGGAGAAUCCUAAUGAUGUGGAUUAUGCCGUUUAGGUACGGAAUCCACACCUUGUCUUAAACGGUAAGCAUUUCAUGAUUAAGAAAUUUAACGUUGAUAAAAUAUAAAAAAGGUGAAGCAAGACGACUCCUAGAGCUUGGAGGUAGACUAGGCUGCCAAUGAACAAUAUCCUUCCAAGUGACAAAGCGAAACGCAUGGAAUAAAGUUUCCAAUAUCCCUCCAACCAAAACAUAUUAGUAUUUGGAAAAAUUUGCUCAUAUUUUAUGUAGAGUAAUGCUAGGCAGACCAACGUUUUAUAUCAUAUUUGCAAACUAUAUGUUGUAUUACCAAUAGAAAAUAAACACGUUAAUUAACACGUAAGUAAUAAUUCAAUCAUCAACAGCUACGUCACAUGAUUCACAAAAUUUGGUUUAAAUUGAUGUGGCAUGUCCCAACCAAACAAACAUCACGUGAAUGAUUACUUGGGAUCAAGCCCACAAAGAUAUUGACUUGGCCGCUCAUAAAAUUUUAUUUUUUGAAAAGUCCCUAAAAUCAAGAGAAAACUUCAACACGUUGCUUGACCACAUCGUCUGUAAGGUAAUGCUCACAAACAAACAAGAUUCUAUGCAUUUAGGUUUCGUACCCUGCUUAACACUUGUGAGAGUUUCCUUUCUAAUGACGUGAUUACGAUGUCCUAUUGAGGAUUUUCUCCAAAAUCACUAGGCACUUAAAAAAAUAAAAAUAAGUAAAUAAGAAAAGAAAUAUUCACCUGCACAUGUACACAGACCAUAAAAUGGAAACGCAUAGUGACAAAUUUGAAUCUCUAGAUACAAGAAAGUAUGAAUUAAAAAAGAAUCAUAACAAAAGAAUUUUAAUUUCAGGCCUAAAUUCUGUCGUCUAGAGGUAUUUCUGAUCAUGAUCGGCGUUCAAACAUGCAUAGUAAUAUGAAUGAUGAACUAAUUAACCUCCGGAAUACUUUGGAGAACAGGCCUCCAGGGCCGAUGAUGGUCCAUCUCAUCACGAUCAUCAUAGUACUGAUCAUGAUCAUCAAGGCCGUUGAUCCUGAGCCGAGCCAAUAACUGUUCCACAGACGACAGACCCUGCAUGUUUCCUCCUCCUUUUACCAACUCCUCCAGCUCCUUCUUAGUAAUCUUGAUCUUCACUUGAUCUCCUCCAGUACUACUAGUGCUAGUAGAAAAUGAAGGUGUCGAGGCUGCAGACGAUGAAUAUGACCUUAUCUCGCCAAGAAGCCUAUGCCUUUCUGGGCUGUGUGCCAUUUUAGCAUCAGGCUCAAGCUCAGAAACAUCAAUCCAGUCGUCGUCUCUGGCCCAUACCAUCGCCGAAUCGCGUCUCAAACAGUUUCCCAUUCCAGCUACGUGUAGCUUAUAAAGCCGAACAAGCUUAAGAAUUAGGGUUGUUGAGAAAUAGGCCCUCAAAGUGAGCUGAAAGAAUAGAGAGUUUAACGAUGGGGGAAGUUUGUGUUAUAUAUAGGAGCCCUAGCAAAGUUGAAAAAGGUGGGUGGGAUUGGGUCGAGACCUUGACAAUAUUAUUGUUAUAAUAUUACACUUGCAGCCUCCAGGAACCUGCAUGCACGAACAAUAUUAUAUUCAAGGUCGAUUUUUAGUUGGUUCAAUUUAGAAGAGUAGUGAAGAGGACAAAGUCAGCGGCUCGGCUUAAUUUAGAAGCUCAAUUUACAAGUUGAAGUAACGUUUGACCGCGCCCCCUUAUUUAUAUACUCUAACGGCACGUUUACGUAAAUGUAAUUGGAACAAAAAAACAGAAGUGGAUUUUGAUUAUAAAGUAUUCCGUUGUUCACCAAAUAUUCGAGAAUAAAAAAUUUAGUGGGACCCACAUAAUCGGAAUGAUUUUUUUCUCCCCAUUAUACACUCACUUAUUUCUAAAAUUUCAAGAUUACCCACACUCACUUAUUUCUAAAAUUUCAAGGUUACCCUUCGGAUUAACCCACCAAAAUUGGUCUCUUAGCUAAAAAAAUAAAAAAUCAACAAAAUAAAAAAAUCAAAGUUUUUCUCACAAAGUUAAAUAGUAAAAUAAAGUUUUACCAAAAUAAAUAAUAAAUGAAAAAUGAUUAGCAUAUAAAAUAGAUUAUUAGAAUAUGAGCAUUUUCGUAAUCACAUUGAAUUUCAUUCUGAUUCAUGUUAAUUAGUAAACGACUCAGUCUGAUUCAUGUGAAUUAGUAAUAACUUAUAUGGUUCAGUACUAUUCCUACUUCAAUUUCUAAAAAAAAUUAUGAACAGUUUCAAUAGGAAUCUGAUUUUGAUUCUCCUCAAUUCAAUUAUUUUCAUUCAAAUUACAGAUUAGUAAAAUUCAAUUAUUCUCAUUCAAAUUACAGAUUAGUAAACGAGCCAUAAAAGUAUAAAAGUGAAACAUAUUAACUUUUGAUGUUUUUUAUUAAUAUACUUUCGAAGUGAAACAUAUGAAUCUUCAAUCAUGUACUCCUACUAUAAUAUGUGUAAUGGUGCCCACGUGACUCGUAUUCUCAAUAUCUACAAAAUAUCUCUUCAAAUUGGUUAUUAAUUCAUUAGUGUGGCUUGUCAAGAUUUCAGACACACAAACCAACAACUCAUUACUAAUCACCUUCGUACUCAUACUUAACAUGCGUAUUACCUACUAGAGUUUUAUCAUAAAGAUCUCAAUAAAAUUUUAAUAGUAGCCGUUUAUUAUAUAUUGCACCUUUAUUUUGUUAAAUUUCUAACACGUUACUCUUUACAUUCUUUAAUAUGUCUAACAAAGUUGAUUUUUACACAUUAUUUUAACAUCUUAAUUAUUUAUUACACUUUAUUCUUGUUAUUAUCCAAAAAAAUCAAACGAGAGUGUAAAAAGAGAAAAAAUGGUAUAUGUUUAAGGAAACUGUUAUUAGUACUUUAAAAUUUUCAUUCUACAUUCUUCAUAAAUGUAUUUUUUUUUAACUAUAAAAAAAUUAAAAUGAGAUUUUUGAAAUAUCGAUCACAAUUCUCACGUUUAAUCCCUAUCUCUAGUAUACGUGUGGAGGGUAGGUAGCUGGCUGACUAGCCGAGAGCAGGCUGGCUCGUGAUUUGCAUGGCUUGUACGAAAUUGAGAAAUAUUUCUAGAUUAACUGGAAUGGUCAAACCCUGCGGCAGUUCGAAGGAAAUAUUAUAUUACAUAUACUAGAUUUUCAAAUUCAACGUGUGAAUGGGACUUUGGAAUGGCAUAUUUGGGAUCGGACGAGAAGUGUGAACAUAGAUGUGCAAAUGGAAUCUUUGACUUGGGAAUUUUAACAAAUUAAUCAAUUUAUAUAUUUGGAGCAACAACUUCACCAAUUCUAGCUAUUUAGUUGGUACAUUUCGACAAUAGCAUAAAUUGUUCGUACAUGUGGACCUAUGAGUGUAUAACGGUUGUUAACGCUGAGCAUUUUUAGGCCCGAAUAGUGAUGCGGGUUGGGAAGAGUGUCUCAGAAAGCUCAAGAGAAAUUUGAGAAGCCCCAUGCUCAAGGAGCUGAUAGGAGGAUAUAUCUGAGCGUAGUAGCCGACCGCUCAUGAGCCUAGCUCGACCGGGGGAUGCAAGAAUCUCACGCCCGCCAAGAGCACGUUGGCAGAGUUCCCAAAGACAGGUGUACUCAGAUGCCAAUCACGCCACAUGACAACUACCAUUCAGUGACAAAGACAUAGGACAAGACGUAAAGGUAGUGGAAUGGUGCUCGGGUAGUAGGGUUGGAUAAACAAGGCCGAACGAGGCGCUCAACUCGUACCACUCUGACAUGACUCACUAUUCAAGCUGAGCACCAACUUAUAGUCCUCGAUGUAAAUUUCAACAAAAUAAAACCUUCUAAAUUAAAGUUACAGUAAGAACGAAAUAUCCAUGGAUGAUUGUUGGACAAACUUAACUUCUGAUUUGGAAAAGCACUUGGAAACUAAAUACUAGAAUAUAUGAUGGUGGUUUGAAAAGCAUGUGUAGUCCUAAAAAAAGAAAAAAAGACGAAGAGGAUGAAACCAAUUAGAUUGUCAAACAAGUUGAAUGAUCUUAUGUGGAAAGGCACUUUAGUAACCAAACAUUGAGGCUAUUAAUUUCGUCACUAUUACAGGAAUUUUACCGGAGAUACAGAAUUUGCAUAGGAUGGAAUAUUGGGGUUUUAAACCCUAAAAAUUGGUUUUACAUAAGUUUUUUUAAGCAUGUUCUUCAUUGACCAAGGAAGCUUUCUGAACAAGAAAUAUAAAACAAAUAGUUAAUGACAAUCUUCUCGUCUCUUUCUGUUUAUUUUGAACUCAUUAACAAUGCUGAUUUUUUUCUAUUUGAUGGACAAUGGUGUAUAGGAAGAUGGAGGCUCUAUUUGCAAUGGAAAAAUAAUCUUUUAAUUAAUUAAGAUUUAUGUUAAUUUAUUGCGAAGUCAUUGCCAUAUUAUUGCUGGCUCAUUGAUGAGUCGAUUUCAUAUUAUAUAUUAAAAAAGAAAAAAAAGAGAAGUCAUUGCCACAUCACCUAUUAAUUCAGUGAUAAUCAUUUUAACUUUUAGUUUCGACCAUUAGAUGUAUAAUAUUUGUCCAUUGAUCCUAAUCCUAAAAAGUAGAAUUGUAAGUAAUAUUAGUUAUAUUUUUGUGUAUGGCUCCCUAAUACACGCCGAUCACACUUUUACUCCUAUUUUCCUUCCUCCUCCCUCUUCGACUACAACAAAUACAUGACGGUACAUUUGGUCAAGACCACCAACGAGCAGUCACCACCUUCCACGUACGUAAAAUUUGUCAUUAGAAUCAUUCGAUGGUUAUAUGAAAUUUGUUUAUUACUGAUUAUCUUGGUUGUAUUAUUUCAAAAAAUGACUAGGUUUGGUGCUAUAUUGAAUUGCAAUGGUAGGUGGGUUGACACCAAAUACAUUGAUGGUCAAGUGAAAUCAACGGUUGGCCAGAUAACGUCACUUAUGAAGAGUUAGUGCAUGUCAUACUUCAACGAUUAGGUUUUGAUGCAAGAAACUGUGAAAUCGAAGUAUUUUAUCAGUACAAGACAAAUUUGGGAUUGUGCAAUAUGGUGGAGAUAUGUGACAAUGACGAUGUGACUACUUGGGUUUGUAAAAGCCUUUCCAAAGUUCCACUGUACAUUAAUAUCAAAAGAAAGUUUUCCGGAUGUGAAAUUGCAAGUAACCAUGGCAAUGCAAUUAUAAACUAUUUGGCUUUAUUAUCGAAGGUAAGGUUACAAACGUCUCUCUAACUAUGUUACAUUUCAUGAAACGUAAGGGGUUUCUAACGUCUUGCAGAACAAACAUCUCUCUAACUCUGUUACAUUCCAGAGGUUCUAAAUACGUUAUUGAUCAUUGGUUUGCUAUUUCAGAUGACUCGAGAAAGAAAGAUCUAAAAAACAAACAUUUGUGGGAAGAUUUGGACUUGGAGAGCUACCUGACGGCAACGGCAGCGGCCCCGCGCUGGGGUAGAGAGCCACAAGUUUGUGAUGUUAUCCCACAUUUCUUUUGAUAUGGGUCCAAUUGGACUAAAAAUUAGAACUAUUUCAAAAGUUAAAAAUCACUAAAAAUUUGACCUAUUUCAAAAGAUGGGCUAUAAAAUUGAACCUCUUUCAAAUUUUCCCCUUAUUUUACAUCUCUGAGAAUUCUACUCCAAUGAAAAAGAUGUAAUCCAACUUCCAAAAACGUAAAAGAAAGAUGCAAAUAUACCUUUCUAUUUACAUCUUCCCAUCGAAGAUCAAUAAUUUACCACCCGUAAUUGGAGAGCUUUCCAGCUAAGAAAAAAAAUAUACAAGCUCUUGUAAUAUCAGCUACAAAGCCCAAUAGCGAAUGUCCGAGCAACAAUCGCAUCCCUCAAAUUCAUCUAUCAUGGAUCCACCCAUAACCUAAACGUCAACAAAGAUAUACUAGCAAAUGCUAAGGAGACUCUUAAAAGUAGGACAUUCCAUAGACUCUCGGUCGGCUCAUCUUUGUGGCACAAUUCUCGUGCCAACUCAUAAAACAACGUGCAAAAGCAGCCAAACAAAUGAGGUGGCGAAAAGUCCGGAGUCCACUUUGAGAGUCUCCUUAGCAUUUCUCAAGACAUAAAUACAGAGAUUUUAAAACGUUUCAUGUUUUAAAACCCGGAGAUCCAAGUGAAUUACGUUCGAGAAUUAGACAUAAACCGACUGCCAAAACAACAAAUUAAAUUUUCAACGCCAUGCAUUUAAGUUCAAAUGAUGCCAUUCAUCUCCCGAUCAGUUUUUAAGUCUUAAAACUAUAUAUACAAAAUACCUAAUAAAAGUUGGCAACAGAACAUUUCACAUUGAAGUCUCACGCAAUGCCAUUGAUUCUCAAAGAUCAGUUUCAAGUCUUCAAACCACGUACUAUCUAAGCAGCUCAGAUAAUUGGCUCAGAGCUCUUCAGCGGGUCCAGCUUCCUUUCUCUUUUCCACUGUAGGUGAUUCGAACCCACCCGUCUUUGUCCCUGUUUUUCUCAUCGACUUCGGACAUCAAGGUAGUACCUGCGCAACAUUGGAACAAUUAGAGUGACUACAUCCGGACCUAUGUUGGGACAAUGAUGGAUAUUAUUACUUCCGGCCUACAACAAAAAUGUGAUGUAGCUAUGCUCACCAAUGGGAGGUUCGGUGUUCUUAAAGUAGACAAACAUCGACUUCUUCCAUGGAAAAUCAUGCUGAAUCCUUAACCGAAUAAAAUCAACAAAUUCUUUGAGAGGCAUAUCACAGUGGACAUUGUAUCUGCAGUGAAAAACAUAGGACAGGUGACAGAAUACAUGUGAGAACCCUUCAUCCAACACAAGCAUGUACAUCUUAUUUCAUCUCUAUUUCCUCCUAUUUGUUUCUGACAGGUUUCGUAACAUAUGAUGUAAAAAACGAGGGGUGGGAGCGUCAAAUCACUAUAAUCAAAGCAAAAAGGAAUCAGAAACAAACUUUGUCAUGUCAAUAUCAGGAAUGUCACUGCUUACAUCCUUCUCCACACUCACCUGCACAAAGGCUCAAAUUAGAGCAUCCUACGUAUUAACUCCACCGAAGGCAUACAUAGCUAAUAAAGUGAAAGUCUUACAGUUAUAUGAUCUGGUUCCCUUGCCCUCAAUUCCCAAGCAUUUAAAAACACUGGUGUGUACGUCCCCGGGUAAUCCCUGAACAAAUAUCCAAAGCAUAGAUGAAAAAACAGCAAUCCCAUUUCAUUGUAGCAAAUACAAAUCAAGAUAAUCUAAAGCACAAGGGAAAGGGCAACAAAUUUGUUGUGCGGAAGCGUCAAAUAUGAAACCAAUAAGCAACAACGGCAAAAUAUGAUAAGACAAAUAAUCCAAAUGACACAAGGAUUUAUACUGGUUCGGCGUAAGCCUACGUCCAAUUCCGAGACGGCGAGGAAAUUCCACUAAUAUCAAAAUGGAGAUUAAAAAUAGAGUUUUAACUCUCAAACCCAAAUCCUACAUACACCCAAUAGCUCUCACUCUCACAAAGAACAAAUGGAGAAGAUGGAAAACAUAUACCAAAUUCCUUCUCUCCCAAAAGCCACAAAAUGUAGCACAAAUAUCUUUGAUUGAGUGAUUACUAACAAAAGGGGAUUACAAACAAAUGGGAAGGAGCAGCACUGUUUCAAAUGGGAGAGCCGAACACUCUCCCUGGUAUGGCUUUCAUCUGAUGCCACUCCCCCCACAUCUCCCACAUUCGGAUGCAACAUUUAUCCAUACAAAAGCAUCCAAUAAAAAAUCCAAAGUAAAGGAAUAAUCAUUCCUUUACAGACAUCAUUAUGACAUUUCUUUUUCUUUUCAACAAACAUCAUCAUUGGUAUCCUCAUAAUGAUGUUCCUACAUCAUUAUGUCUUUCAUUUUUUAUUAUAUGCUUUUGGCCACUUUACCACUAAUUUGGCCACUAUCCAACAAUCUCCACCUUGGCCAAAUUCCGAAAACAUCACAGAGAAUCGAAUCAACAAUCACCAUAAGCACCCAAAGUACAAACUAAAGACAACGGGAACUAAAUCAAAUUCUCCAAACUUACCAGUGCUCAUAACAAUUUCCACCUCGACUCAAACUGUACCAAAGCCAACGAAAGUGAACAUUUCUCUACCAUCUUCUCCAAAUUUGCAAACCAUAAGUGCCUUGAUCAAAACAAAAGGUGAUUCAAACGAAGAACUGAAAUUCUUCAAUAUCACCAACAAAAGAUCAAGCACAUCAUACCAAAGUUGGACACACAACGAACUCCACCUGCUCACAAACACCAUGGUCUUAAACUGCACCAAUAGACUCAUUCACAUAGCAUGGCACAUUCUCCAAGUCAAAACUGAUUACAAAUUUGGCAACAAGGUCUCACAUACCACAUACAAAAAAAUAUGCCCUUCACUCAAGUUUACCAUCAUCACAUGAGCACCAACAGGACAACCAAAAUUUCAAAUUCAAAUAAUCAGUAGGAGAUCCAAAACCAUACCUCAAUUGGAGUCUUCAAAAAAGCUAAUUGCAGAUGAUGGAGACCAACAAACCAAAUAGCAGUGGCAAACAAAUCCAACCAAAUGUACAUAAACCAAACAAAGUUAGAAAGCAUAACUUGCCUUCUACAAGAGGGUUCCACACAAAUGUUCUGCAUUAGGUGUCUCCAAAAUAGUGUGGUGUCUCACUAUCCAAACUUGCAGAACUCAACAAAUUGGCCCUCACAAACUCCUCCAAUGUUUCCAUCAACUUGCUCCAAAGGCAACUAGUGGGAGUGAAGAAAAACUUCUCUACCGUUGAAAAAAUGCCAAAGAGAAGAAAACUUAGCCUUAGCCUUUUUCCCUUUUCUUUCAGCCAACAACAUCAUUUGUCAUCAUGAUGUCCUUCUGCCAAAACAAAUGCCGAAAGAAAAAGAACCAACAUUUUCUUUUCAAUUUUCAACUGCUUCUACCUUUUCUCCUUCCCACUCAACUCGUCGACAACAGCCUACAAACACCUCCGGUGCAACGAUGACCAACGGAAAACCCACCAAAAGCAGUACACUACACCUGCAGCCGUCGAACACCAACACUUCAACAACAUCAACAACAACAUUGCAGCAGACACGCUGUUUCCGAAACCAUUCUCCAAUUGACCAAAUACCAAAGUCAUUCCCCCUGUUGAUUUUUUUCAAAAAAAAACAUAUUUCACCGUCAUUCGAAGAUUUCAUAGACAUACUAGUACAAAGCCUCCAAGUCGAAACCCGGAGCUCUGAUACCACUUGUUGUGCGGAAGCGUCAAAUAUGAAACCAAUAAGCAACAACGGCAAAAUAUGAUAAGACAAAUAAUCCAAAUGACACAAGGAUUUAUACUGGUUCGGCGUAAGCCUACGUCCAGUUCCGAGACGGCGAGGAAAUUCCACUAAUAUCAAAAUGGAGAUUAAAAAUAGAGUUUUAACUCUCAAACCCAAAUCCCACAUACACCCAAUAGCUCUCACUCUCACAAAGAACAAAUGGAGAAGAUGGAAAACAUAUACCAAAUUCCUUCUCUCCCAAAAGCCACAAAAUGUAGCACAAAUAUCUUUGAUUGAGUGAUUACUAACAAAAGGGGAUUACAAACAAAUGGGAAGGAGCAGCACUGUUUCAAAUGGGAGAGCCGAACACUCUCCCUGGUAUGGCUUUCAUCUGAUGCCACUCCCCCCACAUCUCCCACAUUCGGAUGCAACAUUUAUCCAUAUAAAAGCAUCCAAUAAAAAAUACAAAGUAAAGGAAUAAUCAUUCCUUUACAGACACCAUUAUGACCUUUCUUUUUCUUUUCAACAAACAUCAUCAUUGGUCUCCUCAUAAUGAUGUUACUACAUCAUUAUGUCUUUCAUUUUUUAUUAUAUGCUUUUGGCCACUUUACCACUAAUUUGGCCACUAUCCAACAAAAUUAACUACCUGUAUACAUAAUGGUUCCAGGGGUCCAACGGACCAAUCCACCUUGAAAUCUGAAUCUUCCCGAUUUUCCUACAAGCAUAAAUGAAAAGGGAACAACCUUUAUUCUAGUUUCCAUUGCAGCAAAAAAAAUAUGAUAAUUAAAGAACAAGGGAAUCGACAACUAACUUCCCCCUCUUGAACCUGCCAGGAGCUAUGUCACUCCUUGCAGCAGCUUUAUUAGCAGUAGUCUUCCUCCUGACCCUGCAAGGAUGUAAACAUACAUAUAUGAUUCAGCUAAAGUGUAUCUUACCACCGCCCCUCUGUAGGAUGCACUAUUCCAAGGGUCUAACACCUGAAUGGGCCAUAUGCGGCUGAAAAUAAAUAAAAAAGUAGGAAUAAAUGAAAGGGGAAGCAUGCAUCGUGUUGCAAAUCCAUUCCCUUGUCGACAGAAACAAAAAUCAAGACAAAUUUAAAGUAAUUAAUGAAAAGGUAUUGGCAGACUAACUACCUGCCCUCCUCCUUGAGCUCUGGCACAUAAGCCUCCGCACGCACUGAAAUUUGUGAGUACUCAGAGAGAGCAUCAUGGAGUCGAGCCUCUUCUAAGUAUGACUCAGCUUCUCUCUCAGAUAAAACAUGUUGCGUUUCAGAUAUCAUGUUUCAUGUUUUAGUUAGGCAGCCCCAUUUGUCCAUUUGUUUUACAAAUUAAGCAUGUGUUUUAGAAAUGUUCUGGCUUACAUGGUGCAUGUCUCUGUUUUAUGAUUUUCUUUAUUAAUAAUUCGAUUUGCUAUACUAGUCAAUCUCUGUCCUUGUUCCCCAUGCAUCCACUACAAUGAUUGUAAAACAUGGCCAUGUUUUGGACUUGGUCACUGCUUCCCAGAUUGAUUGGAUGAAGGUAACGCUUGCUUCUGACAUUUACAUUGGUUUGAGCUUAAAGUAUUUUGUUCUUAUUUCAUGAUGCUCACAAAUCUUCAUAUUUUGUCACUUUCAAUCAUGGAAAGUCAAAAUAAAAAAGCAAGCAAAUGUGCAGGGCCAUGGCCUGGGAAGGCCCAUGGCCAUAUGAGGAGAAUAAGGGGGGGUUGGCGCCCCUGGAGCAGGUUUUGCCCAAGGGAAAGGAAGACGCCGAGGUGGUAGACAACUGAGUCAUCGCCACUGCCGCCCCAUUGUAUAUGGCCAACGGCGCGGAAAUGACAUUGAUUUUAUGAGGGAAUAUCAUGAGGCGGUGGCUGCUAGUUUGAAAUAUGUCCUCACACUCCUUUUGCAAGAUUAUGUGAGUGUUGGGGACAUGAUUUCGCACAUACAGAGAGUUGUUGAUGUCGACGGAAAUCGGGCAUUGACCGUGCUGCACCGGAUUACCUUUAUGAUGAGGCAGAAUGGCUAGAAAGUCCGAUGAACAGUAGAGGAAGCUAGAAUAGCUGUGUGUGAUGAUUUCCGCCAGACUGUCCAAUCAGUAGAAAUUGUUUUUCGUGUUGCAGGAACAGUAAGGGUCAAAAUCCACGGUCAUGUAAGGCAGCUGGCUAGGAGAGAGAUUCCCACCUUGACUGAAUUGGUAAACCGGAUUCGCCUUUGGGCAGCAGUAGAUGGAGAUCGAGAGAGGUUUGAGGUGCAGAUAGCUGGGCAGGUGAUGAAUUACGACUCUGACGAGAUUGAGACUUAUAGCUACAGGGUAGGCUGGGGGAGGGCAGUCAUUGCUCUGUGGGGUGUGUGGGUCUCAAGGUAGAGAUCACUCUAUAAAGGAAGGGGUUAAGACUGUGACUUUGAUUUAAUGGUAAUACAAGUAAACAAUUCAAAAGUAUAGGAUUAUAGCCGACUUAUCGAACUAAACAAUCUUUGCAAGGAUAAGAAUUUGGAUCUAAUCUGCUUUUGUUUUCAAAGUGAUCAGAUUUUUUAUAGCUGACUGAAUUUGGAAAUGAGCAAUCCUGACCCCUUAAAAUAAGGCCUGCCCUCAGACCACAACAUCGUUCAAGUCAACUACAAAAAAUCUCAUCACUUUGAAAACAAAAGCAGAUUAGAUCCAAAUUCUUAUCCUUGCAAAGAUUGUUUAGUUCGACAAGUCAGCUACAAUCCUAUACUUUUGAAUUGUUUACUUGUAUUACUGGUAAAUCAAAGUCACAGCCUUAGCCCCUUCCUUCCUUCCUUUACAGACUGAUCUCUAUCUCGAGACCCGCACACCCCGCAAAGCAACGACUGCCUUCCCCCAGCCUACCAUGUAGUUAUAAGUCUCAAUCUCAUCGGAGUCAUAAUACAUCACCUGCUCGGCUAUCUGCACCUCAAACCUCUCUCAAUCACCAUCUACGGCUCCCCAAAGGUGAAUCUGGUUUACCAAUUCGGUUAAGGUGAGAAUCUCUUUCCUAGCCAGCUGCCUCACAUGAACGUGGAUAUUGACCUCUAUUGUUCCUACAACACGAAAAGCAAUUUCUUCUACUGAUUGGACAGUCCGGCAAAAAUCAUCCCACGCAGCUAUUCUAGCUUCCUCUACCAUCCAUCGGACUUUCUGGCCAUUCCGCCUUAUCAUAAAGGUAAUUCGGUGCAGCACAGUUAAUGUAUGAUUCCCGUCGACAUCAACAACUCUCCGUGUGUGUGAAAUCAUGUACCUAACACUCACAUAAUCCUACAAAGGGAGUGUGAGGACAUAUUUCAAACUAGCAGCCACUGCCUCGUGAUAUUCCCUCAUCAAAUCAAUGUCAUUACCACACCACUGGCCAUAUACAAUGGGACGGCGGCGGCGGGGACCCAGUUGUGUGCCACCUCCAACACGUCCUCCUACUCCUAUGGCCAUAGGCCCUCCUUGACCAUGGCCCUGCACAUUUGCCUACUUUUUUAUUUUGACUUUUCAUUACUGAAAGUGACAAAAAAACACAAAAAAACACGAAGAUUUGUGAGCAUCAUGAAAUAAGAACAAAAUACUAUAAGCUCAAACCAAUGUAAAUGUAAGAAGCAAGCGUUACCUUCAUCCAAUCAAUCUGGGAAGCAGUGAGCAAGUCCAAAACAUGGUCAUGUUUUACAAUCAUUGUAGUGGAUGCAUUUGCAGGGGAAGGACAGAGAUUGACUAGUACAACAAAUCGAAUUAUUAAUAAAGAAAAUAAAAAAACAGAGACAUGCACCAUGUAAGCCAGAACAUUUCUAGAACACAUGCUGAAUUUGUAAAACAAAUGAACAGAUGGGGCUGCCUAACAGAGGCUUAAAACAUGAUAUCUGAAACGCAACAUGUUAUAUUUAAGAGAGAAGCUGAGUCAUACUUAGAAGAGGCUCAACUCCAUCCCUCUGCAAAUUCCUAAUGCAAUCACACUCAUUAUCCUGAUGAAGCAGCAGAGCCCAAAACAAUAACCAAAUUAAAAGCCAAAACAGAAGAAAACAGACAAACAAACCUGACCCUGGUUGGUCAAAUGUAUUGCAAUCAAAGGAGAUGAGGAGUGCCAAGUUUUGGUAUAGCGUUGCAAUGGAAUCAGGGUGCAAAGCUACAGAGGUAAAUACAACAUAAACCUUAACAACAAACAGUAGAGGUUAAAGUAUCACCUCAAGCGGAAAGUAAGCUAGCUUCUUUAGUUUCGCAACGGUGAUGCAUGGGAAAUCUGCUGAUUCACACACCGGUAGGUUUUUAUAAACGGCAAAGUAUUCAGAACAUGUAAUUUCUUCUCCAUCACCAUACUGCUCUUGUUUUGAUUUCAGAAAGAACCUAGACAUAAAUGUGUUGCGGUAAAUUCUUCGAUUAAAUCAGAAACCAGAAAUUGAGAUGAUCUUUUAAGCCUACUUUACAGAUGGCAUGGAUAUAAGAAGGAACAAAUGCAAUAGAGUAGACUGAUGACUGACUGAGGAAAGAACAACAGUAAGUACUCACUGUUUUGCUACAUUCUGCCUUAGGAUGAUAUCAAGAACCCACACUGCCUCCAAUGAAGAGGAAUCAAAACUGAUCUGUGAAACAGGAGAAUGAUUAAAGCUCAAUUUUGGUUGCAACUCUAGAUCAUGUAAAUAUAAUACAUCAGAAAAAUAUUAAAAAUAACAGAAAAGGGAAUUCAGAUAGGACCAACAGGUAACUAAUAAGAAACUCAACCACAAUUGCUUUCAUUGGGAUUUUAGUCUCAAGGUUGACCUGCAGCUUUAACGUUUUGGAAUGAAAUUGCUUCUCAACUCUCGUCCCGUCUCCCUCACUCCCAACAUGCUCAGAGCCCCUCCCAGGGCUUGCAUUCUUCCAAGAUAUUUGUGCAAAAGGAGCAAUGAGACAAUGUCCUUAUUCAAUAAAAGAGCAAGAAAAUGACAUAAUAAACGACGUGUUAGUACCUGAAAUGGUUGGUCACCGCCACAGUAAGCAAUUCUUUCUCUCCAUAGGACUUGUUCACCGCCACUUUGAAAUGGUUGGUCAGAAUCCUUUGCCCCUUUUGUUCCAUUGGCAGGCCUUGCCAUGGGAAUAAGUUUUGGAGUUGAUGUAUUUGUAAAUAGCUCAACAGGCUUUUCUUCUGCUACAAGCAUGACAACAUGAGGAGGAAUCAUGGGUGGAGGUGGAGGUGGAGGAAGUUCAACUCCUUCAGGAUUUAAAAACUCCAUUUCCCAAGACCUGCUCAACCACAAAGCCCAUUCCAUCAAAACUUUAAUACAAAUAAUUGCCAGAGAGUGAGAACAAUUUGCAUUCCAUCAAAAUUUCUAGCAGCCUAACUAAGCAUACAUUGUAAAUGGCAUGACUGUGGGUUAAAAUCUGACAAGAGAGAGAUGGCGGUGGAGAGAAAGAACCCACUAACCUAAAAUUCAGAACGCACAGUCGACUUUCUUUGCACUCUGAUAGGGAGAGAGGUGAAGGCGGAGAGAAAGAACCGAACAACCUGAAACCCAUAAUCCACCACCGGCUUUCUGAGAGAAAGAACCCACUAACGUAAAACCCAAAUGCACCGCCGCUGGGCUUCUUUGCAAUCUGAGAGAGAGAGGUGAAAGUGGAGGUACAGGUAGAGAAAAUGAGGGCAAAAUGUAGUAGUACAGUUGCUGGGACCCCGAGGCUCUGCCUGUCCUCUGCAGUGGGAGGGCAGGGGUUGUGUGAUGGCCAAGUCCUAAGUCUAAAUUACCUCUUUUUUUUUUCUUUUUUUUUAAUGUGACUUGGUGUAAAAAGGGCUUUUGCAGCAAAAAAAUUUCAAUGUGCCGGUAAAUUUUCUAAUAUUAUGUGCCAUUAUAUAUAAUGGAGAAGUCAGAAAAUUAUAUUAAAAGAGGCAUUUAAGCCAAAUGAAAGAUUGCAAUAUAAUUAAUGGGAGAAAAAUUAAAAGUUUUAUUUUUUUGUAUUGACAUGAAAGUUUUUAAUUAAACAAGAAUGGUGGAGCCUUAUAUAUUGUAUUAAAAACCUAGUAUUGAAAUAAUCAUAUAAUAAAUCAAAACCUGUACAAGUUUUGAUUAAAAAAAAUAAACACAUCAUAUUCGAACAAAAAAUUAAGAUCGUUACUUAAAAUAAGAUCAUGCUCGAGACUGUAUAAGCCCUUGUUUUAUAUCAACUGGCUAAAAAAUAGGGUAUGAUUUUUAUAUGUAAAACAGAUGACCAUUAUAACAAAAAAAGAGACCUUAGUUUUAAUAUGAUAAAAAAAUAAGGCAAAUUAUGAGGGCAUUUUUAUUAUUUCAGUUUAAAAAAAUCUGAAAAAUGUUGGCAUACCAGCAACUCUCGAACCGUGGACACUCAGAAUUGCAAAAACCCACUAACCAAUGAGCCACAUGCUCAUUUCUGUUAAAACCUGCAGAAAUUAACUUACAAAUCGCUGAAAUGCCAGGAUAGGCCUAGGACUAUGCUAGGCUAUGUAGCUCCGUCACUUAUUAUAAAAGUAGUAUAGAAGAUAUAAUAUUUUCAAUGUCUCUCAACUUGUAUCAUGACAUGUGAUGGUCUAAUCGAUUGUGUUUUCCUUACAUUGAAAAAUCUCGUCGUCUACGCAAAAGUGGCGGAAUCUGAAACUAAAUUAAGAGAAGCCAGAAACCUGAUUAGGGGGGGGGGGACUUCAAACAAAUCCGACUUUUAGCUCAAAUUGCGGUUUUGUUUUUUUAUUGUCACGUGCGUUUUAGUUAUAUAUUUAUCUUUCCGACCCAUCUUGACAUGUGGUGCAUAGUCAUUAUCCACGUGGGCACCACGUCGUUAGUCAACGAAAAAUUUAAGAUGUACGAAGGUUCCCAAAAUUAUGACUUUAGGUAUCAGGCUAGAAUGAAAAAAAAAAAAAAAAAAAAAAAAAAACUUGAUAUAUGAAAUGUUGAAAACCAAAAAAAUUUAGAGUAGUAAACUGAGAUUAACUUUUUUUUUUUUUAAUCGUUUUUUGGAUGUGAAAUAUAUCUUUUUUUUCUUACAACAGGAUAAUUGGGCAAGUUUCUUUUUCUAGGUUUGUUGACGUACUAAGUUUCGUUGCAUCGCAUAAGACGUUCCAAGAAGCGUUUCAAUAUCGAAGUUGACGAUGCGGAGAUGUAAAAUCCCAUUUUUCCAAGAAGCAUUCCAAAAUUUUAUCAUAAAUUCAAGUUCCUUCCUUGAAAAAUCCUGAAAGUAUUUUAUGAAAAAGAACCUAUGAUUUAUGUAUUUCUUUAUAAAACAUUAAAACAUUAUUUGGGAAUAAAAAAAAUUACUUUUGUAUAAUAUAAAUGUCAAUUAGUUAAAAUGAUUCACUUUUAAUAUUUUGUCACUUUUGAUAUAUGUCACCGAUAUCGAUAACAUCAACAACACAACUAUAAUAUACAAUGCAAGGCUAAAACUAAAUCAUUUUAGCAACUGAAUGCAAGAAGUUGAUUAUUUCAACUAAAAACUUUAUAUAAAAUAACAAAAUGCUAAAAGUAAAUCAUCUUGUUAUGCUAUAUAUGCUACUCGUGCCUAAAUUUAUCUUUCUCCCUCUAGUUUCUUGGUUUAGUGUUUGCUUUUGUUGGGAUUUUCAAAUUAUAGCUUAGCUUGGUUUAAGUGUCAGAGAUUUUUUCAUUGUAUUCGGAACACACAUGAUAGUAUAUUAUAUAUCACUAUAUAAGUGAUGAGAUAUUUAUUUAAAAAAAUUAACAACCAGAACACCUGCAUCCGGAAUACGAGGCAAAUUUUCUCCAAAAAUUAAAAUCCCCAAGAGAAAUAGAGGAGGACGAAAGUCGCGGCCAAACAAGCGAACUCUGACGCAGCUACAUGUCGUUCACUAAUCAGGACGGCUGAGAUUUUGAGCAGUCCGUUGACCUCCUUGAUUGGUAACCGUCGGGAAACCAUUACAUUGCAGACAAGUCUCGAGCUAGUCGUCGGAACAAGGCGCCACCCCUGAGGUUCGGCAGUUCGCGGUGGAUUCAGGUCUAAUGCAGCGACUAGGAAGAGGACGAGGACGAGUCUACGCUCUAACGGUCAACUCUAGACUUUCGUGCACGGACUUGAUCCUCGUCUAAAAUAUAUCUCGCACUUCGUCCAAGCGUUUUGAUCAUGUCCUAGCAUCGCUAGGGUAUCUCGCACUUCGUCCAAGCGUUUUGAUCAUUUCCUAGCAUCACUAGGGUCGGUUGUCCCUCCGCACCCUUUCCAAAAGGAUCACCACUCGAGUCGGUCGGUUCUACAAUAUGUGGUGGUUUCCAACCCCAUGGUUUGAGAACUCGGAAGCUUUUCCUCCUGCUCCUGGUGCUUGUCACCUUUCCUGUGUUAGAAUUUUACAAGUUUGUAGAACGUAAUAUAUGCUCAUGCAUACUGUUGAUGUAGUAUAACAAGUAUCCCAGAUUAUAUUUGUGCGACUAUAUAUGAUACCUGAAGCAGCCAUUUUUGAAAUUAAAUGUAAUUCUUCUUCUCGUUUAAGACCUUAUGUUCCAUAGGUGAGAGAACCCCUUAAUAUUGAGAUCAAUUUCUUCACGAGGAGGGAAUUAGAUUAUAUAGACAUGGGUAAUAUUAUGCAGAAAUAAACAACAAACCAUCAGGAUAGUCAAUUUCCAAAUAGAACUCUCCUCGUCCUUCCAUGUCUGCAAAUAUUCAAACAACGGAUCAGUUAUUGAAGAUAGAUGUCUCUUGAUUAUUGGUUACUGUGUAAUCAAUGCCACAUCAGUCUAAGUUGUUAUAAUGUUUGUUAGGUGGUUAAAUGAUUUGUUAUUUGGUUAAUUAGGUACUUGUGGUUAAGUAAGCUUGUAUUGUUUAGUAUAUAAUGCACUUCCACUUACAAAUGUAGUAAGUUGUCAUUUUCCUCAAAUAUAUAAAACUUUCUCUCUCUCUCUCUAAACUCUCUGUGUUCUUCCUUUUACUCAUCAUUUGUUCUUGAUUUUCCCUUCAAUUCUCAAACACUACAAUGUAGUUAACAUGGUAUCAGAGCCACCAGGCUCACGCCAUGGAUUCUGGUGGUUCCAUUUUCAUUAGUUUUUCAUCUUUUUCUAGUUUAGUUUCUCUUCGAUCUUCAUUAGGUAUUUCGAUAAUUUCUUCAAUGCUUCCGGAACUGUUUAGUUCGCUCUGUAAUUUCUGGGUAAAUUUUCGUUCUGGGUUGUUACCAGAGAUCAUCAGUGAUAUGAUAUCUUGGUCUUUGGAAUUGUGGAAAUUUUUUCAUCUGUAAGCUUGAAUCUUGAUCCUUUGGGCCAAAUUAGAAGUGGGAACUUCUCGGUUCUUGAAUUGGGGAUUUUAUUUUUCAGAUUUUCAUCUAAGUUCUUCAAUGGGUCUUGAAUCGAGUCCAUUAUGGCCCAGUUUUAUGUACCUGCGUGGUGAAUCUUGAUCGACUUCACGUCCGGCACCGUAAUCUUACUGUGUGGGUACUUCAUCUUCGCGUGUCCUCCCUUAUCUUGGCUGGAACGGCAGAGAAUUGGAGGACAGCGAGCGGAAGAAGAAGGUCAAGAUCAUGUCGAGGAAGACGAAGGACCAGAACGUGAGCGAGCCGUGUCAGCGGAGAUGGUGAAUGUGUGGUGACAUAUCUUUCAUGUUGUGAUUUGGUAAUGGAGGAAUCCUCUGGUUUCUUGGAGAGAUGGGUUGUUUGGAUUUCUGGGAAAUAGAUCGAUGCAGGACUAAUUCUUUGCACUGUUGAUUGAGAUCUUGGAUUUCUGAAUGCUAUUUUCUACGAUUUUGAUCCCUACUCUGUUCCCUAGUAUGGAAGAACGUUUAGACCUAUGUGCAGCCCAAGUGCUUGACGAAUUGCCCAGCUCAGAAUUGCAAAUCUGGGUUGCUCGAAUAUUAGGUAUCUGGGUUGCUUAUCGAUUGGACGUCUGGAGUUCAGUGCUAUUUGACGAUCUGGUGAUGCUUGUGUGGUGAUUCAGGUGAAUUUGUUUCUAUUUCUCGAAUCUCGAUUCUAUAUGCUGCUUAUUCUCUGAAGUCGUGGUAUGCGUUUAUUCUUGAUUUCCUGGUUUGUUUGAAGCAAAGAUUUAGUGGUUCUUGAUUUCUGGAUAGAAUUGUGAUAUGGUGAUGUCUCAAAAGGCCGAUGUCAUAUAUGGUGUUUGUGAAAAUGUCUUAGACAUAUUGUUUGGACCUGAUUUUACACAUCGGCCUAAGCAAUCGAGGCCGUUGAGUAAGCAUGGUUCUCAACCGUUGGAUAAGAAAGUUUAGAUAUUAUUGUUAAGAGAUAAUAUUAUGAUUUUUAAUCAUAAUAAUUAUUUUUUAAUAAGUUAUCUCGAUUUUUUAUGCAAAAUAAAUGGGAUGGAGGCAAGUAGAGUUGUGAUGGGGACGUGAGCUUUGAAUCAGGUUGGUUUGUUUUGCUGGACAUGCAUGCAUGUGAUGUAAAGAUAAUGAAGUGAUAGGGGAUAAAUCCAAACAUGCCAAAACGUGUAAUUUGCAAAAGAAUUGUGCAAUAUGGAGAUUCUAUCCUAAUGCAUGGUUUUUUGGGAUUGGUUUUGUGCACGUGGCAUGCGACAAUGGAGAUGAUGGUUUUGCAUGGUGAUGGCAAUAUGGGUUUAAAGGUUUCUCAUGUUUUUUUUAAUAAGAAGCCUAGGUGGGUUAGAUCUCUAGUGAGAUGUGAUAAAGCCUAGGUAGGCUUUAUUUAUCUGAAUGAUAUGUGCGGCGUAUUUGAUACGGGAUCAGGGUUUAUCUGAAGGAUAUGCGCGGCAUAUUUGAUACGGGAUCAAGGUCAAUUCCACAAAAUAGAGUUGCAUUUGGACUCUACAAAAUUAUUUGGCCGCGUCACACAACAUUUGCUCCUAUAAAUACAGAGGUAGUGGCAACGGAAGAAGGACCCCUCAAAUCAAUACAAAAUUGCCCUGCGCAAACUCUUAACAACUUGAGAUUUUUUUUUCUUUUUCCUUUUCGCUGACACAUCUUCCGUUGGCAUCAACAACACUGUGGAAGUAACCGGUGAUACCUUAAGUCGGCAUAGAUAGCUCUGUCACCGUAGAAUUAGUCGUUCUCGCAGUAUCUUCCGUUGGCAUCAACAGCACUGCGGCGAGAACGGUUGAUUACCUAUCCAAGUCUCGGUCGAGAAGGGUUUCUAAAUCCUUAUUGGUCGAGGUCAUCUCAUCAGCACAUUGAAAGCCGAAUUUGAUAUUGAACUUCGUAAGAAUAGUAACCUUGUCUUCAGGUUCGAGAGCCCAAGGGCCGAGACGUGUUCCUUUCUCGGCCGCAAUCGCAAGACGCAGAAGUCAGCCGCGCACCCAAUGCAACAUCAACAAAAAUUUACUUCUCGGCCGAGCUCGGCCGACGAGUUGGCACGCCCCGCAAUCACCGAAGGACGUAGUUAGCCUUUAGAUUACUCGGCCUGCGCGCCACGUAGGCUUUGUAGUUUUUAGGGUCAACACAUAUAUUGUGGGAUUUUAUGCAUGAUUAAGUGUGAAGGCGGAUGUCAUAUGUUGAAAGAUGAUGAAAUAUGAGUUCUUGUUAAUUGAAUGAUAAGGCCGAUGCCAAUGGAUUGAUGUUCUGAAGAUUCCAGUGUUGAAUAUUGUUAAUCUUGAAGUUGAAAUUGUUCAACAAGAUGUCUGAUAAGUCUGUAAGAAUUGAAAGUUAGAUUUUAAUUGCUUGAAGAACUGUGUGAUUGGAUUCUUUGAUUGUACUCUGUUCUCUGCUAUGAAAGAAAGAUUAAACCUAUGCGCAAUUCAUGUGUCUGUCGAAAUGCCCAGCUCAACAGUUUCAUGUGAAGGUGCUUAUUGAGGAGUUUGUGCAGUAUGUUUCCCUUAUCUUAGCCUAUAAUUUCAGAGUCUAACCAACUCAGUUGUUAGCAUGAAUCUACAGUAAGUCUGGUUACACGAAGGGUAGAAGAAGUUGUUAACGGUAAAUCCCACGAAGGGUAAUCCCGUGUUUUGAGUAGGUAAAUCCCACGAAGGGUAAUCUUACAUAAAUGUUGAUUUUUCAGUUGUUGAAAUUGUGAAGGCCAAUGCCAUUGUUCAAAGAAGUUGUUUUUGGUAAAAUCCACAAAGGGCGAUCCCGUGGUGCUAUAGUUAAGGCCGAUGCCACACUAUAGUUUGUUAAUUUUCUGUUUUUGUAAAUAUUAAAGGCCGAAGCCAAGUUGAAUGAGAUUGUUGACGGUGAAUCCCACGAAGGGUAAUCCCGUAAGAAGUUGUUAUACCGGCAUGAGGGUGUGCUACAACUACUUUAUAGAAGGUUGUUCUUGUGUAAAACUCCUGAUAGAGGCAGAGGCAUACAGGGUGUCUUUAUUUGUAAGGCAGUGGAAGAAAUUUGGACUGACAGACAGAGGUUUUUUGGUCAACAGCUACAAAGAGGUUAUGGGGUACACUUGUGUGUGUUAUGUUAUGAUCAGACCGUUUGCUGCUACUCCACUGUGGUUGUCUGAUUAAAACAAAAGGAUAAUGAGCAAACAUUAGUGCCAAACACUUUGAUACAUGAUUGGUUUGACAUUCCCUGGCUGAAGGCUUAUUACAACUUCGGAUUUGAUCACUUUAACCUCACAUGGAAGAAAGUGGGUGUGAGGGGUCUUGUUGAUUGCCUCUUGGGAAACUCAGGCCCGUUCGCUUCUGGUGAUUGGAUUCUCCCAGACCUAACACUUCAAGGCUUUAUAAGACUUAACAACCACUAAGCGUACCAAGAAGGUGUUGGGUGUCACAGUUCCUUCAAGUAUAUUCGGAAUUCAUCCAUUGCUUUUUAUUAGAGUGUUGCAGAUGAGCCAAUGGCGUUACCCUUCAGAUGUCUCUCCCCCAUACAAAGGCUACAGGGAUGAUGAUUGGCAGGCAUAGCAGAGGAGCCAUAUGCUGGACCUGGUGCAAGGCAGGCCAGUUUGGAGAUUGUAAAGAUCAAUAAGAAGCAGAUGUCUCAACUUGCAGGACUCAACAGUUUAUCUCAUGCUCACAUUGCUGCAAUCUCAGGCUUGGUAACCUAGCUGAGAUUGAGGGGGGAUGAAGACAGAUGUCUCUUGAUUAUUGGUUACUGUGUAAUCAAUGCCACAUCAACCUAAGUUGUUAUAAUGUUUGUUAGUUGGUUAAUUAGUUACUUGUGGUUAAGUAAGCUUGUAUUGUUUAGUAUAUAAUGCACUUCCACUUACAAAUGUAGUAAGUUGUCAUUUUCCUCAAAUAUAUAAAACUUUCUCUCUCUCUCUAAACUCUCUGUGUUCUUCCUUUUACUCAUCCUUUGUUUUUGAUUUUCCCUUCAAUUCUCAAACACUACAAUGUAGUUAACAGUUAUGUCGACAUAUAAGCAUAAAAUCAAGAGCCAACAAAAUUCAGAAAAUUAGAGUUUCUUUUGGUAGCUGAAGAAUGGAAUUUGCUCGAGAGAACUGCGUGCGAAAAGUAACAAUUAACUGAAAGAGGGAGAGAGAUACCAGGCCAGACCUGUUUUGCUUUGCCCUUCUCUUCUUUCCGAUAUUCCAAAUCGAACCGUCGUCUUCCUUCUUCGUUUACGAAUUACAAUUUACAAUCUAUCUUCCCUCUAUUUAUAGUGUUCUUUCUUCGACCGACUCCUACAAACGGCGUCGUCUGGCUUGCUGUUGGGUUGGGCCCUUCCACUUUCUUAUCCGUUGAUCCGAUGAUAAGAUAUAUUUGUAGAUCGAUGAUAUGAUGAUUGAUUGUAAUCUUAUACUUUUUUCAAGCAAUCAAUUCCAUUCUUCAGUUACCAAAAGAAAACCCUAAUUUUCAAUUUUUGCUAACUCUUUCGGUGUUUGAAAAUUUGCAGACACGGGACUCCUAAGACGACCAUUCGUUGUGAAGGUUUCAUAUCCUGGUCCUGACUUUGCUGCUGGUUAUGAUGGUGUGUUGAUUUAUUUGUUUUAUAUUUCUUUGGUUUCGUUUUUGGUGUUUUAUUUCUGUUGUUUAUGCAAAUAAUAUCCAUCUUCUGUUGUUUUAUGUAUCUUGUGGGAUUUUUAUUUUUGAUCCAACUGAUUUGCGCUGGAUUGGAUGGAAUUGUAUCUACUUAGUUUUUUGUUUUGAACUUUCAAGCAUCAAAGUAAUCUGGCUGGGUGGGUGUUUGCAUUGUUUUUUUUUUUUUUUUUCAGUUAAUUAUUUAGUUUUACAAAUACCUAUGCAUGUGCCCUAGUUAGUAUUUCCUACCCCCGUAAAGUAGAUUUGGUCUCUCUAUCGAGCUCUCUCUCUAUAGUUCAUUCCUUACAGAUUUAUGUUCGAACUUUCAGUGCAUCAUCCGGAUUAUCACUCCAAAAGGCUUCUUUUUUCUUCUUUUUUGUCUUUUUAUCUUUUUUGAAGCUCCACAGAGUUAUUUUGUAUCAUAUUAAUCCAAUGAUCAAGUUCAACUAUCUAUUUUCAUAUCCCCAUUUAUCAUAUAUUAUUUACAUACAAGUAAGAAAAAUUAGUGAUCAUACAAGCAUAACUACACACCGGGCUAUGUUUAAGUGUGUUUCUUAUACAAGCAUUACUUAUUCUAGACUAAUCUAAACUGCGGGAAAGAAAAUUCAAAAUCGAGUACAUAAAGAAAGCACAUAAGCUCUAACUAAUAUGACUGCGACUAGUGCCAUCGUUUGCUGCUAAGUUCAAGUGUUUUAAUUAAUUAAGAGGUUCCUUUUCCCACUUCCUCUCCAUCUUGCAUUAAUUUACAUGGUUUUUAAUGUUGCAAAAGGUUCCUAAUUCUCAGCCAAGAACAACUAUUUGAAGCAAUAUAGCUCUAAAAGCAGUAUUAAAUCAGCUUAGAACCAUGUUUUUCCCUAAAACCUAUUAAGAAAAUGGCCAGCCCACUAUUUCAAAGUUUUUGAGAUUAAACUUGCCACAAGCAUCUAUCAUCAAAUGGAAGAAUGCAGACUCAACUCCAUCACACCCAUGGACCACCUUUGUUUUCUCUCUCUACUCUCUCUCCCUCUCCUUCUAGAGAAUUAGCCAAAUUGCAAUUUGGCCCCCAUCACCAUUCCCUUUAACAAUUAAUAUCUUUGAGGUUUGACCAACUUAAUGGUCAAAUAAAAUACAUCUUUACUAAGCCUCUGUUGCCUUUGCACAUGGAUAGAAGCCACAAAACCCUCCAUGAAAAUUACAGUUAAGUCUUCUCUGUAAAGCAAUACCUAAAAAGGGUUCAAAACUUUUGCCUUUUGGAGUGAUAAUUUGUAAUGUUGUACAAUAUAUAGAUACAUAUAUUUUGAAUAACUUUUUUUUUUCCGAUUAAUUGAUGUUAUAUAUUGUCAUAUUAUGAAUAUGAAUUGUAAAUUUACUACUCGUGUCUAAAUAUUCUAAUAGGCGUAUGCAACUCUUGGUGAAAAAUGUUAGAGCGUGCAAACAGGCAUAGUUUUCACUGUUAAUUGCCCUCUCAUUAUAGACACUAUGAUUAACAAACGAAAACAGCAUUUGGAGAAGGAAAAAUAAGUAUACAUGUAAGUGGCAAGAAAAAGUAACGAGGUGAAUCCACGUUUAUAAAAGUCAUGCCAGUAUGCUACUAGCUACACAUGAUAACCUAUACCUGACUAUUGAGUCAUAAAUGAUAAACAUGUACGACCGAAUAUUCAAAUGUGAUUUCUUCAAAUAUAAUUUUUUAAGAGUAAUUUUACUUUAAUUUCAGUCCGCAAGACUUGAUUACAUAAAGACAGAGUCACGUUAUUCCCACUCUAAUGUCUUAUCUCUUCAUCUAUUUUUUAAUAAAUUUUUUAAUUACAACUAUGCCUAUUUGUAAAAUGACUAAUAAAGACCUUAAAAGAUAUAAUAAUAAUAAUAGUAAGUUAUAUAUUUAUGCAGGUGUUUUUUAAUUUGUAUCUGGUUUGUAGAAAAAAGUAUGUGAUGUAAAACUUUUUUUCUUAAUAUGAAACAAUCAUUUUCUUAUGUUAGAUGAAGCAGAUGAAAUUAAUUCCAUCACGAUCAUGUCCUUAAUUUUAGUUUUAUAUAUUAUUUGUUUAUAUUCUUUUUUUCUAAGAGACAAGUUUAUAAAUUUAGAUAUAUUAGAGGUUAUUUUAGAAAUAAUAGGCUAAGGAAAUAAUAUUUCAAUUGUUUGACUUUUUAUAGCGGGUGAGAUUAUAAUGUGAAUGAAAAAAAUAAGACGCUUGUUUUGGUUGGUGAUUUAUAAUACUCUCAAAAGAUAAUUCUAAAAAUAUUUAAAAACUCGUUAAUCUAAAAAGGCAGAUUUGAAAGUUUCUGUCUUUGGAAACCAGUAUCAUACGAGCCUACCAUACACAAUCUUAGGAAGGAAAGAAUUUCUAACAGGAUGCAUGCUUCCCCUCUCAUUUAUAUAUUUCUGCUUUUUUCUGUGGCGGUGGCAAGAUACACUUUAGAAAUGCCCUAAUUAGUCUAAUAUGAAGAAGGCACUCGGACUUGGUCGCUUAAGAGGAAUACAAUAUUAGUAACUUGAAAAUAGUCAGAAUGAUACAAUUGCCCACACGGAAAUAAGCAGAGUUUGCAUCUUUUAUUAUAGACACCAUGAUUAACAAAAGAAAACAACAUUGAGAGAAGGAAAAAUAAGUACUUCCCAGAAGGGAAUUAAGUACAUGACGGGAACCAUUAAAGUGAGAUUUGCCUAAGGAGAAUAAUGUUUUGACUUCGAGGUGUGACAACUGAAAGUGCCAAGACAUGUUUUUCCGAAAACGGCUAUAGUGAUACCUUAAAGGCAUAACAUGUGAAGAUAGGUAGAUAGAAGCUAUCUUUAAAGGGAAACUAACUUCAUGUUCUUAUUUCUUAAACUACAUAUACUAUAUAGCAGCUCACAUCACUUGACUCAUGAAAAGUUCUUCUGUUCCUUCCUAAUCCACCAUCUUGCGCACGCAGUGGAGCCUAGUAACUGCCCUCAACCAUCCUCGUGUCUCAUCGUAAUCCACAAAUGCUUCCCUGGUAUACACGGUUAAGCCAUUGUUACUGGCAUGCAUCACAUAAUCCUCCUGGCCGAUGUGGCCGUCCUGAUUGUUUCCCGGCAACUCUAGAAUGCAAUUAUCCAGAUGUUCUAAGGACUCGAAUUUCCUCCUAGGAUAGUAGACAUAAGUAGCCCCAUUGAUCUCAAACCGUACAUCUCCAACUACAUUUUGCCGAUAAAGUGCUUGUACACAUUGCAAACGGUCCCUCACUGCGAGCCACCCUUCUCUUAUUGCAUCCUCCACCCUCAUUAGAGUGUUUUGACGAUAUCGGCCUUGCCCUUGCCCUUGCCUCAUGACAAAAAAUACUUCAUGUAUUGGGCUGACUCCUUUAUGGCCGUCUACAUCGUCAACACUCAGAACCUGCUGCACAAACGACGCAACAGAGCUGUAAUCGUCCAAGUCAAACGAGUUGAUGUAUGAGAGCUCAUCCAGAUUAUCAAUUUCCUUCAUUAGAUCAACUACUGGCCUGCUUCUACCUCGCCUCUGGCCAUGUUGUAGACGCUGUCUACCUCUGCCCCAUGUAGGCCCUCCUCUGUCGCCUCUGCAGCCACCCCCUUGAGCCAAUUGCGCUGCUUUAGGGGCGGCAAUAGGGGCUCUUCCUCUCAUAGCUCUCUGGAACUGGCCUUGGCGUUGGCCUCCGUGGCUACUAGAAUGUCUCUUAAAAUUUUGGUUCUGCAUGAGCAAGUCCUGAGCAGGGCCAGGUUUUACAAUCAUUGUGGUGCAUAAAUAUAUAAACAGUAUCGAGGACUGAGACAAUAUAAAAUGAACAUAAGAAAAGAUGGAAGAAAAUGCAGACAGCAUGAAACGGCCUUUUUCUAGUAUCAUUGCUGCAGAACUGGUUUAACCAAACCAAGCACUGCACUCCAUAUAAAGCUGAGUAAUGCUAGAAAGACUAAAUUUGGAGACUAAAAUUGCAAACUAAAUGAUGUGUCACCAAUAGAAAUGAGCACGUCUAUUAACGUUUAAGUAACAUCAACUUCCAUAUCCUUUAGUUUUUAAAAUUUAGUCUCCUUAGCAUUACCCUUUCCUUUUUAUCUAUAGGGCUCAUAAGUAAUUGUCAAGAUCACUAAGCUAUACAUACCACAUGCCUUAGUCAGUGACCCUUGUAAUUAGUCAACAAAAUAUACCACUUACUGUUAAUGAGAUGAUGAGGAAUAUUCAGUAAUCUAGCUAGUAGUGCAAUUUUUUGAUCUUAUAUGGCUGCCACAUAUCAUGUAAUUUCUUGUUUCAAUUCGUUUGAGAAUGUCGAGAAUUAUGGUUUGGAUCAAGGUAUUAAAUAUCGAUGAUAUCGGAAAUAUCGGUAGUCCAAAAACACGGAAAAUUCGAUGGAAAUAUCGGGAUAUUAUCGAUAUCGAUAAAAAUUGAAUAAAAACCACGGAAAUUGUAAGAAAAACUUGGAAAUUUUUAUUGAAACUUUGCAGGAUGUUUAUUUAGUCAAUUAUCUAUAAGUUUAUCACAAAAAAUUGGAAGGAAAUGCAUUGCAUGAUAGAUAUAACUGAUUUAAGUUGAUUAUAUAGCGAGUUGGCAAACAUUGUGAGGGUAGAAAAUAUGUAGUAAUUAAUGAAAGAAGUUUAAACACACCAUAAUCAUUUAUAGAUAAUGAAUUAGUACAAUAUUUUACACUUUAUACAUUGCAUGGUAAGAUACAUGAGUGACUUAGCAAGGUCUAAAAUAUCGAUGAUAUCGGAAAUAUCGGUAGUCCAAAAACACAAAAAUUUCAAUGGAAAUAUCGGGAUAUUAUGCAUAUUUUAGACCGUGGUUUGGAUGAAUGUCGUUGGUAUAAGCACGUCCAAAAGUUUAUAAAAAAUUCAACUUCCUUCCUUCUUGAAACUAUUUUAUGAAAAAGAACCUAUGAUUUAUGUAUUUCUUUAUAAAACAUUAAAACACUAUUUCAGAAUUAAAAAAAAAUACUUUUGUAAUAAGUGAAAAUUUUAAUUACAUAUUUUUGAAUCAAUUAUUCAAUUUUGUUUUUAGAUGAAAAUUUUAAAUUCAUUAACUUUUGUGAUAAAGUUAUAUAAGAAGAAAAAAAAAUGUAACACAAUUAAUCUGUGUUAUAGGUAGAUUAUGAACAAAAACAUUUGGCAUAGGUAGAUGGACAAUUAAAUGUAUAUUCUACCUAUAAGCAAGAUUGAAACCUAACUACAAUAAACAAAAAUAUAAUACAUGCAAAUAAGAUACAUUAACCAGUGAUACAUGUUAAUUAUAAAUAUAAAUCUUUUAUAUAGGUAGAUAAAUAUAAGCAACACGAUUAUAAAAAAAAAAUUAUAAAUGGGGUUUGGAAUAGAAGAACAAAAAUAACAAAAAAAUGAAAUAAUUAAAGAGAUAAUUAAAAAGAAAUUAAUUUGUUAUAAUAAAUCUUAUCAAUAAAUAAUACUUAUUGAUAAUAAAAUAAUCCUAAAUUUAAGAGAUUGGUUAUUUUAAGAAACUGGAUUAUUCCUAAUAUUGGUUAAAAAAAUUAGACUUAUUUUAAAAAACUUGACUAUUCCUAAUAUAGGCAUCCAGAUCUGUUGCCCUCCUUGAUUGUUGGUUUGCUUUGCUAUUCUCUUCUUUCCUAUAUUCCCAGGUGUUUCCAACAGCAUCCGAUUUAAAUUUGCACUCUAUUUAUAGUACGUCUUUUUGAUUCAUCAAGCGCCGUGGUUUAGGUUAGGGAAUCUGGAUCUUUUAGUGAGGGUUUCAAUAAAUUUAAAAUCGUGUCUGUUAAUUGUACAUCGUGCGAUCACAAAUUAUUUUAUUUUAUUUUAUUUAAAAUUAAACACAAACAGUAUAUAAUGAAAACUGACCGCAUGAUAUAUGAUGAACAAAUACAAUUCACUGACUCUGAAAUUAUCAUGAAGAGAAUUCGGAGAUUAUCCUGUUGGUAGGUUGGGGGGUGGACCAUGAUGCAUGAAUUUCACAUGCAAUUAUUACUCAACCAUUGCUAGAUAAUUGUUCGGCCUUCUCACCACAUGGGUAAUGCUAGGUAUAUCUCAAUUUCUUAUACUAUAUUUAAAAAUUAUGGUAGGUGGAGUGAAAAAUUAAGACACUUGGUUCUGUUGGUGGGAAAGGGAUCCAUCAAAUUCAUUAAGUUUGGGAUCCGGAUCGUAGAAUUUUAAUCCAACAGGUAUAGUUAUUAUAACUUUUAAAGGAAUUUCCUAUUUAUAACUGUUUGAUCAAAUUUGAACAGUUUUGAUCCCGAACUUUUAAUGAAUUUGGUCCUGUUGGUGAUUUACAAAACUUUCUAUAGAUAAUUCUAAAAAUAUUUAAAAAAAUCAUUAAUUGUAGGCCACCACACAAUCUCUCUGAAAUUGCAGAUACAAAAAGUACUUAUGCUAAUAGCCAAAGGACAGAACCAUAGUAGCCUCACACACUCUUAGAAAGGAAACAAUUUAUAUUCAACAACCAUCGAUGAAAAGGACCUCACCAGCACAAUCAUUUAGUGCAGAAAGAAAGUAACAUUUUUGCUCAGUAUUAUUAUUACAGUGUAUGAUAGUUAUAUACGUAAUUAUUUGUCACGUGUUUUUUUUAUGUAAUUUUAGUUAACUUUUAUAUAAAAUGAAUAUUUUUAAUUUUGAAAAAAAAUUAACCAAACUUGAAACUUGAAAAGCAUUGAGUAGAGUUCAGGUUUUCUACUGUUAUAGAGGACCUCUUUUUAUCCAAGAAUAUUAUGGGUCUUGCUGUUAUAAAAAGGGUUUUUUAGAUAUAGAUCAUUGUAAUUUUUAUUUUUUAGGCAAAAACCCACCUAGUUUUAAACUUCAAAAUAAAACUCAAAUUUAAAAAUGACUGCCAAGUAGAAAAAUAAUUGAUCUAUUAUUACAAGAUAUUUACAACUUGUACCACAAUAUUCAAAAUAAAUCAAUAAAUGUGAUUAUUCACCUUAAUUACAAUGAACAAAUAGUUAUUACACAUAUUAUUACCCCUAACAUAUAUAUAUAUACACACACACACACAGACACGUUCAAAUAUACAUAGUACUACCAUAAGCAAGUUCAAAUGUACAUAGCACUACCAUAAGCUCAAUAUAUAUAUAUAUAUAUAUAUUCAAACAUAUUAUAAUAAUUAAUCUACCUACAUAUAAAUUUAUGAUGAGCAACUAACAUAUAUAUACACAUGCGCAUGCAGUACUAUAUCUCCUUCCACCAGGUUCGACGGAAUUAAUCUGUGAUCUCAGACCCAUUUUUCUAUGCUGCCAAUCUAUCUUUCAUUAUCCACCCAAAUCGACUUUGGUGAAAGUGUAUACAAUUUUCAGUCAUUGAGGGUCAAAGGGAUCGAUAUUACUUAUUUUAUGUUGAUCUGUCUGAGUAUUCAGAUUGGAGGUUUUGGGGUACAGUCAUUAAGGAGAACUUCAUGUUGGGGCGACGGUUGGGAAGGUAGAUCUGCUUAAUGACGGAGGAGAAUGGAGGAGAAAGGUUCCUAGUUGAGAACAAUUGUUAGAAAGACGAAGACUAGGAGCACCAGUUUAUCUGGGGAUGAGAAAUGAAGGAAAAAUAAAGGGAUUAACUUUUGGGUAUUCAUGGUGAGUUAGUUCCAAAUCCAGAAGAAGAAGAAGAAGACAGGGUGAGGAAGAGAGGGAAAUUAUUGUUAAAUUGUAAAUGCAUACAACAUGUGAAAUCCAUACCUCGAAGAACUGGAAUAGACUGGAGAGAGCUAGAAACCAAUCCACCAGAACGAACAAAUGCCAGAGCUAUUAGGGGUUUUUAUUUGCAAACUGUGAGAGAGCUAGAGAGAAGCAGAAUGCAGAAAGAGGAGAAGCUAAAGGGGUUUUUAUACGCAGCAGACUGAGGGGAGAGCUUUGUUUUUUUUUGGUGGGGUUUUUAUACGCAGCACACUGAGGUUUAUACGCAGUACACUGAGGGGAGAGCUUUGUAUUUUUUUGGUGGGGUUUUUAUACGCAGCACACUGAGGUUUAUACGCAGUACACUGAGGGGAGAGCUUUGUUUUUUUUUUGGUGGGGUUUUUAUACGCAGCAGACUAAGUGGAGAGCUUUGUUUUUUUUUGGUGGAAAGUUGGGUUCUGCUAUAUUUUCACACUCCACCCUUUUUUAGUUUGUCCUUAUGUGGAAAUAUCUAACGUAUCCCUAUCCCAUCAAUUAACGUGGAGCCUGACUUUUUUGUGGUUGCAUCGUUUGCCUUUUGUGGUUGCAUCGUUCGCCUUCAAGCACACCCAUUCUUAUUAAUAACUUGACUUUUUUGUGGUUGCAUAGUUCGUUCGCCCCAAGCACACCCAUUCUUAAUAAUAACUUGACUUUUUUGUGGUUGCAUCGUUCGCCUUCUAGCACCAUUGGCCUUUUACAUAAAGUAGUGAUGCGGUAUUUGUUAGUUAUGACUGUUGAUUGAUUGAAUGAUUAAUUUAUCUGGGCGUGUGAGUGGAGGAUUUGGAUUCUCUUGGUUGAUGUAGGAUUCUCUCUUCUCUUUUUUUUUCCCUUCCUUUCCAUUAUAUUCGAACAAUCACGGUUAAGUCACGUCAACAUCUUAUAUUAAUUUUUUAUAACAAAAGAAAGACAAAAUAAGAGAAUGUGCAAGGAAUGAUAGAAAAUGAUGGAAAGAGGAAAGAAGAGAAUCCUAGUCCCUCUUAGUCUUCUUGGCACGUUCAGUUUUUUCCUUGUUUUUCUAAUCAUUUCUUCAUUUUUUUUUCUUUUCCAGUUUUUUCUUAUUUAUCUAUCUUUUCCUGAUCUGUUUAAUGUUAUUUUACAAAACUACAUUUGGAGAUGAUGAAUCAAUUUUUCACAUUAGUCUUGAAUUUUUUUUAAGGACUUUUAUGUCUUAUUAUCUUCUGACGAAGCCUUGUGACUCUAAAAUAAGGUCCUGACUUUCAAACAGCAAAAAUUUGAUUUAGUUUAUCAUUAUCAUAUAUUAGCCCUCUACGCGGACGGGUAAAAAUGAAAUUAAAUUAGAAACACCUAUUUAUUAGAGAGAGUACCAGCGAGGGUGAGCAACAUGAAAAACAAGAAAAGCUAUCGGGACCACCGCGUGUGAGUUGAGCAGAAUAAGAAACAAGAAACUAAAAAGCCGAUUCGAGGUCUCAUUUUCCUUGUAGUAACUAACACUGCGUCGGCAACAAAAUUUGCUAUCUUCUUAGUCUUGCUAAUAUAGUGUUAAUUUCGUGAGCACGUGUCUUCCUGACCAUGUUUGUCUACAGCCCAAGUUCCAAAUCCCACAGUCCUAAUUUCGUGAGCACGUGUCUUCCUGACCAUGUCUACAGCCUACAAAACAUUAAUUCAUCCAAAAAUAAAAAGACAUAUAUAAACGUCAAAAUUAUUAAGUGUCACGAAAAAUAAAUCCCAAAUUUUGUUAUAGAUUCGUAUUAAUUAGCUUGAUUGCAAAAGACUCAUAUGUACCAAGUUUCGUUGCACUAAUAUUAGAUCACAUAAGAAAUUCCAAGAAGCAAUUCAAGAUCGAAGUUGACGAUAUAAUCUCAUUUUAUUUUUAUGGAUGAGUUACUUUGCUAGCUAGCUUUCCAGUACUUUUGCAUGCUAUUACAGUUGUUUCAUAUUUAUCGAAUAUGAUAUGGAGCAUCACUUGGAGAUGUAACGGUAGCGCAAACAACAAAGUUUAUUUAUUUAAUUAUUUUUUUAACAAAUGAUAUUAUCUAUACUAAGGGGAGAGGGUGGGCUUAACCUCACAAUGAGCUAGCAAUAAUAUGGUAUAAACUCGCAUUUGGCGAGAAUCGAACCUGAGACUUCUCACUUACAAGUGAAGAGGAAUACCACUAGACCGUAAUACUAAAUAGCAACAACAAAGUUUAAUUGCCUGCUAUGUUUACCUUAUCAUGUUAUUUUUUUUGUUUCAAUUCGUCUGAGAAUGUGAAGAAUUUUAGUUUGGAAAAGAAACAUACAAGACAACCAUUGUUGCCGACCAUGGCCAUAUACGAGCAUUGUCUAAAAAUAAAGAUUUAGGUUAAAGCAAAAAACAUCUAUAUUUACAUUAUUUUUUUUUUGUCAAACAAGGCAGCUAUAAUUUCUACUCACUGGUUACAAUUUUACAUUCACAUCUUGUUAGGCCAUUUAAAAGAAUGAAUGUAGUGCGGGGUGCCGAGACGGAUCAUAUAUGAUUACUUUAUCAAGGGGAAUGGCAUCUUCCUUUUAGACACUGAUUAACAAAGAAAACAACAUUAACAGAAGGAAAAUUAACUGCUUCUGAAAAGGGAAUUACAUGGCGGGAACCAUUGAGUUUUCCUAUAUCAUAGUGUUUUGCCUUCAGGUGUAGAAAAUUGAAAGCGCGUUGCACGAUUCCAUAGUUUAAAGUCAUAACAAAAUAGGUGCACGAUUUCAUCUUUUUGAAAGUCAUAACAAGAUUUGAUUAAGCAUGUUGCCCUCUUAGAGCAUCUCCAGUGGAAUCCCUAUAUAGGGACAAAUGAACCUCCAAUGAAUCGAAAAGUGAGUUUCUAAAGUAUACGGACUCGUCGGAUACUUAGUCUAUGUACCCAUAUGUAGGGACUCUAUAGAGACUGAAAUGGUGGACCCGAUAGGACAAUUGAAGUGAAAUGGUAGGCGUGGGUCCUAGUCACAUGGCCUUGCAUUUUUUUUUCUCUUUCUUUUCAACCGUUUAAAGUGGAGGGUCUUGAUUGAUUCUUGCUUUUCAAAUUUGUUACCAUUGAAAGAUCAACGGUUCUAAUUAAAUAACUAUUUCAAUUUAGGUUACUCUCUCAUGUUGGUUUUCAAUUUUAUUUUUCUCUUUUCUUAUUGCCUCCAUUGAAAGAUUAACAGUUUCAAUUUGGAUUACUCUCUCAUGUUGUUCUCUCAUCAUUCCUAUAAUCACCAUAUUAUCUAACCAAAACUUACCGCAACUUCAUCUCCUUACAAGAACGUAAUGUUAAAUUAAUUCAAAAAAAUGUUAACAUAAAUAAGAAAUGUGCACCUAAUCAAAUUAUCACAUAAAAUUGUAAAAACCUCAAAUUUAGGGAUUCUACUAUAAGGACUCUCUUAUUGGAGACAAUAUUCCUUUAGGGACAUAAAGAUUCCCUUUUAAGUCUUUAAACGAGUACUCAAAUGUGGUGGUGGGAGUCCCUAAAUAUAGACUCCCAUUGGAGAUCCUCUAAGAUAGGUGCUACUCAUGCUUAACUUCAUCUCCCCCCCCCCUAAUUUUCUAGUUUAGUUUUUUUUGGAAUUUUCAAAAUUUAAGAUUCAUAAUGCUAAUUUAAAUUCAGCAUAAUAAUCUUCAUUUUGUUGGUUGAAUGUCUUACAAAAAUGCACCGAUGUGUUUUUUGGGUUGUUUGGAAGUGCUUUUAAUAGAAACAAUGACACACCCAACCUCGAUAUCCUCCAAACACCAUGGUAGGCAUGUGAUGGCCAACACACGAAGGCGAUGAAGCCAUAUUAACAUGCAUGUAGGUUAUGAAGAAAUAACAAAUGUAAAUAAAACAAGUAAAUUUCACUAAUAAAGAAUAUGCAUAUGUGGGAACAUGUUCAGAGCAUACAACUAAUUAAGAAUACUGUUGAAGAAAUACUAUAAGGUACGAACAAAGGAAUGAGUCAUACACCGAGAGGACUCGAAGAUACUGAUGUUGGAGUGCCUUGACGCCAGGAUAGUACGCCUUGAUUCUAAGUCCUGAAGGGGGCGCAAAACAAAGCAUGAGUGGACCAAGUUUACAUACUAACCCCCAGUUUUAGAAAACUCAUAUAGCUAAUAAGUAAUAGGUUUUCCGAAAACCUUAGCAUGCCAUAAAACUUUCAUAAAACAUAUAUCGUAUAUAGUGUGCUUAGUAGUGGUGUCACAAUCGCCCGAAGGCCCUACACCGUCCGCCCGAAGGCAUAUAUAAAUAUUCCGCCUAAAGGCCCUACAUUGCACGCCCGAAGGCAUAUAUAAAUCUUCCAGCCGAAGGCACUACAUCGCCCGCCCGAAGGCAUAUACAAAUCAUUCGCUCGCAGGCACUACACCGCCCGCCUGAAGGCACAUAUAUCAUUUGUCCGAAGGCAUAUAUAAAUCAUUCGUCCGUAGACACAACAUCGAAAGAAAACCCUAAUUUUCGAUUUUUGCUAUCUCUUUCGGUGUUUGAAAUUUUGCAGACAUGGGACUCCUACGACGACCAUUCGUUGUGAAGGUUUCAUAUCCUGGUCCUGACUUUGCUGCUGGUUAUGAUGGUGUGUUGAUUUAUUUGUUUUAUAUUCUUUGGUUUCGUUUUUGGUGUUUUAUUUCUGUUGUUUAUGCAAAUAAUAUCCAUCUUCUGUUGUUUUAUGUAUCUUGUGGGAUUUUUAUUUUUGAUCCAACUGUUUUGCGCUGGAUUGGAUGGAGUUGUAUCUACUUAGUUUUUGUUUUGAACUUUCAAGCAUCAAAGUAAUCUGGCUGGGUGGGUGUUUGCAUUGUUUUUUUUUUUUUUUUCAGUUAAUUAUUUAGUUUUGCAAGUACCCUUGCAUGUGCCCUAGUUAGUAUUUCCUACCCCCGUAAAGUAGAUUUGGUCUCUCUAUCGCGCUCUCUCUCUAUAGUUCAUUCCUUACAGAUUUAUGUUCGAACUUUCAGUGCAUCAUCCAGAUUAUCACUCCAAAAGGCUUCUUUUUUCUUAUUUUUUGUCUUUUUCUCUUUUCUGAAGUUCCACACAGUUAUUUUGUAUCAUAUUAAUCCAAUGAUCAAGUUCAACUAUCUAUUUUCAUAUCCCCAUUUAUCAUAUAUUAUUUACAUACAAGUAAGAAAAAUUAGUGAUCAUAAGCAUAACUACACACUGGGCUAUUUUUAAGUGUGUUUCUUAUACAAGCAAUACUUAUUCUAGACUAAUCUAAACUACGGGAAAGAAAAUUCAAAAUUGAGUACAUAAAGAAAGCACAUAAACUCUAACUAAUAUGAUUGCGACUAGUGCCAUCGUUUGCUGCUAAGUUCAAGUGUUUUAACUAAUUAAGAGGUUCCUUUUCCCACUUCCUCUCCAUCUUGCAUUAAUUUUACAUGGUUUUUAAUGUGCAAAAGGUUCCUAAUUCUCAGCCAAGAACAACUAUUUGAAGCAAUACAGCUCUAAAAGCAGUAUUAAAUCAGCUUAGAACCAGGUUUUUCCCUAAAACCUAUUAAGAAAAUGGCCAGCCCACUAUUUCAAAGUUUUUGAGAUUAAACUUGCCACAAGCAUCUAUCAUCAAAUGGAAGAAUGCAGACUCAACUCCAUCACACCCAUGGACCACCUUUGUUUUCUCUCUCUACUCUCCCUCUCCUUCUAGAGAAUUAGCCAAAUUGCAAUUUGGCUCCACAUCACCAUUCCCUUUAACAAUUAAUAUCUUUGAGGUUUGACCAACUUAAUGGUCAAAUAAAAUACAUCUUUACUAAGCCUCUGUUGCCUUUGCACAUGGAUAGAAGCCACAAAACCCUCCAUAAAAAUUACAGUUAAGUCUUCUCUGUAAAGCAAUACCUAAAAAGGGUUCAAAACUUUUGCCUUUUGGAGUGAUAAUUUGUAAUGUUGUACAAUAUAUAGAUACAUAUAUUUUGAAUAACAUUUUAUUUUCCGAUUAAUUGAUGUUAUAUAUUGUCAAAUUAUGAAUAUGAAUUGUAAAUUUACUUAACUCGUGUCUAAAUAUUCUAAUAGGCGUAUGCAACUCUCGGUGAAAAAUGUUAGAGCGUGCAAACAGGCAUGGUUUUCACUGUUAAUUGCCCUCUCAUUAUAGACACUAUGAUUAACAAAAGAAAACAACAUUUGGAGAAGGAAAAAUAAGUAUACAUGUAGGUGGCAAGAAAAAGUAACGAGGUGAAUCCACGUUUAUAAAAGCUAUGCCAGUAUGCUACUAGCUACACAUGAUAACCUAUACCUGACUAUUGAGUCAUAAAUGAUAAACAUGUACGACCGAAUAUUCAAAUGUGAUUUCUUCAAAUAUAAAUUUUGAAGAGUAAUUUUACUUUAGUUUCAGUCUGCAAGACUUGAUCACUUAAAGAUAGAGUCACAUUAUUUUCAUUUUAAUGUCUUAUCUCUUCAUCUAUUUUUUAAUAAAUUUUUUAAUUACAACUAUGCCUAUUUGUAAAAUGACUAAUAAAGACCUUAAAAGAUAUAAUAAUAAUAAUAAUAGUAAGUUAUAUUUUUAUGCAGGUGUUUUUUAAUUUGUAUUAUGUUUGUAGAAAAAAGUAUGUGAUGUAAAACUUUUUUUCUUAAUAUGAAACAAUCAUUUUCUUAUGUUAGAUGAAGCAGAUGAAAUUAAUUCCAUCACGAUCAUGUCCUUAAUUAAUUUUAGUUUUAUAUAUUAUUUGUUUAUAUCCUUUUUUCUAAGAGACAAGUUUAUAAGUUAAGAUAUAUUAGAGGUUAUUUUAGAAAUAAUAGGCUAAGGAAAUAAUAUUUCAAUUGUUUGACUUUUUACAGCGGGUGAGAUUAUAAUGUGAAUGAAAAAAAUAAGACGCUUGUUUCGGUUGGUGAUUUAUAAUACUCUCAAAAGAUAAUUCUAAAAAUAUUUAAAAACUCGUUAAUCUAAAAAGGCAGAUUUGAAAGUUUCUGUCUUUGGAAACCAGUAUCAUACGAGCCUACCAUACACACUCUUAGGAAGUAAAGAAUUUCUAACAGGAUGCAUGCUUCCCCUCUCAUUUAUAUAUUUCUGCUUUUUUCUGUGGCGGUGGCAAGAUACACUUUAGAAAUGCCCUAAUUAGUCUAAUAUGAAGAAAGCACUCGGACUUGGUCUCUUAAGAGGAAUAUAACCUAUUAGUAACUUGAAAAUAGUCAGAAUGAUACAAUUGCCCAAACGGAAAUAAGCAGAGUUUGCAUCUUUUAUUAUAGACACCAUGAUUAACAAAAGAAAACAACAUUGAGAGAAGGAAAAAUAAGUACUUCCCAACUUCGAGGUGUGACAACUGAAAGUGCCAAGACAAGUUUCUCCGAAAACGGCUAUAGUGAUACCUUAAAGGCAUAACAUGUGAAGAUAGGUAGAUAGAAGCUAUCUUUAAAGGUAAACUAACUUCAUCUUCUUAUUUCUUAAACUACAUAUACUAUAUAGCAGCUCACAUCACUUGACUCAUGAAAAGUUCUUCUGUUCCUUCCUAAUCCACCAUCUUGCGCACGCAGUGGAGCCUAGUAACUGCCCUCAACCAUCCUCGUGUCUCGUCGUAAUCCACAAAUGCUUCCCUGGUAUACACGGUUAAGCCAUUGUUACUGGCAUGCAUCACAUAAUCCUCCUGGCCGAUGUGGCCGUCCUGAUUGUUUCCCGGCAACUCUAGAAUGCAAUUAUCCAGAUGUUCUAAGGACUCGAAUUUCCUCCUAGGAUAGUAGACAUAAUUAGCCCCAUCGAUCUCAAACCGUACAUUUCCAACUACAUUUUGCCCAUAACGUGCUUGUACACAUUGCAAACGGCCCCUCACUGCCAGCCACCCUUCUCUCAUUGCAUCCUCCACCCUCAUUGGAGUGUCUUGACGAUUUCGGCCUUGCCCUUGCCUCAUGACAAAAAAUACUUCAUGUAUUGGGCUGACUCCUUUAUUGUUGUCUACAUCUUCAACACUCAGAACGUGCUGCACAAACGACUCAACAGAGUCGUAAAUGUCCAAAUCGAACGUGUGGAUGUAUGAGAGCUCAUCCUGAUUAUAAAUUUCCUUCAUUAGAUCAACUUCUGGACUGCUUCUACCUCGCCUCUGGCCAUGUUGUCGACUCUGUCUACGUCUGCCCCGUGUAGGCCCUCCUCUGUCGCCUCCGUGGCCACCCCCUUGAGCCAAUUGAGCUGCUCCAGGGGCGGCAAUAGGGGCUCUUCCUCUCAUAGCUCUCUGGAACUGGCCUUGGCGUUGGCCUCCCUUGCUACUAGAAUGUCUCUUAAAAUUUUGGUUCUGCAUAAGCAAGUCCUGAGCAGGGUUACAAUCAUUGUAGUGGAUAAAUAUAUAAACAGUAUCAAGAACUGAGACAUAAAAUGAACACAAGAAAAGAUGAAAGAAAAUGCAGACAGCAUAAAACGGCCUUCUUCUAGUAUCAUUGCUGCAGAACUCGUUUAACCAAACCAAGCACUGCACUCUAUAUAAAGCUAGUUUUUUAUUUUUUAUUUUUUUUGAAACACACUAUAUAAAGCUAGUUUGAGGUAAAGUUAAGGACUUGAUUACACCUAGUGGCAAAACUUUUGUUUAUUUAGAUUAGGGAGUUGAGGAUUCUACUUUAAAACAAGAGAAAUUUAACGAAAAACGCAUGGUACUGUUCACUUUAACGAAAAAUCACAUUUUUACACUAAAAAGUCAAUCCUGGUACAAUUCACUUUACCCUUUAUUUUGUCCUUAUCGUUAAAACUCAAAGUUUUCAAACCAUUUUCAUUAGUUUUCCUUUUAAAACAAUAAAGAAGAAAGCCUACCAAAUUUAUCCCUCAUCGCUUCUAGUUGUGCGCGUUCAAUUUUACCUUUCCAAAAUUGUAAAGGACUAAACCGACAGUCUAAUCCAUUUGAAAUGAUGAUAGCUCAAAGCUACACAUACCACAUGCCUGACCAUUGUAACUAGUCAACAAAAUAUACCACUUACAGUUAAUGAGAUGAUGAGGAAUAUUCAGUAAUCUAGCUAGUAGUGCAAUUUUGUGAUCUUAGAAAUGAUGAUAUGUGAUAUAUGACUGCCACAUAUCAUGUAAUUUCUUGUUUCAAUUCGUUUGAGAAUGUCGAGAAUUAUGGUUUGGAUUAAUGUCGUUGGUAUAAGCACGUCCAAAAGUUAUAUAAAAAAUUCAACUUCCUUCCUCCUUGAAAGUAUUUUAUGAAAAAUAAACUAUGAUUUAUGUAUUUCUUUAUAAAACAUUAAAACACUAUUUCGGAAUAUAAAAAAAACUUUUGUAAUAUAAAUGUCAAAUAGUUAAAAUGAUUCACUUUUAAUAUUUGGUCAUUUUUGAUAUAACAUAUCAAUAACAUCAACGGCACAACUAUGAUAUAACAACGAAAUACUAAAAGUAAAUCAUUUUAACAACCGAAUGUCAAAAGUUGAUUAUUUCAGGAAAAAAAAACUCUAUAUAAAGCAAUUCGCACAUGGAAAAGUGACAUAUAAGAAAACCAUUUUUGUCUACCAUGACCAAAGGCCCCAAAUAGCCAUAUACGAGCAUUGUCUAAAAAUAAAGAUUUAGGGUAAUUAGCAAAAAACAGCUAUAAUUACUACUCACUCCCAAUCCGGCUUUUUUAAGGAUUAAAAAAAAUGAAAACUAAUGAAAAUAGCUUGAAAACUUUGAGUUUUAAUGAUAAGGACAAAAUAAAGGAUAAAGUAAAUAGUAUCAGGUUUGACUUUUUAGUGUAAAAAUGUGAUUUUUCGUUAAAGUGAACAGUACCGUGGGCUUUUCGUUAAAACUCCCUUAAAAAAAUUUAGAAGAAGGCAAGUGAUCAUUUACUACAGUGGUAGAAAGAUGUUGAGACCUUACAUAAUAGUGUGGGUUCAAAUCUCAUCGAUGAUUAAUUUAACAUCUAAUCUAACAAAAUCUAUCGUUUGACUAAAAAAAAUUCAGAAAAAGAAAAGUAUCUGUUGAAAUAAAAAAAUAGCACAAGCCAAGAAGGCAUCCAAAUCUGUUGCCCUCCUUGAUUGUUGGUUUGCUUUGCUAUUCUCUUCUUUCUUCCAACAGCAUCCGAUUUAAAAUUGCUCUUAUAUUUAUAGUACGUGUUUUUGAUUCGUCAAGCGCCGUAAUAUAUAUAUAUAUAUAUAUAUAUAUAUAUAUAUAUAUAUAUAUUGAAAAUCUUUGACACACAAUGCCACCUGACACACUCUUAGAAAGGAAACAAUUUAUAUUCAACAACCAUCGAUAUUACUUAUUUUACGUUGAUCUGUCUGAGUAUAUUCAGAUUGGAGGUUUUGGGGUACAGUCAUUAAGGAGAACUUCAUGUUGGGGCGACGGCUGGGAAGGUAGAUCUGCCUAAUGACGGAGGAGAAAGGUUCCUAGUUGAGAACAAUUGUUAGAAAGACGAAGACUAAGAGCACCAGUUUAUCUAGGGAUGAGAAAUGAACGAAAAAUAAAGGGAAUAACUUUUGGGUAUUCAUGAUGAGUUAGUUCCAAAUCCAGAAGAAGAAGACAGGGUGAGGAAGAGGGGGAAAAUAUUGUUAAAUUGUAAAUUUAUACAACAUGUGAAACCCGUACCUCGAAGAACUGGAAUACACCUGAAGAGAGCUGGAAACCAAUCCACCAGAAUGAACAAAUGCCAGAGCUAUUAAGGUUUUUAUUUGCAAACUGUGAGAGUGCUAGAGAGAAGCAGAAUGCAGAAAGGGGAGAGCUCAAGGGGUUUUAUACGCAAAGUGAAUGGAGAGGUAGUUCCUGCUAUAUUUUCAAGGAACAGGAGUGUUGUUAAUGAACAGUGUCGAUCAUGAACAGUGUCUGGGAUGAGACGGUUGGGAUGGUAGAUCUGCCUAAUGACGGAGGAGAAUGGAGGAGAAAGGUUCCUAGUUGAGAACAAUUGUUAGAAAGACGAAGACUAGGAGCACCAGUUUAUCUGGGAUGAGAAAUGAAGGAAAAAUAAAGGGAUUAACUUUUGGGUAUUCAUGGUGAGUUAGUUCCAAAUCCAGAAGAAGAAGAAGAAGACAGGGUGAGGAAGAGAGGGAAAAUAUUGUUAAAUUGUAAAUGCAUACAACAUGUUAAAUCCAUACCUCGAAGAACUGGAAUGCACCUGGAGAGAGCUGGAAACCAAUCCACCAGAAUGAACAAAUGCCAGAGCUAUUAGGGUUUGCAACAGUAAGAGAGCUAGAAAAGCAGAAUGCAGAAAGAGGAGAGCUCAAGGAGUUUUAAAAGCAAACUGAGUGGAGCCGGUAGGUCCUACUAUAUUUUCCUACUAUAUUUUCCUACUAUAUUUUCUAGGAGCAUGUGCAAGAGAAAUUUUAAAUUGUGAAAAAUCUCUCCAGGGGCAAGGGUUGCUUGAACGUCUAGUUGACCUUAUUUGUGAAAAUCAAUUGUGUUUUUUAUGGAUAUUUUUUAAGGAAAAAUCUUCUUGUAUUAUUCAUUUUAAAGAAAAAUCGUAUUUUUAUAUUAAAAAUUCAAUUAUGAUACUAUUCAUUUUACUCUUUAUUUUGUCCUUAUAGUUAAAACUCAAAGUUUUUAAACAUUUUUCAUUAGUUUUAUUUUUAUUUUUUAAGAUUUACUUAAUUUGAUUUCACCUUACACUAUUAUUACCAUUACCAUGUUUACCUCUAUAUUAACAUGAAACAAGCACCCUAUAAUAGCCUUAUGAAUACAAUUAAAGUUACGUGGUGAAUGGAUGUAUGAGGUGUUAAUUCACUUGUUUGUUUUAACCUAUUCACCGUGAACUUGUGCCUACAUGAAUGACGGUACAAGUACAACCUCAAAAAGAGCUACACCCUUUUAUUUGUGGAGUAGGAUUCUCUACCUUCAUAUCAUAUUCUCAUCUCCUUCCAUCCCCUCCUCUUACUCAUUGUAUUUUGUUUUAUUAUUUCUAUAAAAAAAUUAAUAUAAAAUGUUAACGUGGUUUAACCGUGACCGUUCAAAUAGAAUGAGAUGUAAGAAUAGAGAGAUUAUGAGGGUAGAGAAUCCUACUAUUUUAUUUGUUACAAUGUCUUUAUAAUUUAAUGCAACUUGCUUGGGCAACAUCCUUUAAAAAUAAUCAAUAAAGUGCCAAAUUUCGUCCGAGUCAGAUGCUUGGACGUAUCUAGAAGAGGGAUAACAAUCAAUUCCGGGAGACCCCAACGACUCGCUUAGGCAACAUCCUUAAUAAUAUCUUGACUUUUUUAUUUGUUAGUUAGGAAUGUUGAUUGAUUGAAGGAUUAAUUUAUCUGGGCGUGUGAGGGGAGGAUUUGGAUUCUCUUGGACUUUAGCACUUUCCGUUUUUUCCUUGUUUUUCUAAUCAUUUCAUCAUUUUCUUUCUUUUCCAGUUUUUUCUUAUCUAUCAAUCUUUUCCUGAUUUGUACAAAACUACAUUUGGAGAUGAUGAAUCAAUUUUUCACAUUAGUCUUGAAUUUUUUUGAGGAUUUUUCACAUAAGAAACAAGAAACUAAAAAGCCGAUUCGAGGUCUCAUUUUCCUUGUAGUAACUAAUUUGCCAUCUUCUUAGUCUUGCUAAUAUAGUGUUAAUUUCGUGAGCAUGCAUGAUCACUAGCUUGUUUGUUUGCAAACAAAUAAUUGAUUUGAUUGCUCUUGGAUUCUUUUGUCGAGUCUUGUGAACUUCCUUAUUCGUGAGCACGUGUCUUCCUGAUCAUGUCUACAGCCCAUGUUCCAAAUCCCACAGUCCUAAUUUCGUGAGCACGUGUCUUCCUAACCAUGUAUACAGCCUACAAAACAUUAAUUCAUCCAAAAAUAAAAAGACAUAUAUAAACGUCAAAAUUAUUAAGUGUCACGAAAAAUAAAUCCCAAAUUUUGUUAUAGAUUCGUAUUAAUUAGCUUGAUUGCAAAAGCCUCAUAUGUACCAAGUUUCGUUGCACUAAUAUGGAGAAUCACUUGGAGAUGUAACGGCAGCCCAAUUGCUUGGACAAUUCAGGUCCACCAACUGCCACUUGGGGCCCUCUGAAGUCGGUAACACUCCCUUCUGUAAUAAAUAAUGUGACUUUUUUGUGGCAUGAUCAUUGUCCUACCGAGCAUGUACGGACGGAGGGAGGUAAGGCACAGUGGUGGCGCAUGCCCCCUCUCUUUUAAAAAAAAAAUAAAUAAAUUACAAAUUACAAAUUAUUCAAUUAAUCAUUCUCAUUUUUUUUGCUUUGCAAAUUAUUCAAUUAAUUAUAUUAAAAUAGUGAAAAUCAUCUUUUAGUUUUUAAAUGUCCCUCCAUCUUGGAUAUUUUUCUCACGCACUAAUGUCUAAACCUUGUUGAGUUGCAUGUAUUUGGUUAAUUAGUACAAAUGAGCAUUAUAUUGUCAACAAUUAAAGACAAAAUUAGACAAUAGAGUAAUAAAAUUAGGCAUUUUGUAAUUAAUUUUUUCAACAUUUGUAAAAGAACUAGCUUUAUUUGUCCAAAAAAGGAGCUCAAAAUUUUUAAAGUGCCCCCUCUUAGUUAAAUUUCUGGCUUCAUCCCUGCUACCAAGUACUAUUGAAUUUUUCCAUAAAGUAAUGAUGAAGUAUUUGUUAGUUAGGAUUAAUUUAUGGGAGUUUUAACGAAAAGUCCGCAAUACUGUUCACUUUAACGAAAAACCACAUUUUUACUCUAAAAAGUCAAACCUGAUACUAUUCACUUUACCCUUUAUUUUGUCCUUAUUGUUAAAACUCAAAGUUUUCAAGUUUUUUUCAUUAAUUUUCCUUUAAUUUAUCUGGCGGUGUGAGUAGAGGAUUUGGAUUCUCUUGGUCUUGGCACGUUCAGUUUUUUCCUUGUUUUUCAAAUCAUUUCUUCAUUUUUUUUUUCUUUUCCAGUUUUUUCUUAUUUAUCUAUCUUUUCCCGAUCUGUUUAAUGUUAUUUUACAAAACUACAUUUGGAGAUGAUGAAUCAAUUUUUCACAUUAGUUUUGAAAUUUUUUUAAGGACUUUUAUGUCUUAUUAUCCUCUAGCUCUCUAGCUCUCUAGCUCUCCUACAGCGAAAGAAUUCAACACAAACAUCGAGUACAAAAUUUUAUAUUUUAAAAUACCCAAUCAAUAUUCCUAUACGUAUUCCAAUGAGGGCCCACGAACCUGGUGGCUUGACAGGGAUCUGGAUUGUCUGUCCUCCCCAUCCAUCAUUUUUCCAUGCAUUCCUAUUUGAACGAUCACGUUAAAUCAUUUUAAUAUUUUAUAUUGAUUUUUUUUAUAGAGAUAAUAAGACAAAAAGCAAUGGGAAUAUAAAAUGUUGAUGUUGCUUAACCGUGACCAGUUCAAAUAGGAGGGCAUGAGAAUGGAAUGGGAUGGAGGAGGGCAGACAAUCCAGAUCCGCUUGAGAGGAAUACAACAUUAGUUACUUGAAAAUAGUGAGAUUGAUACAACUAAUAUAUAGUAACGGAGAGCUUUAAUGAAAAUAAUUUAAGCUAAGUUUAUUUUAAUAAAAAUUAUCCUAUGAUUUUAUUUAAUGCAAACGGCUUGAGAUUUAAUAAAAAUGACAUAAUACAAUAUGAUAAAGAAAAAAAUUUAAAUCUGCAUAACUAGAAUACAGGCUCCAUCCCAUCAAUUAACCCACUAUAUUAUUAAGGGUUGGUUUGGUAUUGUUGUGCUUUGAAAAAAAAACUGUUUUUGCUAUGCUGUGAGAAUAAACAGUUGUGAAAUAAAACAGCAGAUUGUUUGGUAAACUUUUUUGUAAAAGUGCUUUUGAAUAAUAAAAAAAAAAAGCAGUAUUAGCCUUUGUUUGGUACUGAGGUGAUUUUGAAAAAAAAUGGCUAUCAAAAAAAGCUUGAAGCUUUUUUAUGUUUGGUAAACAUUCAACUUUAGCUUUUUUUCACCGUUUUUGGUAAAAAGGCCAAAAACACAAAGCUGCAAAACCCAACUUUGAAAAAUCAGUUUUUUUUCACAUCUGUUUUACAUAAAAGUUUAUCAAACACUAUAAUACUGUUUUUUUUUUUCAAAAGCACUUUUACAAAAAAGUUUACCAAACAUUCAGCUGCUUUAUUUCACAUCUACUUAUUCUCACAGCACAGCAGAAUCAGUUUUUUUCAAAGCACAACAAUACCAAACCAGCCCUUAUAGUGUUUGAUAAACUUUUAUGUAAAACAAAUGUGAAAAAAAGCUGGUUUUUGAAAAGGUGGGUUUUGCAGCCUUUAUGUUUUUUGGCUUUUUUUCCACCAAAAACUGUGAAACAAAACUGAAGCUGAAUGUUUACCAAACAUAAAAAAGCUCCAAGCUUUUUUUGAUAGCCAUUUUUUUUCAAAAUCACCUCAAUACCAAACCAGGAUUCAACAUGAAUGUGAUGAAGCUUCCAAUGCUCCACCAUCCUUAGCCACUCUUUUCUUUGCAUGGGUCCUAACCAAGGUUAUGACAAAAAACAUAUAUAAUAUUUAUUUAAGAACUUUAACGAAAAAUUUUCGGUACUGUUCAUUUUAACGAAAAAUCAUAUUUUUACACUAAAAAGUCAAUCUUGGUACUAUUCACUUUACCUUUUAUUUUGUCUUUAUCGUUAAAACUCAAAAUUUUCAAGUUUUAUUUAUUUAUUUAUGUAUUUUAUAUUAAUAUAUGGGGAUUCCAUAUUUAAUUUAUUAUGUAUACUUGUGAACAUGAAUGUCAACAUGUAUAUACACUGUCUAUUUCCUUUCAUUGCAGAUGCAAGUUUGUGCAGAAUCGCAGUAUUUAUCAAAAUAUUCUAUGUUUUCUGAAACAAAAAUACAAACCAUAAUUUUGCAUGAGAGAGAGGAGAGAUAAGAGAGGACUGAAAACUUCAUGUAAUUCUCCCUGAUAUUAUUCAUGAAGUUGAAUUUCAUGUUGUUAUAUAUGCCAAAUCGAAAGUAUCCAUCUAUAGAUUCUACUAUUAAAUAGCAACAUAUAAGAUUACCAUUUUGUAGAAAAAGACGGACGAACGAUAUUCAAGAAUCAAGAUUGGGUUAUUUUGUCAAAACUCUCUUUAUUUUGUUCAUUUUCAGAAAUAGUGUGGGUUAUUUUGGUUCAAUUUCAUAAAUAGUGCUGGUUAGUUUGUUGUAGUUUCAAAAAUAGUGUGAGUUAUUUUGGUUCUGUUUCAGAAAUAGUGUGUGUUAUUUUGUUGUUGUUUCAUAAAUAAUGUUUAUUUUUUCCUACCAAAAAUAAUGUGUGUUAUUUUGAUUCAGUUUCAAAAAUGGUGUAGGCUAUUUUGUUGUAAUUCCAAAAAUAGUGUGGAUUAUUUUCGUUCAGUUUCAGAAAUAGUGUGAGUUAUUUUGCUGUACUUUUAGAAAUUGUGUGGAUUAUUUUGGUUCAAUUUCUGAAAUAGCUAGGUUAUUUUGUUGUAUUUCUAGAAAUAGUUUUGAUUAUUUUGGUUCUAUUUCAUAAAUAGUGUAAAUUAUUUUACUGUAGUUUCAGAAACAGUGUUUAUUUAGUGCCGUUUCAGAAAUAAUGUGGAUUAUUUUGGUUAUAUUUCAGAAAUAGUGUGGGUUAUUUUGGUUCUAUUCCAAAAAUAGUGUGGGUUAUUUUGUUGUUGUUCCAAAACUAGUGUGUAUUUUGUUCCCUUCCAAAAAUAGUGCGAGUUAUUUUAGUUCAGUUUCAAAAAUAGUGUUUAUUAUUUUGUUGUAGUUCCAAGAAUAGUGUGGAUUAUAAAGUCCUUAGAUUCCUGCAAAUUGCAAUAUCCACCGUCAUGUGCAACUCUUUUUUUUUUCUUUACAACUUAUGAAAUUUAUGCAUCUAAUACUAAUAAUAAUAAGCUAUACAACUUAUCUUCCCCAAUUAUAUCCAACUAUAUGCUUUGCCAUUUUUUAUUGAUUUGAAAACAAUUUAAUAUUUUUUGUGGAUUUUCAAUGGCAUUUUUGUUAAUGGAUUUGUGCUAAAACAUUAAUUCAUCCAAAAACAAAUAGACAUGUAUAAACGUCAAAAAUAUUAAUUGCCACGAAAAAUAAAUCCCAAAUUCGUUAUAGAUUCCUAUUAAUUAGCUUGAUUGCAAAAGACUCAUAUGUAAGUUUCGUUGCACUAAUAUUAGAUCGCAUUCCAAGAAGCAAUUCAAGAUCGAAGUUGACGAUGAGGAGGUGCAUAAUCUCAUUUUAUUUUUAUGGAUGAGUUACUUUGCUAGCUAGCUUUUCAGUACUCUUGCAUGCUAUUAAAGUUGUUUCAUAUUUAUCGAAUAUGAUAUGGAGCAUCACCUGGAGAUGUAACGGUAGCGCAAACAACAAAGUUUAUUUAUUUAAUUUUUUUUUAACAAGUGAUAUUAUCUACAUUAAGGGUGAGGGGAUGGGCUUAACCUCACACUAGGCUAACAGCAAUAUGGUUCAAAUUCGUCUUUGGCGAGAAUCGAACAUGAGACCUCUCACUUACAAGUGAAGAGAAAUACUACUAGACCGUAGUACUAAGUAGCAACAACAAAGUUUAUUUGCCUGCGAUGUUUACCUUGUCAUGUUACUUUUUGCUUCAAUUCGUCUGAGAAUGUGAAGAAUUUUGGUUUGGAUGUUAAUGUCCUUGGUACAAGCACGUCCAAGAUUUUAUAAAAAAUUCAAGUUCCUUCUUGAAAGUAUUUUAUGAAAAAGAACCUACAAUUGGUGUAUUUUUUUACAACUAUAAUGUAACAAUGAAAUGCUAAAAGUAAAAUCAUUUUAGCAACCGAAUGUCAUAUAUAAGUAUGAUUUCAACCAAAAACUCUAUAUAAAACAACCCACACAUCGAAAAGUGACAUACAAGACAACCAUUGUUGCCUACCAUGGCCAAAGGCCCCAAAUAGCCAUAUACGAGCAUUGUCUAAAAAUAAAGAUUUAGGUUAAAGAAAAAAGCAGUUAUAUUUACUUUUUUUUUUUUGUCAAACGAAGCAGCUAUAAUUACUACUCACUGGUUACAAUUUUACAUUCACAUCCUGUUAUGCCAUAUAAAAGAAGGAAAUUUUAACAAAAAACUUCUGAUACUGUUCACUUUAACGAAAAAUCAUAUUUUUACACUAAAAAAUCAAUCCUGGUACUAUUCACUUUACCUUUUAGAGCAAGUCCACCGGAGUGGACUUUGCCCAGCACUCAGUCCAAAUAGCAGUCCAUGUCCAUGUCCAUGAUGAGUAUGUAAUUUUAUUUUGGUGUGCAUUUUUUUUUUAAGUUUAUUUGAAAUUUUAUCCAAAAUUUGUUAAAAAUCUUAUCCGAAAUAAACUUAAAAAAAAAAACACACACCAAAUAAAUGCGCUGGGUGCCAGUGCAUUUUUUUAGGGGUGAAAAUGCCUUGGCCUAUUACUGUUCACUUGAGUGGAUAAAUGCGCUGAAUGCUGGCGCAAAGUCCUUAGGGGUGAACUUCUCUUAUUUUAUCCUUAUAAUUAAAACUUAAAGUUUUCAAACAUUUUCAUUAGUUUCCUUUAAAAUAAUGAAUGUAGAGCGGGGUGCCGAGUGGGAUCAUAUAUGAUUAUUUUAUUAAGGAGAAUGGCAUCUUGUGUUUGCGUGUAUUUUUAUGUGUCGGUUGAAGUUUAUAUGCAAUCUGUAUGCCAUCCCAACAUAUAUAGGAUAUGGUCAUGCGUUUUAUUUUACAGUCAACAUUUUACCAAAAUGAAAAUUUUGCGGGAGAAGAAGAGAGGAGCUAGUAAUGUAUUGUACGAUUGGUCGCCUUUGUUGAGAAGCCUACGUUCCAAAUAAUUUUCACACUCCGUAUCUAUAUUUUAGAUUUGCAUACAGAAAGGAGAGGAGAACACACCUUUUACUGCAAAGUGAAACUCCUUUUGUUCAUCGCUUGUCUUAUAUGAGGGGGUUCUCUCAUGGUUGUAUCACCUAUCCUGUGCUUCUGACUACAGAUUUCUUCGUGUGCUUCUGACUGCAGAUUUCUUGUUCGUGAUGACAUGCCUCUUGGAGCUUUUGCCAAGUUUAUAGGGCGUCAACUCGAUAAAGUUCAUGUUCAACUGUAUUUCAAGAACAUUGUUGUUGUUGAUAAUUGCAAGUGUAUAAUAUCGUCUAAGUAAUAUAGUGAUAAGUAGAGUGUCGUUCAAACAAAGAUCGGAUUAACUUAUAUUUACUAUUGAGAUUGACUUCAAACUAAACUUAAAUAAAAGAGGGAUUAUGUUGACAAAUUCUAAGAUGCAAAGAAACCAAAUGAAAGUAAAAAUAACGACUGAUCGAGCACUAAAUAAAAAUGAAUGAAUUAUAAAAGAUUAAAAUAUGGAAGCACUAGGACAUCAGGUUCCUUAUUCUCAAUCCCAUCUAAUCCCGUUAUUCAUAUUAACAUCAAAUUAUUCCCAUGUUGCUAGCAAUUAUCCCUUGAUUCGUCAAUAUUUUCUGUCAGAAUAUACUAAUCGUGUUUCGAACUAUCUACCCAUGCUAUGUCUAGCCACAUAUAUAGAUAAUCAAAACCCUUUACGCUAAAUGGAUAAUUACAUGAUACUACACAAAUCAUAACCAAUAUAUCUAUUCAAUUAUGUAAUUUAUGGUAAUUGUUAUGAGAAGCAACCUACAAAACUCUACCUGUCAGUCACAAUUUAGUUAUUCACACAAAUAAUGGCCAGUUAUUUGAUAACAACGAAGCACAAUAACAAUUACUCAACAUGGAAAAUAACUGAGAUUAAUAUAAAAUAAUGAGAAUUAUAUGUUCAUGAUAAGAGUACACCCUAAUCCUAGCAAAAAGACUUAAUUCAUGAUUGAACUUAUGCCAAACAUGGAUGAAUUCAAUGACAUGCAAUAAAUCUUGAACUCCAACAUUGUUUUUGAAUGUGUGUAUGCGCUGUGGUGGUUUGAUCCUCCCCCAAAAAUCCUUGCGCCGCUGGGUUCUCCACCUUCCUUGCGGCACACCCUUAGGCUCUCCAAAAAAAACCUGAUUUUAUUCUCCCCCCUUCUGCCUCUCAAUAAGGGGAUUAAAAACCUUCUCAUUCUUGGAAAAGUCCAACGCCACUUUUUAUGAAGCCCAAAUUGGAUUUAAUUUGAUAAAGCCCAAAUUCCAGCACAAUUCUCACAAAGCAGCAGUCCACUUCGUUAUUCCAUGAUACUUUCUUUAUAAUUCUUCUUACAAAUCCACAUUUAUCUCCGACUAUUAUUUGUACAAAACUUACACAAAACACAUCAAACUCACCAAUUUAAUAUAAAAUCAUGACCAAAUAAUAAGUAAAAAAGGUAUAAAACAUGCAUAUAAUAUCACCCUAACAACUGUACCUCCUAAUGGUGAGCAGAGCUGCAUUUUUUUUCUUUUGUUUCCCAAAUUAUUUGUCAACCUUGUGACGUAGUAAUCUAAUUCUUGCACUGUUGCAGAGGCCUUGAUGUCUGAAUUUGAUGCGGAGAACAAGGGUAAAGAUGGAUUUCUUCACAUAACCUACACUGGCAAUGAGAAAGGAGACAGACUCUGAAUUCACUGAUGUGUUACCACCAGUAAGAGUUCCACUGAAUUAGAUACUUUUACUUCCUAGUCAGUAGGUGGACAUACCUCUGUUUUAAUUUGCGCCUCUAUGCAGAGGACUAAGAGUAGAGCUGCUGCAAAGAUUGACAUAAUUCCUGGCAGGAUCAAGAGGAGGAAGUUAGUUGUCGAUCCCUUGUGCUUUAUUUGUCUUAAAUUUGUUUGCUGCAAUGGAAAAAAGAUUGUUUCCUUUCCUUUUCCUUUAUGCUUGUAGGAAAAUCGGAAUAAUUUAGCUUUCAAAUUCAAUUGGUCAGGACUUGGAUCUAACGGAAAACGUGACACAGAACAGAGCGCAAUAGCGUUCUAGGAUGCUUUAAUCUACGCUUUUGAUAUUGUGUUCAGGAGUUUACCGGAGAUGUACACGGCACAUGAUGCAGAUGCUUGUAAAUUGUAGGUGGGGGAAACAGAUUAUUUACCUGUAAGGAUUUCACUUGGUCGAAUACGUCUGUUUCCUUCUACUGAUUCAUUGGAGGUAAUGCCAUGCUCUAAUUUGAGCCUCCUUGCAGGGGAGAAAGAGGAUGGAUGGAAGGUGUGGCAUUUGUGUGAUGAAGUUAGCAUCCACUUCCUUUUUGCUUCGAUUAUCUUGAUUUGCAUUGCAAUAAUAGAACGGGAGAUUUUAUCCCCUUUCUGUUAGGUAUUUCCAGAAUGAGAAUAGAACAGAUUGCUGUUUUUUUUAAUAUUUGUUUUCGAAAUAUUCUCAGGCCUUUUAUGGAGAAGCUCAAACCACUUGACGUAGAUGCUUGGAAAGUGAGGGAGAGGGGACCAGAUCAUAUACCGGUUAGAAUUCCGAUGCAUCGAAUAUGUUUAUUUCCUUCUAUGCAUUUCAUAUGAGAUAAAACAUGCUGUAAUUUAAGCCUCGAUGCAGGUGUGGGUGGAGAAGGAUGCAAGCAGUGACAUUCCUGACAUUGACAUGAAGAAGUUUGUUUCCGAUUCUUUUUUUCUUUGAUUAUCAUGAAUUGUAUUGCAAUAAUGGAAUAUGAUUUGACCUCCUCCGUCAUAGACACUAACAUAUACUUAUAUAUAUAGACACAUAUGCUUUUGGUAUAUCAUAUGUUACGUAAGCGAUCAGAAACAAAUAGUAUAAGCUUGUCUUGGAUGAAGGGGUUCACAUCUCACAUGUUGCAUGUCCUUUGUUUUUUCUUUUACUGCAGAUACAACGUCCAUCGCGAUAUGCCUCUCAGAGAAUUUGUUGAUUUUAUUCGGUUAAGGAUUCAGCAUGAAUCUCCAUGGAAGAAGUCUUUGUUUGUCUACCUCAUGAACACCGAGCUUCCCAUUGGUGAGUAACACAUUUUUGUUUUUAUGCCGGCAGUAAUGAUAUCCGUGUUUGUCCCGAGUUUGGUGCAGAGGUAGUGACUCUAAUUGUUCCAUUGCUGUUGCACAGGUACCACCUUGAUGUCCGAAGUUGAUGAGAAAAAAAAGGACGAAUACGGGUUUGUUCGCAUCACCUACAGUGGAGAAGAGAGAGGAGGCUGGAACCAUUGAAGAGCUCUGAGACAGUCGCUAUUCGGCCUCGUAGCUAUUAACUUCGGCCAUCGCAAUACAAAUCCUAAAUUGUUUUCUCAGUACAAGUAAUAUUCUACGAAACAUUUACAUUUUUCUUUGCUGGAAAACUCUUCAACCGCAGAAUGUUAAUUAUUCAUCUUCAACAAAAGAUAUAAAAAUAAUGUAUAUUUGUCUUUUGAUUUUACAUUUUUAGAUGGUCGGUUACACUAGUCAAAUGGAGAAAAUUAAUGUAAUCCUAAAUUUCUCUUUUACUUGAGUGGAACUUGUAUUUACAUUCCCUGAUAAGUAAAAAAAAAUGUAAAUAUAGUUUUUGCAUCUCAAAUUUGAUCUCACCAUUGGAUACCCUAAAGUCAAGUCAAGUGUGAGAGGGCACUCGAACUUGGUUGUGUAAGAGGAAUACAACAUUAGUACCUACCAUCGACAUAUAGUAACAUCUUACAUAUGUAUAUUGAUGAUAAAUUGUAGUAUGUAAAUCCGUAUACUACAUUCGCAUUUUAAGAAACACUUAAGUUUAAUGUACACAUAUCAAUAUUAUUUAUUUUUAAAACAUCAGCCUACUAUACAUAAGCAUAGCAUACACACGUAUUUACAUUUCAAAUCUUUUCAAAUUUCACAUUUUUCAAUAAUACGAAUAAAACUCACAUAGUAUGCAUAGAUUGCAUUUGGAGAGAGAGAAGGGGAAGAGUUUUGCAUUUAAUUCAUCGUAAGACCAACUCCAAGGACAAAACUCAAACUCAGAUAUUUGGGUUUAAACCCAAGAAAUGCAAUUCAAUGGAGUGACUUAAAUCCAAAAACAUUAAAUUUGGACCCAAACUAAAACCCAAAUUUGGCUGAACUAAAAAUUUUUUAGGCCACGCAUUUUAUCAAAAAGCAAUGGGUGGGGGAUGUGAUUAAGUGCCCAACAACUGGGCGCUAGCUGCAAAACAAUAAUAUUUUAAGGGAUUACGAGCCGUUUGAUUACUGGGCCGUUGGUGAUCAAUGGUCCAGAUUAAAAUCUUAUUUUUCUAGCAAUCUCUAGAUUUUGACCUAACGGUAUAUUUGUUUUUUCUUUUUUUCAAAUCUAACAGUAAAAAUAAUCUCACGAUCGAAAUUUAAAUCCAAUAGAAAGAAUUUAUUGUUGUUUGGUGAUUGCUUAGGUAGUUUUGACGGUAGAUAUUGAAGUUUGGUUAAUGUGUGUAUUGAAGUUUGGUUGGUGUGUGUAUUGAAGUUUAAUUGGUUGUUUAGGUAAUUUUGUCUGGUGGAUAUUGAAGUUUGGUUGGUUGAUUUGUAUAUUGAAAUUUGAUUGGUGUGUGUAUUGAAGUUUUGUUUGUGUGCGUCUAUUAAAGUUUGGUUGGUUAUUUAGAUCGUUUUGACUGAUGGAUAUUGAAGUUUGGUUGGUGUGUUGAUGGAAGUUUAAUUGGCUAGUUUAUAUAUUGAAGUUUCGUUGGUGUGUGUAUUGAAUCUUGGUUGAUUGUUUGUAUUUUGAAGUUUUAAUUAGCAAAUUUUGUUUGCGUUGCCGUUACAUCUCCGGGUUAAAAACAACUAGAACACGUACGAUAAAUAUGAAACAACAUUAAUGGCAUCCAAGAGUACUAAAAAACUAGCUAGCAAAUUAACUUAUACCUCCUCAUCGUCAACUUCGAUUUUGAAUUGCUUCUUGGAACUUCUUAUGCGACCAAAUGCGGGUGCAACGAAACUUAGUAAGAGUUUGGUACUUUUUUUUUUUUUUCUGUCAAGAAGUUAAAUAGUAUAUGAGUUGUUUUGUUUUGUUGUGACGAACUUAUUACUAGGAGUUAUCAGUUUGGGACUAAAUAUUUUGUCUGCGUUAACUUCUUUUUAACAUUACAACAACAACAAAGCCUUUUCCCACUAAGUGGGGUCGGCUAUAUGAAUCCUAGAACGCCAUUGCGCUCGGUUUUGUGUCAUGUCCUCCGUUAGAUCCAAGUACUCUAAGCCUUUUCUUAGAGUCUCUUCCAAAGUUUUCCUAGGUCUUCCUCUACCCUUUCGGCCCUGAACCUCUGUCCCGUAGUCACAUCUUCGAACCAGAGCGUCAGUCGGCCUUCUUUGCACAUGUCCAAAACACCGGAACCGAUUUUCUCUCAUCUUUCCUUCAAUUUCGGCUACUCCUACUUUACCUCGGAUAUCCUCAUUCUCAAUCUUAUCCUUUCUCGUGUGCCCACACAUCCCACGAAGCAUCCUCAUCUCCGCUACACCCAUUUUGUGUACGUGUUGAUGUUUCACCGCCCAACAUUCUGUGUCAUACAACAUCGCUGGCCUUAUUGCCGUCCUAUAAAAUUUUCCCUUGAGCUUCAGUGGCCUACGACGGUCACACAACACGCCGGAUGCAUUCUUACACUUCAUCCAUCCAGCUCGUAUUCUAUGGUUGAGAUCUCCAUCUAAUUCUCCGUUCUCUUGCAAGAUAGAUCCUAGGUAGCGAAAACGGUCGCUUUUUGUGAUAUUCGCUAGAUUGCUCCGGUCAUUAGUGUGGAUAAGUAUAUAAAUGGAUAGAGAUAGGAAAGCAAACACAAGAUGUACGUGGUUCACCCAGAUUGGCUACGUCCACGGAAUAGAAGAGUUCUCAUUAAUUGUGAAGGGUUUACACACAAGUACAUAGGUUCAAGCUCUCCUUUAGUGAGUACAAGUGAAUGAUUUAGUACAAAUGACAUUAGAGUACAAAUGACAUUAGGAAAUAUUGUGGGAGAAUGAUCUCGUAAUCACGAAACUUCUAAGUAUCGGAGUGUGGUAUCAUCUUGACUUGCCUUAUCUGUCUCAUAGGUAGAUGUGGCAGCUUCUCUGGAAGUACUCUUCCUCCAUCCAGGGGUGGUAUCUUUAACUGGUGGAGAUGCACAAGGUAAUGUAUCAAUUUCACUUGAAGCUUACUUGUAGUUUCAGGCUUGGUCAAGCGCGAUACAAACCAUGUAGUAGGAGUCCCCCAAGUCGCCGAGCUAGGGGAUCUGCUGAAAGAGGUGACAGACAAGGUAAGCAAUCAGAGCUCCGGCUGAUUGUUCACCUUAUCCCCAUCUUGCAGCAGCAUGAAGGAUAAAGAGAAGAAAAAUGAGAAGAGAUGAUAUGGGAUACUUUUGCUUUUGAAGAAGUAACUUUCCACAGGCUUAUUCUUGAACUGAGCUGGAGGGUUUUCUGGUUUCCUCCAGAGUAUAAGGCCGACUGAAGAAUUUGAGGGUCAAAACAAGUCCAUCAAAUCUAGAGUACGUUCGACCCUGCUGAUAUGGGAUACUUUUGCUUUUGACAGAGUAAUGGAAGUAUCGGCACGUGUGCUGUUCCGCUUGUCUCUACAUGCUUCCUUGUAUCCUUCGCACUUGCCCUAUCUGUUCCUCAAGCAGAUGCGGUAUCUUCCCUGGAAACAUAAACUGUUGAAGAUGAGUACUCGAGAGCAAUGCCAGGUAAGUAAUCAGGUAAGGGGUUCCAGGCAGUCAGUUCCUGGCUGGGAGCUUGAUUUCAAGUGCUGACUGAUUGCUCUCUUUCUCCUUGUCUUGCAGGUAAAAACAAGGCCAAAGGAAAAGACAGGGAAAAAGCAUGAUAUGGGAUACUCUUGCUUUUAACCCUGAUGAUAUGAGAUAUUCUUGCUCUAGUAUAGCUUGUUUGCAGAGGUAUUAUCGGGGGGAAAGAAAGCUGAAUAUUUCGAAAGGCUUCGUUGGGAGUGCCCUCUCAGAUAUGAGGAAGGGUUGAGCAUUUUUGCAGGUCUGCCUGUCCGUUGGGGAUGGAGGUCGACAUAUAUAGGAGUCUCCCUAACAACAAGUAGUAAUGUUAUUCCUUUACCCUGCUUGGUCAUAGCACGGUAGUGGGAGCUGCCAGCUUCCCAUGUUUUAACUCUGUCAGAGCACUUUGAAAAAGUGGUAUGUGGUAUCUGGCUCUCGAGAUUCGGAAAACGAUGCUUCUUCGAUUUUUGAGAAAGCAAUCAUGCUGGGGGUCUGGCUCUCGAGAUUCGGGGAGCAGUGUCUUCGAUUUUUGAGAAAGUAAUCAUGUUGGGAGUCUGGCUCUCGAGAUUUGGAGGGCGGUGCCUCUUCGAUUUUGGAGUAAGCAAUCUUGUUGGGAGUAUUUUCUCGGAUGUGAGUAAAGGUUGGGCAUGUUUGCUAGUCUACCUUGCCACGAAGCACGGAGGUUGACACACAGGGACUUUCCAAUUAUCCAGCAGUGGUACUGUGCCUUUACCCUUGUGGGUAAUAAUAUGGUAGCUAGACCUUCAAAAUUUAUGUGUCUAAACUUUGUUAGUGCUGUUUCUUUGCUAUUCUUUUACCUUUCUUGGUCAGAGCGAUGUAGUGGGAGCUGCAAGCUUCACGUGCUCAACUUUGGCAGAGACUUUGGCAAAGUUAUCUGUGGUACCCAUGAGCUAUUGUUGCGUGUGGGAAGUGGGUGAUUGAACAGUAAGAUUCAUGUGCUUUCUACUUCACCAGAAGUCUUCGACAGAAUGCCCAUAAUUUCCGCAAAGCUGAGUGUGCGUGUGACAGGUGCUGACAAGGCUAGAAAAGUAGGUGCCUCUUCGAUUUCUGAGAUCGGCCCUCGUGGUCUCUGAGCAGCCCAGCUUUUGAGAAAGCGAGCGCCUCUUCGAUUGAUUCGGAGAACGAUGCCUCUUCGAUUUUUGAGAAAGCAAUCAUGCUGGGGGUCUGGCUCUCGAGAUUCGGGGAGCAGUGUCUCUUCGAUUUUUUUUAGAAAGUAAUCAUGUUGGGAGUCUGGCUCUCGAGAUUCGGAGGGCGGUGCCUCUUCGAUUUUGGAGCAAGCAAUCUUGUUGGGAGUGUUUUCUCGAAUGUGAGUAAAGGUUGGGCAUGUUUGCUAGUCUACCUUGCCACGAAGCACAGAGGUUGACACACAGGGACUUUCCAAUUAUCCAGCAAUGGUACUGUUCCUUUACCCUCUCUUCGAUUUUUGAGAAAGUAGUCAUGUUGGGAGUCUGGCUCUCGAGAUUCGGAGGACGGUGCCUCUUCGAUUUUGGAGCAAGCAAUCUUAUUGGAGUGUUUUCUCGAAUGUGAGUAAAGGUUGGGCAUGUUUGCUAGUCUACCUUGCCACGAGGCACAGGGGUUGACACACAGGGACUUUCCAAUUAUCCAGCAGUGGUACUGUUCCUUUACCCUUGUGGGUAAUAAUAUGGUAGCUAGACCUUCAAAAUUUAUGGGUCUAAACUUUGUCAGUGCUGUUUCUUUGCUAUUCUUUUACCCUUCUUGGUCAGAGCGAUGUAGUGGGAGCUGCAAGCUUCACGUGCUCAACUUUGGCAGAGAACUUUGGCAAAGUUAUCUGUGGUACCCAUGAGCUAUUGUUGCGUGUGGGAAGUGGGUGAUUGGACAGUAAGAUUCAUGUGUUUUCUACUUCCCCAGAAGUCUUCGACAGAAUACCCAUAAUUUCCGCAAAGCUAAGUGUGCGUGUGACAGGUGCUGACAAGGCUGGAAAAGUAGGUGCCUCUUCGAUUUCUGAGAUCAGCCCUCGUGGUCUCUGAGGAGCCCAGCUUUUGAGAAAGCGAGCGCCUCUUCGAUUUCUGAGAUCGGCUUUCGUGGUCUUUGAGCAGCCCAACUUUUGAGAAAGCAAACACCUCUUCGAUUUAUGCGAUCAACCCUCGUGGUCUCUAAGCAGCCCAGCUUUUGAGAAAGCAAACGCCUCUUCGAUUUCUGAGCAGGCGCCUCUUCGAUGUCUGAAGCUCCGUCGAGUGCAGCUUUUUAUAGGGGCUGGCAUUAAGUUCCAAAGCACACUUGAAUCUCCACCAGUAGAAGCUCCAUUCUUGCACUUCUAAGAUCUUGAUUUGUCCGACCUCUUCUCUCUUCAACACCUUUGAAAAUGUCUGGCCCCUCCGACCGUCGUUUUGACUUGAACCUUGUUGAAGAGGCAGCCCCGCCUUCUCCAGACAACAUAUGGCGCCCAUCCUUCGUCUCCCCUACUGGUCCUCUUACCGUUGGGGAUUCCGUGAUGAAGAAUGAUAUGACCGCUGCGGUGGUGGCCAGGAACCUUCUCACUCCCAAAGAUAACAGACUACUUUCCAAACGGUCUGAUGAGUUAGCUGUUAAGGAUUCGCUGGCUCUCAGUGUUCAGUGUGCAGGUUCUGUGUCUAAUAUGGCCCAACGCCUAUUUGCUCGAACCCGCCAAGUUGAAUCAUUGGCGGCCGAAGUGAUGAGUCUCAAACAGGAGAUUAGAGGGCUCAAGCAUGAGAAUAAACAGUUGCACCGGCUCGCACAUGACUAUGCUACAAACAUGAAGAGGAAGCUUGACCAGAUGAAGGAAACUGAUGGUCAGGUUUUACUUGAUCAUCAGAGAUUUGUGGGUUUGUUCCAAAGGCAUUUAUUGCCUUCGUCUUCUGGGACUGUACCGCGUAAUGAAGCUCCAAAUGAUCAACCUCUGAUGCCUCCUCCUUCUAGGGUUCUGUCCAGUACUGAGGCUCCGAAUGAUCCCCCUCCGAUGCCUUCUCUUUCUGAGGCUCUACCGACUGCUGAGACUUCUCCUAAGCAACCUUUGUGAAGGCUCCAUCUUGUUUGUUUAUUUUGACUCAUGUAUAUGUACAUAUUUGUAGCUUAUCGAGGAUAUCAAUAAAUAAGCUUUUCUUCAUUUCAACGUAUUGUGUUAAAUACACCAAAGCCUUCUUCGCUAAGUUCUUUGAAUUUUCUUUUGUUGAAGCUUGUAUGUUGAAGCUUUCUGAGUGGAGCAUGUAGGUUGGGGUAGUGUUCCCUUAAUUUUCCGAGUGAGGAAAACUUCUCGGUUGGAGACUUGGAAAAUCCAAGUCACUGAGUGGGAUCGGCUAUAUGAAUCUUAGAACGCCAUUGUGCUCGGUCCUGUGUCAUGUCCUUCGUUAGAUCCAAGUACUCUAAGUCUUUUCUUAGAGUCUCUUCCAAAGUUUUCCUAGGUCUUCCUCUACCUCUUCGGCCCUGAACCUCUGUCCCAUAGUCGCAUCUUCUAAUCGGAGCGUCAGUAGGCCUUCUUUGCACAUGUCCAAACCACCGUAACCGAUUUUCUCUCAUCUUUCCUUCAAUUUCGGCUACUCCUACUUUACCCCGGAUAUCCUCAUUCCUAAUCUUAUCCUUUCUCGUGUGCCCACACAUCCAGCGAAGCAUCCUCAUCUCCGCUACACCCAUUUUGUGUACGUGUUGAUGCUUCACCACCCAACAUUCUGUGCCAUACAGCAUCGCCGGCCUUAUUGCCGUCCUAUAAAAUUUUCCCUUGAGCUUCAGUGGCAUACGGCGGUCACACAACACGCCAGAUGCACUCUUCCACUUCAUCCAUCCAGCUUGUAUUCUAUGGUUGAGAUCUCCAUCUAAUUCUCCGUUCUUUUGCAAGAUAGAUCCUAGGUAACGAAAACGGUCGCUCUUUGGUAUUUCUUGAUCUCCGAUCCUCACCCCUAACUCGUUUUGGCCUCCAUUUUGCACUGAACUUGCACUCCAUAUAUUCUGUUUUUGAUCGGCUUAGGCGAAGACCUUUAGAUUCCAACACUUCUCUCCAAAUGUUAAGCUUUGCAUUUACCCCUUCCUGAGUUUCAUCUAUCAACACUAUAUCGUCUGCGAAAAGCAUACACCAAGGAAUAUCAUCUUGAAUAUGUCCUGUUAACUCAUCCAUUACCAACGCAAAAAAGGUAAGGACUUAAGGAUGAGCCUUGAUGUAAUCCUACAGUUAUGGGAAAGCUUUCGGUUUGUCCUUCAUGAGUUCUUACGGCAGUCUUUGCUCCUUCAUACAUAUCCUUUAUAGCUUGGAUAUAUGCUACUCGUACUCCUUUCUUCUCUAAAAUCCUCCAAAGAAUGUCUCUUGGGACCCUAUCAUACGCUUUUUCCAAAUCUAUAAAGACCAUGUGUAAAUCUUUUUUCCCAUCUCUAUAUCUUUUCCAUCAAUCUUCGUAAGAGAUAGAUUGCCUCCAUGGUUGAGCGCCCUGGCAUGAACCCGAAUUGGUUGUCCGAAACCCGUGUCUCUUGCCUCAAUCUAUGCUCAAUGACUCUCUCCCAGAGCUUCAUUGUAUGACUCAUUAACUUAAUACCCCUAUAGUUCAUGCAAUUUUGUACGUCGCCCUUAUUCUUGUAGAUAGGCACCAAAGUGCUCGUUCGCCACUCAUUUGGCAUCUUCUUCGUUUUCAAAAUCCUAUUGAAAAGGUCAGUGAGCCAUGUUAUACCUGUCUCUCCCAAAACUUUCCACACUUCGAUUGGUAUAUCGUCUGGGCCUAUUGCUUUUCUAUGCUUCAUCUUCUUCAAAGCUACAACCACUUCUUCUUAACAUUAUGUUGUCAAAAAUAUUUUGUGAACAUUUUGACAAAAAAUAAUUCAAAUUAUGAUACUAAAUUCUUUUCUUCACAAAGAAACGUAACUAGAAUGACUACAUUAUUGGAUUAUAUCAUGCCUAUGUCAUGGCUCUAUUAUUGGACUAUGUUAUAAUCCAUUAUUUAUGAUCUAUAUAAGAUUUCAAUUCUUUGCAAGCGUUGGAUCAGAUUUUCUUAUCUUAAUCUCACCCUCAGAUUUUCAUUAAUCUUUUUAUCCUCUCAAUAUAAAAAGAGGUCUCUAUAUAUCUAUCACAUUCAUCAUAUUUUAUCCAUUCCAUUUUCCUUGUAUGAAACGAAAUCCUGCAAUGGUGUCGUUGAAUGUUUGCAAACAACCCAUGGAUUUUACCUGAAAGGUGCUCGUGUGGCCCUUAGUCAAGCUCUGGUAAACUUGAGUCUUGAUCUUCUUCAGAAAAUGGGAUAUAUGGAACUGCAGACCCCAUUUUUCAAGAGCAAAGAUAUCAAGUGAAAGAGUGCUCAAAACUGUUUAUGGGGCCAUAUAGAGUUCGUUACAAUCCAUGCUUGUGUUUUUUUAAGAUUGAUGUUUGUGUGAUUGAACAUUCUUUUAGUUAUGAUACUGCCAAGCUAAUCUCUGUCAUUGUUCAGAGUCUUCCUUUAAAUUAGAAUAGUUAGAAUAUUUCAUUUAUUUUUUGUCUUUUAUACUGGAUACACUUGCAUUCUUAUGAAAAAUUACAUAUUUAUUCACAUAAAUAUUACAUCAGGUGCUUCAUACAUAUCUUCAGAAUUCUUCUACUUUGCAAUCGUUUUUGUCACCUAAUUCCAGCAAAUACUAGCAUCUCAGAAAACAACUUAAUAAUAUGUAAGAUUGACUCAAAUUGUCACGCAAGGGGCUGUAGCGUCACCUUUGCUUGUACAAUUAACUGGACCCUUUUACUUUACAUUUUGACAUUAUAUUAAUGUGUCCUUGUUCAUGAUCUGAGAUUAUUUUAUUUAUUUUUAUUUCAUAUUAGGCUAAGAGGAUGCUCAAAAAUCUUCUUCUGAUAUGUGAUGAUUUUUAUGCACCAUUUACCCCUGCUUUUUAUAAAAGAAAGUUGAAUAGUUUUUAUGAAUCUGAUGAAUGUAGAUGAUUCAAUUCUAAGUUUGAUCAAUUUGUAUUUUAUCACUUUCAGUCACAGCAAAUCAAGAGCCAGCCAAAUGGCCAUGUCUAUGGCCAAAGGGGCCAUGACCAUAGGAGAGAUGAGGUUGUUGCUGCUCCAGGAGCGCCUGAUAGAGUAUAGAAAUUGAUGUAUAGGAUGAUGACAUGUGUAAUUAGAUUAGAAGAUGUGUUAGUUAAGACAGUUAGCCUUGUUGUUGGAAGUGUAUAAAUAUAUCAACCUCUUGUAUUACUUGGUGACUACGAAAUAUAUCAAGAACAUUCAUUCUCUCUCUCUCCUCUCUGAGUUGUUAUCUCUCUCUAGAAUUUCUGUAUACAAUUUCAUAGAUUUAGUUACAUUUACAUGGUAUCACUCGCCUUUGUUGCCUGCGCUUGAUCUUCGAUCCUCCUUUUCUCCUUUUCUGCUUCCACUCGCCUUUGUUGCAUGCGCUUGAUCUUGUAAAUUUGUCUUCGGUAUCUUCAAUUCUCUUCGUCUUCUUGAAAUCCUGAGUUCUAGGGUUUUUCUUGGUUGAUCGUCUUCAUGCGUCGAUCAUUUCUUCUGCUCUUUUGGUUAGUGCAUACCACCUGUUUGCUAAAAGUUCUCACUGAGUUUGUUUGCAGCAAUUUCAAUGGUGACUGCAUCGCAACUUCAACUUGUGCAAUCCCCGAUUACUGCCCUAAUCUCCUCCAUUUCGACUUCGGUGAAUGUCAAAUUGGAUGACUCUAACUAUCUUAAUUGGCACUUUCAGAUACAACUCUUGUUGGAGAGCAAUGGAAUUAUGGGAUUUGUUGAUGGCUCACAUCCCUGUCCUUCUUAAUUUUCCCAUCACUCUGGUGUCUCUGGUAUGAACUCUAGCUCUAAUGCUUCUGUUGCAACGGAUGAGUUUAUGAUUUGGAAAAUGCAUGAUAAGGCUGUAAUGCAACUGCUAACUGCUACCCUUUCGCCUGCUGCUCUAUCAUGUGCUAUUGGUAGUAAGAGUUCUCAGGAUAUAUGGAUUCGUUUGAAAGAACAAUUAUCUACUGUGUCUAAGACUAGUAUCUUUCAAAUGAAAUCUAAUCUCCAAACAAUUAAGAAGGGUUCUGAUUCUGUGUCCCAGUAUCUUUAUAGGAUAAAAGAGGCUCGGGAUUACUUAUCUGCUGCUGGAGUUCACUUUGCUGAUGAAGAUAUUGUUAUCCUUGCUCUCAAUGGUUUACCCUCUGAAUAUAAUACUUUUCAGUGUGUCAUUAGAGGUCGUGAGAAUGUGAUAUCUCUUAAAGAGUUUCGAUCUCAGUUGCUUGCUGAAAAGAUUAUUGUUGAGAAUUCUACCACUGCACCAUUUAUUACUGCAAUGGUUGCAAACAAUGUUUCGCAUUCCGGAAAGGGUACAUCUGGUCAGUCUCAAUUUUUCUCUGGCGGUUAUAAGACGUUCAAUGGCAACAGAAACAAAGGAAAAGGCAAGUUUAAUCAAGGGUUUCGGUCUUAUCCACCCAAACUGUCUUUUUCCACUCAAACACAUGUGCUACCAACACCUACCAACACCGAAUCCGGGCAUCCUUGGUCACUCCCUAGUGCAGUCUUAUGGCAAUUCAAGUGCUCCCUUGGUGCAAACCUGUCAACUUUGUAAUGCUGAAGGACACACAGCACCAUUCUGCCGUCCUAACCCUUAUAACAGAGCUAAUUGUCAAAUUUGUGGCAAGCACAAUCACAGCACAUGGUAUUGUUUUUAUAAUGACAAAGGUCCUAAUUUUGUUGGUGCUACCAGUCAGUUUUAUCCGUCUCCGAUGAAUUCCUCAAACUUUGGUGCUCCCGGUUACAAUGCUUCUAGUCAGCAAUCUGCAAUGACUGGACAUCAAUUCUAUCCUCAGCAUCACUCUCCUCAAGCUCUGCAUACUGUGAUGACUCCGUCACCUUUCGUGACAUCUCCUUCUCACUCUAAUCCUCAAGUAUGGCUCACUGACUCUGGUGCUACAAAUCACAUGACUUCGGAUCUCAGCAACUUAUCUUUGGCAUCUCCAUACCCUACCUCUGAGAUUGUCCAAACUGCCAAUGGUGAAGGUUUGCCUGUAUCUCAUAUUGGAAGUACUGUUCUUAAUCUUUCCACAGUUAAUUUUGUUCCUCCAAUGAAGCUCAAUUCUGUGUUAUAUGUUCCGAAGUUAACACAAAACUUAUUAUCUGUGCAUCGGAUCUGUUUGGAUAACAAUUGCUGGAUAAUUUUUUAUGCUUUUUGCUUCUGGAUUCAGGACAAGGCCAUAGGGAGGAUCAUUUACAAAGGAGUAUGCAGUAAUGGUCUAUACUCAAUUCCCUGUCUUUCAACCGCUUCUCAUGGAUCCACCUCAGUACCGUUCCAAGCUCAAGCUCUUCUUGGUCAGCACAUUCACUCUACUACUUGGCACAAUAGACUAGGCCAUCCAUCUAAUUCUAUUGUCUCUUUGAUGUUAAAACAAGCUCAUAUUUCCUGUCCAAAACCAUCCUUACCUGUAAUGUGUUCUAGUUGUUUGGAGGGAAAGUUUUGUAAAUUUCCUUUUCCUCUAAGUCCCAAUAAGUCUAUAAAACCCUUUGCUCUAGUUCACAGUGACCUUUGGGGUCCAGCCCCUUCUGUUUCUAUUGAUGGUUACAAGUAUUAUGUGACCUUUAUUGAUGAGUGUACAAGAUACUGCUGGAUUUUCCCAUUAAUAAAUAAAUCUGAUGUCUUUGCCAAAUUUCUUGCAUUCUAUUCCUUUGUUGUUACUCAGUUUGCAACUCCUAUUCAAACUCUUCAAAGUGGUGGGGGGGAGAGUAUGUCAGUAAAGCAUUUUAGUCAUUUCUUCUUGCAAAAGGCAUUACACAUCAUAAAUCCUGUCCAUAUACACCUGAGCAAAAUGGCCUAGCUGAGAGAAAGCAUAGGCAUAUCAUUGAAACAACGGUGACCCUUUUACAAACUGCUAGAUUACCUGCCAUGUUUUGGUCCUAUGCUUGUCAAACCGCCAUAUACCUCAUCAAUAGAAUGCCCACUCCUGUCCUAGGCAAUCAUUCUCCAUUUGAACUAUUGUUUGGGCUUCUGCCUGUCAUUUCCCACCUUAGAUCAUUUGGAUGUGCUUGUUAUCCGUUAUUAAAGCCUUAUAAUGACUCUAAGCUGCAACCAAAAACCACUAAGUGUAUUUUCCUGGGGUAUGCUACCAACUAUAAAGGGUAUCUAUGUUAUGAGGUUUCUAAACAAAGACUAUACAUAUCACGGCAUGUAGUGUUUGAUGAGUCUCAAUUCCCAUACACAGACUUAUUGGUCCAUCAUAACUCCUCACACCUUAGUUCUACCAUCCACAGUCCAGUACCUAUUGUUUCCACUGAUAAUGUUGUGGUAUCUAUGCCUAUUGUUCCCAUAACAUCACCAUCACAUCCUGCCUCUUCUAAUUUGCUUGGUUCUCCUACCAUAUCACUCUCUCCAAUUACAUCAUCACCACUAUCCUCUCAAUCCAUUACUGCUUCUACUACUUCUCAACCUCCUGUGGCACUUGUCAAUGGUUCUCCUCAGUCUCAAGUUCCAGCAGUACAAUUUCAUCCUGAUACUUUGUCAGUGGUCCUGGAGGUUCCACCACUCAAUUUACAUCCUAUGCAAACUCGGAGCAAGAGUGGCAUUAUCAAGAAAAGAGCUUUGUUAGCUACUGUUCAGGAAUCUGAGGGUACUGAUUUGUCUCUUAUUGAACCAACUUCCUAUAAAUCUGCACUUAAGAAUCCAAUUUGGUUUAAGGCUAUGCAAGAGGAAAUCAGUGCUUUGCAUACACAAGGUACCUGGAAUCUGGUGGUCUUACCUUCCUCAAAGAAUUUGGUGGGGUGCAAGUGGAUCUUCAAGAUCAAGAGACAUUCUGAUGGUACAAUUGCACGGCAUAAAGCUAGAUUAGUAGCUAAAGGGUUCAGUCAAGAACCUGGAAUUGACUAUGGGGAAACGUUCAGUCCUGUGGUUAAACCUACAACUGUUAGGUUAGUAUUGGCUCUUGCAGCUCAGUUUGGUUGGUCCCUUCGACAACUCGAUGUCAAAAAUGCCUUUUUACAUGGCAUUUUAGAAGAAGAAGUGUACAUGGCUCAGCCUCCUGGGUUUGAAGAUGUUCAUCAUCCUCACCUUGUUUGCAAACUGCACAAAUCCCUAUAUGGACUCAAGCAAGCUCCCCGAGCUUGGAAUGAUAGAUUCACAAAAUUCCUGCCUCAUUUGGGGUUUCAAAACACUUAUUUGGAUUCCUCUUUGUUUGUCAAAAAUGUUGAUUCUGGUAUUGUCAUUCUCCUACUCUAUGUGGAUGAUAUUAUCAUCACAGGGAGUGCAUCUGCAUCCAUACAACAGGUUAUUACUGCAUUGACAACUGAGUUUGACAUCAAGGAUUUAGGGGAUUUGCAUUUCUUUCUUGGCAUUCAAAUUUCACGAAUUGCAACUGGUUUAUUCUUGUCUCAAUCGAAAUAUGUGUUGGAUCUUCUCACCAAAACAGAUAUGCUCGAUGCAAAACCUUGUGACACUCCUUGUUUGCCGUAUAACAGGCUUCUCAAGGAUGAUAGUGAUCCAUAUACCAAUCCUACUUUGUACAGAAAUGUGGUAGGUGUUUUGCAGUACCUUACGUUUACAAGGCCGGAUAUAGCAUUCUCUGUCCAUCAAGUGGCUCAGUUUAUGCAAUCACCUAUGGUUGCCCACUUUACCGCAGUUAAACGAAUCUUGAGGUACUUAAAAGGAACCCUUCGUCAUGGCAUCAGUUAUUCUCGAGGAUCGCUUCAAUUAAAGGCCUUCAGUGAUGCUGACUGGGCAGGGGACCCUAAUGACCGACGGUCGACCACUGGCUUGGUUGUGUUUUUAGGGAAUAGUCUUAUUUCCUGGUCAUCCAAGAAGCAACUGACAGUCUCCCGAUCUUCUACAGAGGCCGAAUACCGUGCCCUGUCAUCCACAUCUGUAGAAUUGGAAUGGAUCCAGCAACUGUUAGUCUUCUUGCAGGUUCCUUUAUCCUCUACACCUGUGUUGUUUUGUGAUAAUUUGUCGGCCAUUGCGUUGUCUUUUAAUCCAGUUCAACAUCAACGCACUAAACACAUUGAGAUUGAUGUCCAUUUUGUGAGGGAACGAGUGGCAAAUAAGCAACUCUCUGUGCAGUUUGUGUCGUCCAAAGAGCAGUUUGCUGACAUUCUGACUAAAGGCUUGAGUUCUCCUUUAUUUCAUACUCAUUGUACCAAUCUCAUGCUUCGUGCAUCCCAGCAUGAGUUUGCGGGGGGAUGAUAGAGUAUAGAAAUUGAUGUAUAGGAUGAUGACAUGUGUAAUUAGAUUAGAAGAUGUGUUAGUUAAGACAGUUAGCCUUGUUGUUGGAAGUGUAUAAAUAUCUCAACCUCUUGUAUUACUUGGUGACUACGAAAUAUAUCAAGAACAUUCAUUCUCUCUCUCCUCUCUGAGUUGUUAUCUCUCUCUAGAAUUUAUGUAUACAAUUUCAUAGAUUUAGUUACAUUUCCAGCGCCAACCCCUUCUUCUCCUAUGGCCAUGGCUCUAGACCUCCUCUCCUCUUUCUGCUUGAUCAUGAUAAUUGACGUGUAUUUAGCAUGGUCAACAAAGAGGACUUCGAGCGGGUUAAAGCCAGAACUACUAGGUGUGUUAAGAUUGUAUUCAUAUACAUACAAGAUAUUAGAGUGGUUCAACUUUAAUUGUACUGCUUUCACUUAGUAGUAUACUUUGUAUUGGUUUUGAUAAAAAAAAUUUGCAAAAAGUUGGGCGCACUCUAAGAUGUUAAUUAUCUUGAAAUUUAAAGCCUCUAAAACUUCAUAACGGAGAUCAGUUUUAAAUGAAAAUGGCUUGUUUAUGUAGACUUCGCAAUUAACUUAUAAUUUGAUUUCAUAUGUUGAAACAUUAGGGUUAUGUAUUGACGAUGGUAAGUAAUGGCAUAGAAGAGGAAUAUUAGCAACUUUCUCUUUUUGUACCUUUGCUUUUUACAUUUUAUAUUUAUUUUUAAGAUCAUAUAAUUAAAUUGUUAUUUAAUACUACGAUCUAAUGGUAUUCUUCUUCAUGUGUAAAUGAGAGGUUUUAUAUUCGAUUUUUAUCAAAGGCGAAAUAGAACCAAACUCAUUGUGACGUUACCCCCACCUCUAGUGUAUAUAAUAUUGUAUGUAUUAAAAAAAGAUCCUAUAAUUAAACUUGAUAAUCGAAACCAUUAAUUUGUGCACCACUUUGUAAAGAAUAGAAGUUAUCAAAAUAAAAAAAAUUAAUUGUGACAAAUAUAAUUAGCCAGCUAAUAUUCAUGCCAAACUACUUGCCAAAAACACAAAAUAAGGUAGGUUGGUGCUUUAUUGUAGUGACGGAAAGUAAUCAUGUUUAUGCACCCAGGCGCAUGUAAGAUUUCCACUGAUUCCCCUCCCUCCUAAUAAUUAGUCUUUGUUGGCUUGCUCACUCUCUUUUCCUUCACUGAAAAUUUUCCCAAGUGGUUAUUUUCAGGUAAGGUUUUUCAGAAACCCUCGUUUUGAACUUGUCGUGGGACUAUUGUUUGUUUCAUAAACAACUUGAGCAGGGGUAGGGUUUGGUUCAUCCUCUGAUGAUUGACAUGUUGUGGAUCGAGAGAAGACUACGAUCGAUGCCCAGGAAAACUCGAUCAAUCAUUCGUUUUGGAAGAACAAGAGCCGUGGUCCUACGGUUCAUGAUUGUACAAACAAUGAUCCCACCAGCUGAUGAUCAAGAAAAAUGGACUUGCCACUUGCCAGACAUUGUCACAACGACAAGGCUUUGGCAUCGAUCAUGUCAUGCAAGUGGGACGACCGAUCGAGCAUUUUCAUCACUGACAACCUCCUAAGUAAAUCAAAAGAAAAUUAUUUGGCAUAACUAAUGUUCAAAAAGAGAAAAAUGGUAUGCGGAAUUUAUUUCUAGAGAGAGAAGCAAUGACUUGGCUGACCCCAACAUCAACAUGCAUGAUUGUAACAACUCAAAUAACAGAAAAAGAUCUCUCCUCUCUAAUCGUUUGAGGCAUAUACGUAAAAAACAGCCUACCACCUCAGCUUGCUGCCAAUCAAUCAACAAUAAUAAUGUUCACUAUAAAAUUUUCUCAGCAUUGAAUUUUUGUGGUAAAUUCCCUCUUGAAAAAUGGUUGAGUGUGACCUCUAUUUCCUUCUAUCUCUGCAGGUUGAAAAAGUUGUGACGGAGAUAUUUGAUGGAUUCUCUUCCAAACUUUGCCUCCAUAAUUUUCGUUGCAAAAAUCUUUCUACUUUGAUUCGCUCGCUUUUCCUGGUUUUUUUUCUUUACAAGCACGAGAGGAAUCGAACUCGUACCUAUAUAUCUUAAUCUUAACCACACCCUAUCUUCAUGUGUUUUCAUUUAAUAAUUAAGUAGCGAUUUCGUUACUAAACUAAUUAAGAACCUUGAUUGAAAAAUCUUACAACCCAGUCGAAAAUCUCAAGUGGAUAUGGUAAUUUUGCUCCAAUAGUUGGCAGCAAAAUUAUCUGGUACUUCAUGCAACUUGUCAUUCAACUUGGCGCACCAGUUGGCCAAACGUCACAACGAUGAAGGGAUGAAACAGGCUAAAAGCCAACAAAACAAACCAAACAUCUUGUAAAAAGGGAACAUAAUUUACGCUGGUCUUCUUCUUAGAUUUACAGCUUUCAAGUGUGCAUGAUGAUACAAUUUUGUUCCUGCAUGAAAACAAAAGGGACGAUCAAAUAUGUUAUCUUUUUAACUUUUUACAACAUCACUUGUAACGGUAUUUAAAUAUAAUUAUAAAAUGUUAUGCGAGAAAUUUAAAAUACAUAACAGUAUACUAUUAGCUUGAGAUACUAGUUUGAGGUUUGAUUAAUCAUAAAGCUCCAAGUUAAGAAAAAGGGUAAGUUAAUAACUUUGAUAAUUUUAACUUGAGCAACAAAAGUUUGAUGGUGCUGCAACUACAAUAUUAUUACAUAGUAUCUCUUGUGCACGAAUAACAUGUCUUGGUGACAGAUAGAAAUUCACUCCUGAUUUCUAUCCGGAGUAAACAGAACAUGGAAUUCAAAUUUUUCAAAUUCCAACUUAACGCUCAGGUUCGGACACUAACAUCUGGAGAGGAUCCGAAUUCCACCCUGACGACGCAAAGCCUCCUCUACUUCCCGACAAACCUCCAACAAAACCUCUCUGAUUCUUCUCCUUUUAUAAUUUUGUGUUAGUACAAGAAUCUCAUGUUAUAUUAAUCCUAAAGGCUUUCUUACCAUAACAAUAUAAUAUCCGGCCAUGACUCUUAUCCCUACUCCCUAUUACAAUGAUUCCUCAACCAUUUGAUCCUCUGGAUCUAAUUAACAUAUCAAGUACACAUGGGCAUGGCCUCAUCACAUAAUAAUUUAAGGGGUGUGCUAUCCACACACCCCUUUUUACUUCUCUCACAUCCUUUUUUACUUUUCCCACACCCCUUGUUAAUUUCGGUCAUUUGAUAUUCUUCAAUUCAUCCGAUCCAACAGUCAAAAAUUAAAAGAGUGUGAGAGAAGUAAAAAUGGUGUGUGGAUAUCAUGUCCCUAAUUUAAAUACCGAAUCAAGAAAAAUCUUAGGUGUAACCAUUUCACUAUUUCAUUUUCUCACUCUUUUAAGUUGUGAAAGGUAGAUAAUACAACAAUUACAUGAAAGAUUGAUAAAAUCUCUCCCAAAAUUGAAUUUAAACAAAACCAGCUUGACGAGAAAUAUUAUUGUGUUACGUGAGAUUAUGUUAUAUUAUUGUGGCGAAAGCACUUAUUACGUGACCAAAUCACAUGAUAAGCAUUUUAGAUCAUAUGACGAGUGUUGUAGUAAACACAUCAAGAUGUAUCCUGGGAAAGAUUCUCUCCAUCUGGACACCAUGAAAUCAAUCAUAUUCUAAACUCUCAUUAGGGUUUUCAAUGAUUUGUUUUAAUUAACUUUGUUUAUGAAAGGGGUGGUGGUGGCUGAUUAAUUAGUGGCAGGUGGGAUUCUGAUUCUGAUUUUCUUACAUAAUUGACACUCACACACACGCACCAAAACAAAUGUUGCAAUGCAUGACGUGAUAUGGACGGUUGUGAUGUGGGUUGUCAUGCUCGAUAUAAAAAGGAAACCAGUGGCGGGGAAACAUGCAAGUUUUAGGGUUUUUUGUACUUGUCAAAUAUUCCAAUUGUAUUGACGUUAUUGGAUGGCUUUUAUACUACAUGUUACAGCGGUACAUGCUUAGAGUGCCUGAGAAUGUUAGGGUUAGUCGCGAACAAACACUAGUGUAUCUCUUUCUGAUGAAUAAAGAGUAAAAUUUGCAUAUAUCAACCAUUAAAAAAUUAUACAGUCGUGAGUGUAGCAAAAUCUUAAUUGGAGUUCGUUUGAAACUAUUUAGCAAAAUCUUAAUUAUUUACCGUUGUAACAAUUUCAUUUCCUAGUGAAGCUAAGCGGCAUAGGAUACUUCAUUGCAAUGAGAGGUCCAUCACAAGCCAGUUUUAGGUACAUGGGGUCAGGGUGCAUUACUCCACGGGCCAUGGAACAUGGCUAGCAGGUCCCGGACAAGGUCGGGUCAUUGAUAACCCAGGGUCCCUCACCGCAGCAGAAUCCCACACACUAAUGGCGCGUUUACUAAUCCGUAAUCAAAUUGAGAGGAAUUGGAUUGAGGGGGAAUUGGAUUGAGGAAGAAUUGAAAUGAGGUGGAAUCAGAAUCAGAUUCCUGUUGAAGUUGUUUACUAAAACUGUCAGGAAUCGGAGUAGGAAUGAUGUUGAGUCCAUAUAAGUUGUUUACUAAUUCAUUUCAAUCGGAAUGAAAACUAGGUUGAUUACUUUAUUGCCCUUACAUAAAUAAAUUAUUUUCAUACUAAUUAAUUUAAUUAAAUUCUUAAUUAAAUUUAUAUAAUAAAAUUCAUCUAUAUAAGCAUGUAUAAAUAGGUUUUAUUUAUUUAUUAAAAGAUGGCAAAAAUGAUAUUGAAUCUAUAUAAGUUGUUUACUAAUUCACUUCAAUCGGAAUGAAAACUAAGUUGAUGACUAAAUUGCCCUUACAUAAAUAAAUUAUUUUCAUACUAAUUAAUUAAAUUAAAUUCUUAAUUAAAUUUAUAUAAUAAAAUUAUCUAUAUAAAAAAAUAUAAAUAGGUUUUAUUUAUUUAUUAAAAAUGACAUAAUGAGUGUCAAAUGAAGGGCAAUGUUGGGAUAAUAAGAAACAAGUGAGGGCAUAAUUGGAAUAAAAGAUGCAUUCCUGAUUCCCUUGCCCUUAGGGAAUUCAAAUACCUCACAAAACUAGGGAAUCCGGUUCCUCCAAUUUCAGGAAUUGGAUUCCUUGUUUCGUGUGGGCUCCACCACUUUUUUGAUUCCUUAAUAUUUAGUAAACACCGGAAUACUCCGUAAUCGGAAUUCAAUUCCCUUUCUUUAUUCCGAUUACCCUUACGUAAACAUGCCAUAAGGCCGGUAUAAGGGAGAGGGAUCCUCAAUAGUACCUUACAAAAGGGGAGGGGGUCCUCCAUUUGAUGAAAAGAAUUUUUGCCGGAUCAUUUUCAUAAGGAUCCUGUAAUCGUGACCGUUCAUCGUAUAUUGUGCGAUUAGAAAUUAUUUUAAAAUUUAAAAUUUAAAAUUAAAUAUAAAUAGUACUUAACGAAAACUGACCGCAUGAUAUACGAUGAACGAUCACGAUUACGAGAUUCCUAAGAUCCUUAGGAAAAGAAUGCGACGAAGAUCCUUUUCCCCAUUUGAUAUACAUGAAACAUCAUCAACCCUUAUCCUCCCAUAACCCAAGUGGAUAACAAAUGCAACUUUUUAUGUUAAAAAUCAAAUGACAUGAUUUAUCAAAUUUUAUAAAUAACGAGUUUGAUAUUAAUUUAUUUUUUUAAUAUAAAUAUAUUCCAAAUAUAAUAAAAUAAAUCAAUGAUGUUAUCAUGAAAAUGAGUGCGUAUAGAAAGUUAACAUAGCCAUGAUACUUAACAAUAAACUACUACGAGUAAUCAGUGGUUAAAAAUGAAUUUUAAGUCCAAAUUUCACACGACGUGUUUUUAGUUCGAUUUCUAGCGCUAGCAAAUAACACGAUGGUGGUCAGAGGAAGCCUGAAAUGCUUAUAUGAGUCUUCCAAACUCUUGAAAUAAUGAAUUGUCGUUGCGAAGCCACUAGUUAGUCUCCUUUUACAAAACAAAAAUGGUACUUUAACAAUAGACUUGAUUGAUCUCGUACUUACUGUGCAAUUUUCAUUUGUUAAUAAUUUGAGAAAAAAAUUUGCAGUAUGAUAGUUGAUAAUGUGGAUGGACAUGCUACUCUCACAAAAGAACGUAUCCUCUUACAUUUGAGUAUCAUCUAGCUCAUGUAAGUACAACAUUCAACUCACAAGCAUGUGUAAGAGUGAUACGAUCAGCUACAUGAUCAUAUUGCCUUAUCAAAAAAAUUCUCAUGCGUUUUAAAGAUUUGUAUUAUAACUUUGGUGGAAUUGAUGGAUAUGUACUAACAUAUGCACAGUACAAAGCCAUGAUAAGAUUUUGGACAUUGUUCGUUGCAAUGUGCACCAUACACUCAUAAGUCACACUAUUUUUAAGAAUACAUGGUCAGCAGGUUCUAGAAUUGUUUUAUUAUAAUAUCGAGCAUAAGUACACUACUUUUCAGUCAAAUUGCACAAAUUAGUGAUUCGAGCAUAAACUUCAUUACUUUAUUAGUAGAUUUACAACUUCGUAAUAAACUAACCAUAGAUGGUGGUUUAGUGGUUGUGAACGAAUUUUAGGUUUGUAUUUUAUAUGGUACGUUAUGAGUUUGAUUAUUGGCGUUAGUGAAUAAUAUAAUGAUAGCCGGGAGAGUUUGAAAUGUCUAUGUAUGUCUUUCUAGCCUUCGAAAUAGUGGAUUAUCGUGGUGAAGCCACUAGCUGGUCUUUUUAAAAAAAAUUCAUGAUAAAGUGCUUGCAUAAUAUUUAAUCAAUUUUGUCUCUUGACAACUGAUAAUAUUAGUUCAAUAACAAUCGCAAAUGGGUAAUGCUAGGAAAACUAAAUUUGUAGACAAAAUUUACAAACUAAAUAAUGUUUUAUAAAUAAAAAUGAGCAGGUUUAUCAACACUUAAGUAAUAAUCCAACCAUCACUUUUCAUGUCAUUUAGUUUAUAAAAUUUUAUUUGCAAAUUUUGUCUUCCUACCAUUACCCACGCAAACACAAAUUUCCAUUCUUUAAAACGGAACUUUAUGUUUCUUAAAGUAAACCGAAAUUUCAAAAGAAUUAUUUAUAAAAUAAAAUAUAAAUAAAAAUAAAAAAAAUAAAAAAAACCCUAUAUAAUUGGAUGUGAUUUGUGAAGCUCCAUCAAAUAUGGGCCUUCCAAAAACGACAAGUCGUUAUUGGACCCCACUAUUGUAUUUUGGACCGUCCAAUGUGGCCUUCACAAACACUUUGCUUUUCUAUCCUAAGUGGAGAUUUAAUUAAUUUAACCCCAACACUAAACUUGAUUAAAACCCCUUAACCAUCAAUUCUGCAGACGCUAAUCUUCUGGUCAUCAUCAUUAGGGAGUAUUUUUGCUCACCAUCAUUUAAUAUGGUGUAUGCUCACUAUCCUAUUUAUCACCAUUAGAUAUGUUUAAAUUUCGAGAUUCGUACAGUAGAUAAGCACAAAUCUCAAAAUUCAAACUUAUAUAAUGAUGAUAAAUAAGAUGGUGAGUAUACAUCAUACUAAAUGAUGGUGAGCAAAAAUACCCCCAACACAAAACAAAAAACAUCCUUAACCAUUUAUUUACUUAUUUUUAACUGAAGAUAUUAUCUGCCGGUCAUUGUCCAUCCACGUGGCAUGGAGGAAGACCCUGAAAGCGGGACCCGCCUGCUAGUGUAGAGGGAAUACCGACGUGGAUGGUUUGUAGCUUCGCAUACGAUAGCGCGUUCUUAACAAUCACCCAACGAGAUUAUUUAUUUAUUAUUUGUAUACAUGCCUAUAUUAACUAAAUUGAGAAUAAGUUGCUCAUCUGAGUUAAAAUAUUUCUGUCGUAAUUUAGAUCAAACUUUUGCUUAAACAAAAAAUUUAGAUUAAAUUAAUUAAGGGGUAAAUUAUAAUUUGCACACUAGAAUUUAGUUGAAUUGGAACUUCACACAUCAUUCUUUUAUUUCUUUUUUAAUUUAUUGUUAUUAAGAGAAGGAUGAGGGUUUGAAACUAUUAUAAUAAUUUAAAAUUCAGAUGUGUGGAUGAAAAUCCAAUACCCUAUCCAGUAAGAUAUUAGCUGCAAUGUCAUAUAUAUAUUAAAUUAUUCAUUAAUUUGACCGUUAAUUGAUGAUAUCACAAUCCAACAUGUUUACUGCCAUAGUCAUCAAUCCUGCAACCAAUUUCAUUUUCUCCUUCCCUCCCAUUGCUUCGGUAUCUCUAUUUUCCUUCCUUCAUGUGUCAAUGAUCAAGCUGUAAUUUACCCUUUAAAAAAUUGGUAAUCCAUUUCAAGUUGAACACUGCUAUUUAUUUAUUUUAAAUAUUAGCAAUUUGAAUUAUUACUUUCAUAUUUUGUUCAGGCUAUUGUUCAUUAUCUACUUACUAAGGUUACAAUUCACUACUACUUAAAAUCUAAAAAAAUCAAUUGAUGACUUCGUCACGACAAUCAACUCUUUUGAUAACCGAAAAAACUUACAGAGGCAUUUCAACUUUCUUCUAACCACCAUUGUGUGAUUCACCAAUACUAGAAAACAAAAAUAAAAACGUGAUGCAUAGAAUAUGAACCUAAAAUUCGUCCACAACCACUUAGCAAUCAUAUCACACUAAAACAAUUGUUUUUGGUCGAAUUUCUAUCAGGCACAAAAAUAACUGGAAUUGUUUACUACUUCAUAUCGAUAAGUUAAAAAAUUGCAGCGGCCUCAUGCCUCAUAGGUGUAUUUGGUAAUUAGCUCUUAUGAUUUUACAUGAACAUAAGAAAUUGGUUUCCAAUUUAACUCGGAGAAAGUAAGGAUCAACACCUCCACACGUGUUGGCGGGAGCGUGUAUAAUGGAAGAAUUACCCCAUUGAAAUUUUCCUAUUUUUUAAUGUUUCCUGAACCUGUUGCCAUUUUUUAACAAGAACGGAUUCUAUCAAGAGCUAAGCAGCCAGAGCCUCCUCAUCAAACAAUUUGGACCGUAUAAAUUGAAUCUAACGGUUUCUAUUAAUUCAUUUUACUGGCUCACCACACACAACCGACGGCCCUGAUUUGACUUGCACAUCUAUCAGUGGCCCAUAUUGCUUGAUGAGGAGGCUCCGGCUGCUUAGCUCCAAAGAGGAUCCGAUCUCUUUUUUAACAUCACCGUCAUACAUUUUCGAGUAGAAUUCUCUCUUUUUUCAAUUUUUGUCUUUUUCCCAUCUUUCUCUUACCAUUUUUUUUCUUCCUCUACAACGGUAAUAAUUAAAUAUUUAUGUAACUUAAUCGUGAUCAUUUAAACAAAAAUAAAUUUAAAAAACAAAACAAAAAGAGAAAAUUCUACCGCAUUUGAGAGGUUAUCAUAAAGAAAUUGCGUACAAAAUGACGCCCAAAUUCAAAUGAAAUGAAUUAUUUGUUUGUGUGUGAUUUUCUGGGGAAUGCUAUAUAUCUACUAUAUAUAUACAUGUCAACCCCUCCAGUUCCCAGCUUAUGCGUAAGCCUAUAAUAUAUUGAGGGCCGAUAGAAUUGUGAAUUGGUUUCGUGGGGUCUCUCCUUUCCUCAAUUGGGUCGCCGGAAAUUCUCGAUUCCGGGACCUGAAUCCGAUUGAUUAUGACAUAUGGCGAAGGGCCGGAAACUGACGCAGAGCCGCAGCGAACGGUUGCUCGGGACCUACAGCGGCUACAGCCACGCCCAUGACUCGCCGGAGCUCGGCGAGGACGAUGUCUGGUCGAUGGUCAACAGCGUCGACGAGAGGGAGGACCACGAAACCGAGAACUCGCAGGGCGAAUGGAGCCCACACGCCUUCCCGGAGAGCACCGUUGGUAUUCAGGCGAGGAAGGGCCGCCAUAUUGCCAGAGACGACCGCAACGUGGGCGGGCUGUCAUUGGCCUUUGACGAUUCUGGCAAGACGGCGUCGUCGCCUCGGAUCGUGCACCAGUUCCGCGGACACGACAGCGUGGCGUCCCCACGUGGGCACCACAUGGCCACGUCAGCUCCGGUGAACGUGCCUGACUGGAGCAAAAUUCUCCGGGUCGACUCGGUGGACUCGCUGUAUGAAAUGGGCGACGGGUUAGAUGGCAAUGACUCGGAGAUGAUUCCCCCACACGAGUACCUGGCGCGUGAGCACACGCGCGGCGCGACGUCGGUUUUCGAAGGCGUAGGGCGAACCUUGAAGGGCCGGGACAUGAGGCGGGUCAGGGAUGCAGUGUGGAGCCGGACCGGGUUUGAUGGAUAAUUUGCGAUGGAUAGUGCUAUCCACAUAACGAUUUUUACUUCUCACACACUUCUCUCAAUUUUGGUUGUCAAAUCGAAUGAAUUGAAGAAAAUCGGUCAAUAAUCACCAAACAUGUGUGAAAAGUAAAAAUUAGUGUAUAAAUAGUACUACUUUUGUGAUAGAAACUUAAGGAGGUUUAAUUAUUAUGAAAAAUUAUUGAUUUCAGAUCUAGAGGAGUAUAAUUAUUGUUGUGAAUUGGUAAGUUUCGUUGGGCAAUGAUUCAGCUGAGUCUGAUCUAGUCGGACUUAGCUGUGAGUGAGCCCAAUUUGCCCAAAACAUUGAAUUUUUAAUGUCGGAAUUUAGACCCUUCUUGCUCUUUUUUCUAAGUAAAACAAAAUUGGUACUCUCAUUUUGCACUUCGAAGUAUUUUGUUUUCGAUAACGCUGUUUGAACACAUAAAUUAACAUACAUGUUAACAUACACUGUCCAAUAGAAAUGAAUCUCAUCGUCGUAUAUCGAGUCCACAUUUUAAAAUGCCAAUAAAUAUAUCAAUUUUGUGCAACUAAAUAACAUUACUCUAGUCUUAUGAACCUAAGUUCUCAAAAAUAGGAUAAUUACAAAAGAAGUCCUGAUUAUUUUUGUAAAUUCCUUAUUUCUUUUUCUAUCAAAACAUGUUUUCAUGAAGAAAAAAAAAUCCGACCUAAACAUGUUUAUUUUAUUCCUUGAAUUUUUUAACAUCAAUUGAGUUAAGAAGAAAUAAUAUCAUUGAGACCUUGUAAUCAUUUGACUAAAAGUUGCUCGAUCAACGUUCAACUGUUUAAGAUGCGGCCAAUUACAUAUUUGUGUAUAGAGAAUCAAAGUUUGCACCAUCUACACUUGCUAACUCACACCUAUAAACCUUUCUUAAACUCUUAACAAAAACCUAAUCUUAAGACUUAAACUAUACUUUAGUAAUUGAUAAGUGUCUCCAACACUUGUACACCUAAACUAUACUUUGUUAAUUUCAACAUCUUAUUUACCCUUUUAAAUGAAAAUUGAUUAAAAUUAGGUAUUGCUAAUCAACAUGAUUAAUUAACUUUAGAUCAAUGAAUCACAUGAUACAUUUCGACUCCUAAUAAUAACAAAUCACAUUAUAAUGAACAGAGAAAAGCUCGAUGAAUUUUCUUGGCUUUCCAAAUAGUGACACCAGCUAAUAUCUUUUUUGAAAGAAAAGAUCAAUGAUGUGUGGUUUGAUUUCAGCCACAGAUAUAUAUACACAUAUAUGUGUGUGUACACACACACACAUAUAGUUGAGCAUAAGUGUGGGCCCCACUGAUAUCCAAAGCUUAGUGUUGAAUCCAAAAAUUCGGAAGUCGAGUCACUUAUUAGGUAGUGUCGAGAUUUUAAUGGCGGGAAGACAAAGUAAAAGCAAUGGCUCUCAUUCCUUGCGAGUUGUGACUCCGUAGUUGCGUCCCUUUCUUGAAAAAGUUAUGACCCAUAUGCCUUCAUUUUAUUUUUGGAUCUAGAUUUGAUGGCUAAUAAUAUUAAUCCAAUAUCUUUACCUCCAACAAUAUUGUUACAUAUGUCGUUAUGGCCACAUGAAGUUAUAAGAAUAUUUCAUCUUUACUAGUCAGAAUUUGAGUACUUUCUGUAUCUCACAUUAGUAUAUUUCUCGUUACGUGAGAAUUCAUAAUUGAAGCCAUUGACUAAUUCAUUAGUAUUAGACUCUGAGUACAUUUCUUUUAAAGACAAAUCUAUAAUAAGGUACAAAUCAAUGGAUAGUUUGCUGAAAUACUCUUAUUAACUUAAUGUUUCUUCGUCCCAAAGUUAUAUUUGAAUGGUGUUGGAUGAAUUGUUAAUCCACAAAUUUGGUAACUAAAUUUGACAAAAAAAAAUUAAAAUUAAAAUUAGUAUCUAAGUUACUCUAAUUGAUUUUAAUUUAUUAUAUAAGGUAUCUAGCCAUAAAUUGGUGGUAAAUUGGUUUAUCCCUCCUUGCAAUUUUGAUAUCACAUGAGACGACAUCAUACUUUUGAUUUUCAUGUUAAAAGGUAAGUCGAAUCAGUUUCAAUAUCCCCCAAGAAAUGCAUAUGUAAGUUUUCAAACUUGAAUGGAGAAUUCUAAACUUUUGCUCGUUUUUCACUAGACCACUGUGGAUGCAAAUUUCUUUCUCCUUGAUCUUGGACAAAAUUUCACCUACAAAACAAUUAACACAUUUGGUUAAGGUCAAAAGCCUUACGCACCCACGAUGAAUGGGGGGGGGAAGUUUUGGCCGAAGAACCUCUGAUACCAAAGUUAGAAUUUAGAGAGAAAAUAUUUGAGAAUUUUAGAGAAUUUUAGCAAGAGACUUGGAAGUAGUUUUUGGAGAGAAUAGAGAGCUAUUUAUAUGGAUAUGGCCGGCCCUAUUAGGAGACACAUUUGGUCAAGGCCAAAAGCCUCACGCACCCACGAUGAAUGGGGGGGGGGAAGUUUUGGCCGAAGAACCUCCGAUACCAAAGUUAGAAUUUAGAGAGAAAAUAUUUGAGAAUUUUAGAGAAUUUUAGCAAGAGACUUGGAAGUAGUUUUUGGAGAGAAUAGAGAGCUAUUUAUAUGGAUAUGGACAGCCCUAUUAGGAGAAUAGGGACCGGCUAUUUGGGGUAUUUUUUGGGUGUAAUUUGUAAUUAAUUAGCCAUUAAUAUAUUAAUUAGAUAAUAAAUCCAUUAAUUGACUAAUUAACAUAAUUUAAAAGAAAUAACUUGGGAGUUAUGGAAUAAUUAUCUAAUCAAUUAGCUAAUUAAUAAAAUAAUUACCUAAUUGAUUAGCUAAAAAAAGGAAAAUGGGGUAGAGAAUAUACGGGAUGAAAUAAGUUUUGGGAGUUACCUUGUAUAAGGGAUUUGAUGAAUGAAAUAGGUUUUGAAUUGUUACCUAUUUUGGACAAUUUUGACUUGGUUGAGGAAUGAUUGCCCUCUGCUUGCGUGUAGGAAUCUCGAUAUGCCUCAGGGGUAUUUUUAUCCUCUUUUAUCCAAAAAUCCAUGUAUCGCUUUGUAAUUAUUUUUGGCUUCACAACCACCAUUUUUUUUAAAUGAAUCUGUUGGUGGCUUCGUCGCUGUAGUUUACCCUUUCAAAAACCUGAAAGACUCACAUAGAUAUUUCAACCUCCCCAAUCUAUGAUUGUGCCAUUCACAAGACAACCAUCUUGGAGUUUCCAAUUUACUUUGAUAUUGUUGAACCUCCUAUAGCAUAGGCAGACAUUAAAAUUAACUUUUGUUGAUCUUGGACCUUGUCAACCAGGUUCACUAGGGCCGUAUGUACCCAUGUCCACAAUCUAUCGCCCUCCACUAAAAAGCAUUUGGUUUUGCUCGUUGCUUGGAAUGGACCUCACCUCAUUUUUUGUCCAUAUUUUUAUAAUUUUGGACUGAUUUUAAUAUCCAUUUCCCGCAGUUAUAUUCCAUGUCCAUGUGCUUUGGUUUGUCAGGACUUUCUCUAUCGGCGGUUUGUGCUUCCUUACAUUCAGAUUUGGCUUUUUUAGGUUUUAAUUUUCAAAUCAACGUGCAUCUUGGUUUAUAGAUUUGUCACCUUUCAUGAUGUAUGUUUUUUCUUUUUUCCUAACCUAUUGUUGUUGGUGUUUUGCAACUUGUUUUGCAGGUUUAAACCUUUUAAAUUUUCUUUGGAGGAGUUUAGGCUUUACGCCCCUCCCCUCUUUCUUGUAUUUUUAUUUGUUUUCUAGAUCAAAGUACUGCUUAUUCUUUCGCCUUGUAUUAUAAGAGGUAAGAUUUAUGUCCUUACUAAUUAGGUGUAAGAUUUUGUCCCCUCAUAACUAGUGCAAUUUCUUUUUUCUAAUUCAAUAAAAUGUUCUUCGUACUUUUCUUAAAAGAAAAUGAUUUGUUAUUUUUCUUUAAAAAAAAACAGAAAAUACCAACAGUAACCCCUUAACAUUAAAAAUCUAAUUUGAGGUGCAAAAUAAAGCCCAAUGCUCAGUGGUCUUACUAAUUUGAGACAAGAGCCCUAAUGGGUUAUCUUGUAAGGCCUAUAGUGAGAAAAUCUUGGGGAAAAGCCCAAAUCAGUCAUUUAGACCGUCACCAUGUUUCUUUUCCGUAACUAUGCCACAAUUUUACCGUCUCAACUUUUGGACUACUUUUGAAUAAUGAUACGAUAUUUUAAAGUACCGAGAUUUAUAAAUAAAAUUUUAACUUGGUGUAAGAGAGGGAAUAAACACAUUGUUCUAGCUAAUUGAUUUAAUCCAUAUAUGCUUCUCUAGCAGACUUUUACGAGUAGCAAAAAUAUUUGCGAAGUCAUUGAUUUGGUUGUUUACAGAGAUCAUUUUCUAGCCCCAACCUCUCUCAAAAACAUACUCCAAAUGCCAUUUGGUUAAUCGAACUUUAAAUGCGACAAAUUCAUAUUAAAUAACCUUACAAGUCUGAUCACGUGACGCUCAUAUUAAAGAUUCAAGAAUUGAGGUCUAAGAAACUGUCACAAACCCCAUGCUAAUCAAAAUCCAAUUAGCAGUUCAUCCAUUAGUAUACAAUUUUUAUGUUUCCCAUUGAAUUUUAGUUCCAAAUUAUAUUAUCCAUCACACGUAUUUGUGAUUUUAGGUCAACUCUUAUCCAACACAUAAAACCACCUGGAAUCCACACACCUGUAUGGCUUGAGCAGGUAAAUUCCACAUGAUUCUGUCCACUUUCAAUUGACUUUUUUUGGCAUUUGGUUUUUUGUCCUGGAAUCAUGGAUGUAUUAAAAAAAAAAAAAAACUAAUGAAAAAAGUUUGAAAAUUUUGAGUUAUAACGAUAAUGAUAAAAUAAAAGGUGAUUGAUUUUUUGGUGUAAAAAUAUAAUUUUUCCUUAAAGUGAACAAUAUCAUGAGCUUUUCUUUCAAGUUCCCUUAAAAAAAAAAAAAAAAAACUUUAACGAAAAGUUUUCGUUAUUGUUCACUUUAACGAAAAGCCACAUUUUUACACUAAAAAAUCAAUUCUAUACUAUUCACUUUACCCUUUAUUUUGUCCUUAUCGUUAAAACUCAAAGUUUUCAAGCAUUUUUCAUUAGUUUUCCUUAAAAAAAAAAAAGUAGUUCUAUUCACAAAUCCAUUUUUAUUUGUCACAUUUAUUUUAAUUUUUAGUCAUUGAAUCGAAUGAAUUGAAGAAGAUCAAUGACUAAAAAUAGCAUAGGUGUGUUAAUAACAUUAUCCACAGUAUAUUGUUAAUAAAGUGAUGAGAAAUUCACUAUAUUACAAUUAAGUUCGAAUCUCGUAAACGACGAGUUCAAUACCAAUUUAUUUCUAUCACAAUUUAUUUCUAUCACAUCUUAAUGUAAUGUAUCGUUCUAUUAAUAAAAAUAAACAAGUGAUGAAAAAAAACAUUAAACAUAGCGGAACAUAAACAAAUAGAGGCAAUAAAAUACACAAGAGACGGUGAGGGGAAGAAUAAUUUAAUUUUUUUAUCGACAUCGUUGCUUACUGCUUCCUUAAGAGUUUCGUAACUCAAAUAGUUAAGGAUAAGAUUCAUGAAUUCGAGACCUUAUGUUUGUAUAAAAAAAUAUUUAUCUGUAUAUCUGAAGUUUCUUUAGUUUCUAUUCUCCUCCCUCGUUAUCACUUGCACCAGAAGACAAUUGUUUUCAUAACUUGACAUCUAAUAAACCAAAAGUUAAUAGUGACAGCACUCUAACUUAUCAAUUGUAAUAUUCUUUAAUUAUAGAAAAAAUCUGGCAUGCAAUUGGGAUAUUUAGAACGAUAUUUUAUAAUUAAGAAUUUGUCAUGUUAAUGGGUUCAAAUUAUAAUUAUGAUUAUUUUCCAAAAAAUCAAUGAUACGAUUACGAGCCUAUCACACCAAAGAAAAUACCAAGUGGGCCUAAAGCACUAAUUUGCAUGAUAAUUGGAUAUAUAGUUUAAGACAUUAGCCAUUUAAGAUAUAGUAAUUUACAAUAUGGGGCCUAAGAUUUAAUAAUUAUAUUUACUCUCACUCAUAAAAAUUUGAAAAUGACACAUAUUUACAUAGAAUUUAAACUUGGGAAUUGGAGGUCCCAAGUUCCAAUUUUUUUUUUUUUCAUGCGGAAAUUCUAAAUUUCUAUGUUCAUGAAUCUAAACAAGAGAUUUGGUGCAUGUCAAUUUAUAAAUUCUAACUGUUGUCAAAAUUUCAAGUUUAUUUUUUUCAUCCAAACAUAAUUAAAAAUUUCCAGGAAAAAUUCUAAUUUUUUGUUGAACUAGCAAGUGAAUAGUGUUAAUCGAGACCGUCCUUUUCAAUGCAAAAUUUAUAUCUUCCUUUUCUCCUUGCUCGAAGAUCCACCCUUGAAUUUUAUUUUUUAAUUCUAUAUUUAACAAGUAAAUAGUUACACUUUAAAUUUAGAGAGCGAUGGUUUAUAUGAAGAUUUUUUUUACAACAUUUGACACACCCCGACCGAGAUCAAGGCAUGCUGACCGUCACGUGAGAGUGACGUAACCAUGUGCACAAUACGGAAGCAAUAAUGAUAGGAAAUAUACGAAUAAUUAAAAACCAAAUUACUAAAGUGCAUUACUAAACAAGAAGUGAUAAGAGUUAGUUACAAAAGUAAGCACUCCUAAUCAGAGCAUAAUAAGUCUAUGUGUAGUCCAGUAUGACAAGUACUAGUUAUACAGUACCAUGAAUGUCCUACUAUUAUUUAGAUAGGUCAAAACUGCUGACGUCCUCAAGCCACCCACAUCAAGCUUACUUAAAACCAGGAGAGGCGCAAAACAGAAAACGUGAGUGGGCAAAAACAAAUGUUUUACAAAGUCAUUUCAUUUAUCAACAUAUCUAACUCCUCGCUGUAAAACAUGUAUAAUUUUUCCCAGAAUCAAGAUAUAAGCAUAUACAUAAAUAUAUAUAUAUAUAUAUAUAUAUAUAUAUAUAUAUAUAUAUAUAUAUAUAUAGAGCUUAAGGGGAGGGAUCCCCAUUUUUUGAAAAAAAUGGGGAUUAGGUGUGGGGCCCACUUCACAUCUAAUUUCAACGAUCCGAACCGUCUAUUUUGUUAGUCUCGAUUCAUAGAUCAUCCUUGCAAAAUAUUAGCUAAAUUGGAAAUGUUUAAGACAUCUAAUUGGGUUCAAGGAAAUGAACGAAUACUUUGUUAUAUAAGAAAAUAUGAAAUUUGAUAUUGAUAAUUAAAUAGGCAAAUGGUUUCGGAUUGAAUUGAAUUUUUGCAAUGAUGAUCUAUGAAUCGAGACUAACAAAAUAAACGGUUCGGAUCGUUGAAAUUAGAUGUGAAGCGGGCCCCACACCUAAUCCCCAUUUUUUUCAAAAAAUGGGGAUCCCUCCCCUUAAGCUCUCUGUAUAUAUAUAUAAUCAUAUCACUUCAAAUCAUGCUUCACUUAAUCAUAAUCAUAUGUAUGUAUAUAUAUAUAUAUAUAUAUAUAUAUAUAUAUAUAUAUAAUCAUAUCACUUCAAAUCAUGCUUCACUUAAUCAUAAUCAUAUGUAUGUCAUGCCAAGAUAUAACAGAGUAAGCAAUUCAGGUAAGAAUAAUUUCAUAGAAAUAUCACAUGUUAGCCGGAACCCCUGUAGUAGUCUGUACGGCUGAAUUCAUAACUCAAAAGUUACUCUAGCCGGAGUCACUACAAUGACCUAUACGGUAAUAUACUGCACAAGAGUCGGAACCAAACAAAAAGGUUUAUACGACAAUAAUGGGUGUAAUAUAAUCAUGCUCAAUACUAUUCUCACAUAAUAGCUGGGCGAUAAAUCGCUAGUCACUUACGAGUCGGAACCAUAAUAAAGGUCUGUAUGACAAGACUGUGCACCUAAAUUGGAUCUAAUAUGAGCAUAUGGUGCAGGAGGUGACAUAAUAAAUAGGCAUGUGCCAUAUUUAUGACUAAAUCACAAUCACCCUAAGUCCAGUUUUAUGAGCUCAACAUUAUUCAAUCACAUAUCGCAUCAUUGAUGAUUCACAUAACUAACACAAGUUACCUGAGCUUACCUGAGUGUUCACAUCACCACAAUUAUAUAUAUAAAGCAUCACAUACCAAUUCAUGUAUGAAUUAUAAACUUAUAUGCAUGGCAUUUAUGGCAUACUAUCAUUUAAACACCUAUUUCUGGGAAAAUAUCAAGUAUAUAAUAUAUACUGAAAACUAAAAGCCCACUCAUUGGUAAGUCAAAGGGUCGUAGCCCCUGAGUCGCCCUUGGAUACGCUCGUCCUCGGGAUAAGUCUCAACUAUAUGCGAAUUAACUAUAAAAACGUUAUUUUAAAGCACAUAGACAAAACUAGCUAAUAACUUCUCAUAUAUACCUCAAAUUGGGUAUAUGAAUAUACCACAGUGACCUACACAACCUCAGGAUCAUCCCUAAAUUUUUAGAUUAAUUUUUCAAUGCCCCACGCGCCGGCGAGUGCACGGCAAAACGCGCCGGCCACGCGCGGUCACAUGUAACCGAACAGCAACGGCGUUAGGAAUAUUCCGUUAAAACCCAACGGUAACCAUCCAAACUAACUGAUGGCGUUAGCAUAUUCCAUCAAAAUUGACGGAAUAUUCUUUUUUUUUUCUUCGAUGAGUCGCCGGUCGCCGGCGACUUCGUCGAUUUUUGGGUAAAACUUCUAACCGUCUAUUCUCACUCAUUUUUCAACCAUUUUCUUCGAAAUUUAAACCAAAUGAAAGCUUAGAGUGAGAAAAAUGGCGUUAUACCUAUUUGAAGCAUCAAAUAUCACGAAAUCAUGUUGGGGAAGCUUCGAAAUUCCGACCAAACCUGCAACUCGUCGUUUCUUGCAAUCCCAAUGUCCAAAUUCUUCAAACGAACUACCCCGAGCCUCCUUGGGACCUCCUAAAGCUUCCUACAAGCUUAAAAUCCCCUAAUAAUUGAAGAAUAAAAGUUGCAUGAACAAUGCAUGGAAAUCAGACAUUGUGGUUCUACGUGAAAUCGAAGGUAAUCUUACCUAUAUUUGGUACCUUUGAACUCGCGAGGACCUUAAGAACACAAUGGUACCAUUUUGUUUGAGAGGUCCUUGAUGUUUGUCCGUACAAGAAGAAAGAGAGAGAGUGUGUGUGUGAAAGGGCACGGGAGAGAACAGAGAGAAAAAGGUAUGUGUGUGUGGUCCUUACAAAGUCAACCAAACCACUUAUACACUAACCUUUAAUCCAAGUUCCAAAUUUCCAAAUUUAAACUAAGGUUAGUUCUUACUAUAACCCUAGCAUUCAAAUUGGAACCAAAACACACAACACCGCGAAACGUUCAAGGGUAAAAUUGUCAUAUCAUAUCAUCGAAAAUUAAAUAUUCGGGACGGGUUGUGACAAUAUUUCAUAGAAAUCAUUUUUCUAAGAAUAAAUUAUAGUAUAGUUGUUAAACUAGCUAGUUCUCACGAACAAAAAACAGUCACAUGCUGGUCCCUUUAGUUUUGCCCUUAUUGAUUGUCGCAUUUGAAGACAUGUUUUUCACACGUUUCUAGCGUCAACAUUUUCAACGAAUUCAUUUAUUGAUCAGCAGAACUUUAUUUGUGUUUAUAUUUGGAUUUUGGAGCAAUUUCGGAUAUCCCGACAAAUCCACCACAUCUUCAAAUUUCCGGAAAGAAAAGCAACCAAAUUUAAUUUUACUUGGUAUGGACUGCUGAAUUUCAGCUCCCCGUCAACACGCAAAUUUCAAACCUUUUCCAUGUAGACGAUGGCUAUGGUUGCACCUUCGUCAAUUACUAUCUAAUCUUGAUCUGGGUUUUCGCUUAAAUUCCUCAAAGAUCUGAUUUUUGGGUUUUCUUCGAUUCAGCGUUUCGUCGUUACCCUUUUGUUUUUCGAUUGAAAUCCGCCACAAAUAUCCCAGAAUCCUGAUCGGAAAAUGGGUUGCUGUAGCAGCAAAAAGAAUGCUCCGAAACCCGGUUCAAAUGGGUUUGGGUCAUCCCAGCCUUAUCAGCAGCAGCAAGCGGCGGCUCAGCCUCUGAAAGUCUCAUCCCAACAACCCCACUACCCACCACCACCACCACCCAGACCACAGCCCCAGCAGAGGGCACAGGCUGCACAGCCGCCGCCCCAACCAAGAGCACAGCCCCAGCAGCCAAACCCUUCUCCAGUAAAACCAGCGCCGCCGCCGAAUAGCAUUCUCGGGAAGCCCUUUGACGACAUUAAGCAGUACUACACACUCGGAAAAGAACUGGGCAGAGGCCAAUUCGGCAUCACAUACUUGUGCACUGAGAACUCCACCGGCCACAGUUACGCCUGCAAGUCGAUCCUGAAGCGAAAACUCGUGAGCAAAAACGACAGGGAAGACAUCAAGAGAGAGAUUCAGAUUAUGCAGCAUUUGUCUGGGCAGCCAAACAUUGUGGAGAUCAAGGGAGCUUAUGAGGACAAGUACUCUGUGCAUUUGGUCAUGGAGCUCUGCGCCGGUGGGGAGCUUUUCGAUCGGAUCAUAGCGCAGGGACAGUAUUCGGAGAGGGCUGCCGCUGCAAUUCUGCGUGACAUUGUGAAUGUUGUGCACAUUUGUCACUUCAUGGGCGUGCUGCACCGCGAUCUCAAGCCAGAGAAUUUCUUGCUGUCUAGCAAGGAUGCGAAGGCAAUGCUGAAGGCAACGGAUUUCGGGUUGUCUGUUUUCAUUGAGGAAGGUGAGUGCAUUGAUUUUUAUGAUCUAUGUUCAUAUUUCCUGUUACAAGUUGUAGAAUUUUGAGCUUGAGCGUUCUGAGUUUGAUUUUGUAAUUCCCUAUUUUUUGAUAUAUGCCAAAUGUGUUCUAAAAAUACCAGUAAUAGUUUACUACAAAUUGUUAUUCAUCUAGUUUAGUUGCAGAUGUUAUAAUGGCAAGAAGUUACAUUGCGAACGGAAGGUUGUGUAGUUUACUGGGAACCGAUAAUAUGAUUGUUUAUACAUUGUAGUGAAGGUUUAAGUAGUAAGAGUGGUCAGCCUGCGCCAUUUCCUACCUUAUGCGGUGUAGCUAAUCGAAUUAUGAUGUUUAUAAACUACUUUAUUCCUUUGUAAAGCUUUCCGAAAAAAUUCAUUUUUUCAUUUUAUUGCUUCAGUUAAGUAUAUAUAAUCUGAAGUUUUAAUCUAGUGGAUACAUUCUAAUGUGUAGCUAUACCUGCUUUGUCCUAAUCUCAGGAAAGGUGUACCGUGAUAUAGUCGGCAGUGCUUACUAUGUUGCUCCUGAAGUCUUGCGGCGUAGUUAUGGAAAGGAAAUAGAUAUUUGGAGUGCAGGGGUUAUUCUGUAUAUCCUACUCAGUGGUGUACCUCCAUUUUGGGCUGGUAAAUAUGAAUUCAGUGUAUUCUUGCUAAACAUUCACUGUUCUCUUAGGUUGUAGUUAUCUUAUCAUUAUAUCUCGCUCUUUAUAUUGCAGAAACUGAGAGGGGCAUAUUCAAUGCCAUAUUGGAAGGAGUAAUAGACUUUGAUAGUCAACCAUGGCCAUCAAUAUCAGACAGUGCUAAAGAUUUGGUUAGAAAGAUGCUGACACAGGACCCAAGAAAGAGAAUUACUUCUGCAGAAGUUCUUGGUAUGUUACCUCUCAAAUACUAUUUUGGAUGGAUUGAAAGUUACAAUGAAGCAACACAUGCUGUAUAAGAUAUAAUUUCCGUCGAUAAUUUCUGUUUGUAUGAUUUAUAGACCAUUCUCCUCAAAUGUGUUAUAAUCUCUUUUGAAACGACAUCUUUUUCAUUUGCCUAUGAAAUGACAUGAUAGAAAUUAGGCCUUGUGCUGGCGGUCAAGGGAUAAUCCUAUGUUUAGUUUUUUAGUAAUCUGUUGCUUCCAAAUCAACGAGCCAAAUUUAGCAGUUAAAUAGAAGCUGAAAGGAUAAAUAUACAGCAUUACAAUAACCAACUUUUAGCCACACGGCCCUUGUUACCACCAGCUCUUGUUUUAUGAGUGUGCUUUUGACUGAUAUUUAAUAUUCUGUAUGCUCAGAGCACCCGUGGCUCAGAGUAGGCGGAGUAGCAUCAGACAAGCCAAUAGAUAGUGCAGUUCUCUCUAGAAUGAAGCAAUUCAGGGCAAUGAAUAAGCUCAAGCAACUUGCUUUGAAGGUAAUUUCAGGACUUUGUUCCGAAGCUCCUAUAUUUACCUAAUAUUGGCAAAGUUUCCAGAGAAUUUCUUCUUACCAUAUUUGUCUUUUUCCCCUAAUAAUUUUUGUACAUUUUGAAAAUUUCCCCAGGUCAUAGCAGAGAAUCUAUCGGAAGAAGAAAUUAAAGGCCUUAAAACAAUGUUCACCAAUAUGGACACUGACAACAGUGGUACAAUAACUUACGAAGAACUGAAGACAGGUUUAGCGCGUAUUGGGUCGCGGCUGUCUGAAACCGAAGUUAGGCAACUCAUGGACGCUGUAAGUAACUAUCAAUUCCCCCGGAACUCAAUUAUGUUGCUUCUGGCUAUUUUUUGAUUUCCGUGUAACACAUUUCAGGCUGAUGUGGAUGGAAAUGGAUCGAUUGAUUACAUAGAAUUUAUAUCUGCGACUAUGCAUAGACAAAGAUUAGAAAGAGAUGAGCAUCUCUACAAAGCGUUCCAGUAUUUUGACAAGGAUAGCAGUGGGUGAGUUGACAAAUUUUGUGCAAUGCUUCUGUAUACAUAUGUCGUACUGGAUUUCUGUUUUUGAUCAAGUGAAAUUCAACUACUUGAUCCUACUGGGGGGAAAUAAAUAACUUUGGAUAAAUUUCUUGUUAUGAUCGUGCUAGAUGUGUGCUCAAACAACUUUCUGCUUAUUGAUUCAUAAAUUUAGUCUCAACUUGUGAACUUUUGCAAGCUGAAAUUGAUUCACCCUGUUUGUCAGGCAUAAGUAGUUACGAAUAUAUAUAUUAGCUUGUAAUAUCAUAAUUUACUAGGAAAGAAACUGUUUAUUUCUUUUUAUCAUUCAGUCAUAAAACGAAUGUUAAUGUAGUUCCUUCGUCAAUUUCCACUAACAGGUAUAUUACAAGAGACGAAUUAGAGGCUGCUAUGAAGGAGUAUGGAAUGGGUGAUGAUAACACCAUCAGAGAAAUAAUUUCUGAGGUUGAUGCUGAUAAUGUAAGUUUACUUACGACUUUCAAAUAUCUGUAACUUUUUCUCAGUCGUGUUCUGCACUGAUUUACUUUGAACCAAAUAGGACGGGAAGAUCAACUAUUCAGAAUUCUGUGCAAUGAUGAGAAGUGGGACUCAACAACCAGCAAAGCUCUUUUAAUUCCACUAACAGGCAUUUCAGAACUUACAAGCACAAGUGAAUCGUUAUGGAUUUGAGCUGCUUAAGUGAGUUUAACUGUUGGGUAGUAUGACUCGUGUGCUCGUAUCAGAGCAUUAUUUCCGGGAGGUAUGAAGUAAACCAGACUAAUCUUGAUCGAAAACGGGCAGUUUGAGCAUGUGAAGCUAGAGUUUGGUGUUUGAUUAAUUAGGCUGUGUUUCUGUGCAUCUAUUUACUUGUUAGCUUAUUUUUUUGAAGUUCUGUUCAAUCUUGUUAUGAACCUUUUCCUGAAUAUACGACGAUUUUAAUUAAUUUAAAAAGAUUUCGUUGUGAUAUAAAUGCUGAACAAAAGUACUGCCGAUGAUAGGAGUUUUGCUCUGUAUGCUAUAUUGAUAUCAAUAUUGCAUCCAACUCAACUCAACCUCUCUUUUCAUGCUAUGUUCUUUCACUGUGAUUUCUUCCACGAGGAGUUGUGUUACGGCCAGUCACCCACACGCCUUGAAUUGACCACACACUAGAAUGGUAAAAUCUCUCUAGCUUCAGUUAAGUGCUCAAUCAGUUUGGCGACGGAGAUCGAAUAUGAUUGAAGUUGAUUCCAUGCAAUUUUAUUAAAGUCUCAUUCUUUGAGACGAGACUUAAAACCCAACAUGUUAGACCAAUGUCCAAUUUAACAAGUUUAGUCCCAACAUUUAUAAGUUCACGGUAUGAUGGCUAUGAUAGUACCAAAUAUCUCAAUUCUUAAACUUCAAUUAAUCCUUUUAUUUUUGUGCACACUUUACCAGAAAAAAAAAACACAAAGUACAUAUACGAAGGAGAAGGAGUCCUUUGGAAGGACACCCACUUGACAGACACCCUUCAAUCCCAGGAAUCCCAGGAUUUUUUAUUAGAAUGUACUAUUUACUUGAAAAUUAAAAGGGCAGUAAUCAAGAGAGGUAAGUACUCAUUAUUGUAGGACUUUCCCUUCCCCACUCCAGCACUGCAGCACAGUUUCCAUACAAACCCUGAAGAAACAUUUCUUUAUUUAUAGCUACCAUUUUGGGCGCCCACAGGUUUCUAUCACAUACACCUCGUAUUUGUAGGGCAUAUCUCAUAAAAACAUAUAAUUCUUCCAAACUUAGGAUCUCUGAUACAGUGAUAAAUGCUAUUACUCAUUUGAAUUACUUACUCUUUUGCUCCUUCAGCACCAAGACGACAUUGUCAUGAGAUUAUCGGUAACACUAAAUUUUUUUAUACAAGUGAUAUUAUGAGAGCCAAACUAAAUGCAGGACUUCGAAUGCUGUGAUAAACUCUUUUAAAUUUUAAUCAACUGAGUUACAAACUCCUUGUUGCAUGAACACUAAAUUAGGAAAGAGCAAAUGAAGGUGCCCAAAUCGAAUGACAGGAUUUUUGUUUAAAAUUAGAAGGAUGGUAUCCAAGGUUUUUAGCCUUCAUAUUCCCUGACACAAAUCGCAUUUUCAAGGGGCUAAGCAUUCCCACGUGAGGUUGCAAGAUUCUAUGAUGCUGCCCACUUACGAUAUAUAUUAUGUGCACGUGUGCAGUACAACCCCAUCUUUUUUAUACAUCCACUUGGGACUCCCUAAGUCAAGACAUACCUCAAAUCAGCACUCCCUUGAUUGCUAAUUUUCAUUAACUACAAAAUUAUAGAAAUGAUUAACUUAAACACGAAGAUAAACCUGCCCCGGUUUGGAUUAGGAUUAAUUAGUACUCCACGCUAACAUGAAAUGACACAAGAACACAACACGAUACAACUCGAUUUCCAUCCUUAUGUGCGCUUGUAGAAUUUGUUCGGAUUUAGGUUAAGAGUGUAAUUAACAUAGUCUACAAACUAUGUAUUAUUUUUUAUAUGGUAAUAUAAUAUAGGAAAAGAGCAUAGGAUGCUCUCUAAUCUAGCAUUGCUGAAAAAUUAAUUAAUUAAUUCACAACUGUUUUAUAUGUUAGUACAAUUUUGUUUAUUAAUUAAUAUUAAUUCACAACUGUGAAUUGUCACCAAAUUGUGAGAUUCAAAGCUCCUUUUUUAUUUUAUAAAUAAAUAAACAAAAGGUGAGGCCUUGUUGGAUUCUUAUUAAUGAAAUUUUAUGGAUUGUAAUCAAACAAUUUUCAAAAAUGUAAACUUUCACAUAAGAAAAUAAACUGUUUUUUUUUUUUGUUUAAGAAAGGGGCUAAUGGUAUGAUAUAAGAGAAAUUACAAAAUAAUGUUGCGAGGUCGAUAGACUUCAAAAAUAUCAUACAAUAAUAACUGCUUACAAGAAGAUGAAGUUUGCUCAAAAUAGAUUGGACACAAAGCGUGAGAGAAGCUCAGUAACUCAUCAGCAACACAAUUUAUCUCAAGAUAAAUAUGCCGAAUAUUAUAUUCCCAAUCAUGCAAUAACAUCACACGAUAAUCAUUUUGGCAAAGAAAAAUGAUCUCCACACUGCUCUUUUCUUUUGUAUAUGUGCUUGUUUAUGUUAUUUGGGUUUUCUUUGAUUUAUUCGGUCUAAACCCUACAUAAAGAAGAAAAUGGAUGUGCGAGAAUCGCUUUAAUACUGAAGUCCAACGAGAGGGAGAGAGAGAGAGAUGUGCACGUGCAGUUGCAUGUCUGCCCCCUCGCCAGUCGCCGCUCUACUUUUCCAAUUUAGAAAACUGAAACAAAAACCAAGCACAAAAAUAGCCCUAAUCUUGCUUAAAUAUGUUAAACUUAAAUAUGUUAAACUUUAUCUCAAGAUUUUCUUCCGGCAGGACGCAUUUUCUCUGAGAAUUCUUUAGAUGGUAUUUUCCAUUUAAUAUGAUAUUCUUACUGGUGUUCAAAGAUUAUUACAUAUUUCAUCAUAUUGGUGUUCGUCCUAAUCAAUGAUGGAGCUUCACUCUUGUGCCCCUCUGGUCAAUUCUUCUGCACUGUGCGUUAUAGAGGAAGGGAUGAGAGGAGAGAGUGUCAAUGUCGUUGUUGCUGAGGUUUCGGCCGAACUCGAGAGGGAGCGAAAGAAGAAUGCAGAGCUCAUGGAGAGGAUACUAUUUCUUGAAGCUCAAUUAAAAGAACGAGAGGCUAAGCAGCCUCCUCAUCCAGCAGAUGGACAAGUAAGACCUUGACUUUUUUGGUAGCUUCUUUGCUUUUCAACGAAUAGCGUUGUAGCGAUGUUUGAGACCGCUCUGAAAACGGCUAAAAGCACUUUUUUUUACAACUAAAAGCACUUACGGUUUUGAAUGAUCAUGUUUAUGCCAACCUCUUAACAUUUGACUUCAGGGAAGUUCUUUGAAUGCAAUGAUAAGAAGCUUCAAGAAGUUCAAGCGACAGAAGACAGAACUAGAUAACAAUGGAAUCGAAGAUGGAAAUGUUAUCCCAACCGAAAUGGAUUCGAAGAAGAAGCAUCGCACGCAAUGCUUGGCUCUUAAAGAUCAAAUUCUGGAAGACCGUCUAGUCAACUGGAUGAGCAUGGAGGAAACUCAGUUUUUGCAUCUAGAAAAAGGAGAUGGCGGCGAUUCAGCUGACUGCGAUGACUCUGAUGAUAGCGAUGACGAAGAUGAUGAUUACCGUGAAGAGAAUUGUGUUAAUAAUGACUGUAAAGAAGGGGAAGUAGCUGAUAAUGUUUCGAGAAUUUGUAGUGAGCUGAAAUGUGAAGUUGUUGAUAAGGGAUUGGACGCGCAAUGUGAGAACGUUUUCACAGGUGGGAACGAGCCAGUGAUUUCAAAUGCAAACCAAGAAACGAAUGAACCACCUGAUACAGGACCAGUUUGUGAUGAGAUGCAACUUCGAACCCAAAACAAGAAAAAACCUAGUGAUUUUGGAAGUUACAAGGUGCCAUCUGAUACCCUUAAUUUCAAGGAGUUUAUUCGUGCAGGAUCUGCAAGCACAUCGCAACAGAAAAAACCUCCGAAGGUGGCAUUCUGCCCGAAAGAAGUGAAGAGAAUAAUUGAUUCAGAAGCCCUGCUGCAGAAAAAUGCUCAAUCCCACACAAUAAGAAAGAUCAUAGUUUUUGCAUCAAUUGGAAUAAGGCAUGGUUGCGAAGAUAUCUACGAAUUAGACAUCAAUCAUUUUAGCAUUUUAAGGAAGGGAGAGCCAUACAUGUCUACGAAAGAUCCCGGGGUAAGGAAGUUAGUAUUAGGAUAAGUUUUGCAUUUAAAUAAGUUUUCGAUCUUAAUCUUUCUUUGUUCAUCAGCAAAAAAGCAAUUUAAUUUUUGUUCCUUACCAGGAGCAUGUUCUGUAUGAGAAUCCUGGUGUUCGGAGGAAGGUAUUUUACCCGAAUCAACAGAAUCCGACAUUAUGUCCUGUUAAAAUACUCGAAGAAGAGAAGGCUAUGCGACCAUCGGAUUCUAGCUGCCCAUCAUGGCUAUUUCUCUGCAUAAAGUAUGGCGGAAGAACACGAAAUCUUCCCCAAAAUGAGUAAGUAUUAUUGGAGAAAUUAACUUUUAAUUUACCGAGGUUUGCAGCUUAAUUUAAAAUUCUAUCUGCAUAAAUGUGUUUCAGAUAUGUUAGGCAGCGUAUGGGAAGAAACAAGCUGAAGUCUUUCGGGCCACUAAUGUGUCGAAUGGCAAUGCUAGUUCAUGUUCGCAGUGGGAGCUUCUUCUUCAAGGCCUUGGGCAUCACUCUUCUUUUCAUGGCUGGUUUUCCUGAUGAUCUUGUUCAACAAGAAACUAAAUACCAGAGCUUAGACUUGCUUCAGAAAUAUUAUAGGUAUUUCAAUCUAAUAUACUAGUAGGAAAUGAAUAUUUCUGAAAAAAAGCUAUUCGGAUAGUUUUGUACCUCAAUGUAAUCUCUAAUAUAAUUGAAGCACGACAUGUUUUUCCUUGUAGGACGGAUGAGGAUGCUGAAGGGGAGGAGUUAUUUCUUCCACAUCCUAUGACUAGUGACACUGUAAGAUCAACUUCCCAGUUCAUAAAUCUGAGCACAUCCUAGUUUCGAUUUAACUUCCCAGUUCAUAUAUCUGAGCACUUCCUAGUUUCGAUUUAACAUUGACAAAUAAAUUCGAGUUUCUGAAGACUGAUCUUGUUUUCUCUCAGCAGGCCAGUCCAAGUUCUCAGCAGUUCGGUGGAAAAUCUUGUUCAACAAAAACAAAGGAGAAAAAACCACCUCACUCGAAUAGCAAGCCUCGCAAUAUACAGAUAUCUCCAUUCCCACGGACUACACUUCUGAGCUCUGCGCCUUCUACACAAUUUGGACUGGUAGGCCAUCAGACUUCUAUUCUUCACACUCAAGCAAUGGCAACAUUAUCGUCUCAUACGCCAUUAGAUGCUCAACCAAUCUCAAACGCUGUAAUUGCGAAUGCUGGUACGAAUAUCUCAUACUCUAGUCAAACACCGUAUCACAUUUUUCCCCCACAACCAGCUAACACCUUUGUGCCUAUGGUAUAUUGGCCUCCCCCAAACACAUUUUCUCCCGGACCCUAUCAAUCUACAUAUGGCUACCAGUCUUUCCCUUCUACCGGAAACUACUUCAUUCAUCCACAGCCCUAUUACAACAAUCCAUCUUGCAGUCCCUUGAACCCCAAAAUGGUGGAAGCAGCAGGAAAAAAUGGUGCAGCCUCGGAGGAAGCUGAUAGUGGCUACAAUUGCAGUUCAAGCAGUAUUGAACCAAAGAAGAAUUAGAAUAUCUGUCUUCCUUGUAAUUAUCAUAACUUCCUUAUUCUUAAUAAAGGCUUUGUUCAAUUCCGCUAUCUUGUACUCAAUGUAAGAAAAUGAGCCUCUUUUCGGUUUUCAUGGCAGAUCUUGUCAUCAUUUUAACUCCGAAAAUCCAGAACAGAACAACCAAGCACCAAGAUUUUAUGCAGGACAGGCUUACGAGGCAGCAAGUUCUAAAUGACGCCGCUGCCUCAUUAGCCUGCCCUGCAACCAUGAACCAAUACUCUGCGAUUACCCAAGUAUCAUCAAGAUUCUUACAAUCCUUCUACGAGGCAUGCCGAUCGAAGUCAGAUAUCUUUCUCUUUCACUUGGGAAAUCACACAUCUUUGAAAAAAAAAAUCCAAAUCUGCAUGAAUUAAUCAGUGCAUUUCCACCCAGUAACAAUAACAUUUUCAACUCAAAAGUUUCAUUUGCACAAUUACAUGUCAAUUCAUAACCACGAUGCCCUCGGACCCUAUCGCAACCUGGUAGCCUUAGUCAGCUGACUCACCGAAAUCAAAUUCCGCUUCAAACCCGGGACGUGCAUCACAUUGUGCAGCAUCCACGGAGCCCCACUCAGUAACUUGACAAGCACGUCACCUCUCCCAACAAUGUCCAAUGCCGCAAGGCCGGGUACACCUUUCCGUAGUUUCCGGCGGUGUACUUCUCCCUGAUUCCCUUGUGCGGCGAGCAGUGGAAGGCGACGCCGGGGGUGGUGAUCCCCGACUCCAGGGGGGAAUCGACGGUAAAAAACAAUGCUUCGUUGAUCACUUCGAUGGUGUUGGCGGCCCAACGGUGUGCUUCUUGGGCCUGAAACUCUGCCUGACGUGUCCUCAUUGGCCGCAGUGUAGGCAGGCGUCCGCCCAUUUUCCCAGACCCGAAUCCAUAGCAGGAGUCCUGGAUUUUCUCUCUCGGGAAGAAGAAACCUUAACAGCUAAUUGAUCGGGGCAUUUUUCGUUGGCCAUGACACCAAAACUUACUAGGAGUAGCAAAUGUGGAUGAGCAGUAGGGGAGAUUUUUCAGGAAUAUAGCUUGGUAUAUACUAAAUGUAAUAAUACAAUUUGUUGGAAAUUUCUGGUAUACCCAAUGUAAUAAUACAAUUGGUUGGAAAUAUGAAAAAAAAAUUUCAACCAAUUGUAUUAUGAUAUUUGGUGAACCGAGUCGUUUUCCAACAUACUGAAAAAUUUCUCAAGAAAUAGUGUAUGAGAACGCAAGAAACUUCGAUAAAUAUACUUAUUAGGACACGACAUGUGAGACAUGUGUAUAAAUUAUAGAGUCAAGUGAGACUAAAAUACAUAAGAGUCUCAUGCUUUUGUAAAAUGUGCUCCUAAAUGACGUGUUAUAUGGACCCAACUCCACAUCCAUAUCCCCAAGUUUUUCUCAUCUAAGAGAACCACCUUAGCUUAUGACAUGUGUAGCAAUCUCUCUCUAGGAUUCACAUCUAAAGGCAUUGGAUCCAAUGCCAUUUGUGGCCAUGUGAGCUUUUCUUAUGCAAUUCCUUCCUUUUUCUCUCUUAAUUUGCUUGUCUUGGUAUUUUCUAAUUAUCUAAUAUCAAUUAUGGAAACUUUUGGAACACUCCUCUAAUGGUUUAAUUAAUUAUUGCUUCUAAAGUUCAGUUCUUUAUUCUCUUUACUGUCUGAGUACCCAACUCACCAACCGGUAUUUAAUUAGUGCAUUUAUCCGCUUGAUUAUGUACUAAUCAGAAUCAUAUCCUUUCUUUCUCUUUACUUUCCACUUUAGUUUUAGUUACUUGAUGCAUUGAUCAUUGACUAAUUAUAAUCCACCACUACUUGGUAAGAGCUUUUUUUUUUUUUUUUUUUUUUUUUUUUUUUUGUAAUUUAUAACAAGGAGAAGAUUAACUACAAUCUGACGAGAAGAAGAUUAAACCCGUGAUUUAAGGAGUUGAAGAAAAAAUACGGUAAUCACUAAGGUAAUCCAUCACUUAUACACAACAAAACACUAGUCAAGCAUAACUACACACCAGGCAGCCUUCUCGGUUCUAAUAACUAUAAUUAGUUUCACAACAUCGGCAUGAUAUGCAAAAGAAGCUUAAUUUGCAAGCAUAUAGCAUACAUAACCAUCAUCGUUGAAAUCCAUACAUCAGCAUACAUGUUCAAAGUUCAAAUCAUCCAUCCAUACAUACACACAUCCCGACAUAUCCACCAUGCCCAUCUCACCCAAAGAGAAGAAGCCAAAAGAUAAAAUCGAAACCCUAAAUCAGACACAGUGCAUCAUGAACAAGGGCCACAUGAACAACUGACCACAUGCAUGCCUUUUAACCCUAGCACUGACCAACUUCCAUAAAAACAAAACAUACAUAUUGGUUAAAAAAAAACCCUUUUAUUAUCCAGCAACUUGCCCCACACACA
rnacentral:lncRNA from 1 species